AAAGACAAACCUAAAUGGGCAUGAUGAAGAAGCAAAAUUCGGAUUUUUUCAUCAUAAACCAAUAUUCAAGAAACAUAUUCCAAUUCCAGUAUAUAAACCUGUACCAAAGCCAUUUCCAGUGUAUAAACCUAUACCAAAGCCAGUUCCAGUUCCAGUGUACAAGCCUAUUCCAAAGCCAGUGUAUAAGCCUAUUCCAAAGCCAGUUCCAGUGUACAAGCCUAUACCAAAGCCAGUUCCAGUUCCAGUGUAUAAGCCUAUUCCAAAGCCAGUGUACAAGCCUAUUCCGAAGCCAGUGUAUAAGCCUAUUCCAAAGCCAGUUCCAGUGUACAAGCCUAUACCAAAGCCAGUUCCAGUUCCAGUGUAUAAGCCUAUUCCAAAGCCAGUGUACAAGCCUAUUCCGAAGCCAGUGUAUAAGCCUAUUCCAAAGCCAGUUCCAGUGUAUAAGCCUAUUCCAAAGCCAGUUCCAGUGUAUAAGCCUAUUCCAAAACCAGUGUACAAGCCUAUUCCAAAGCCAGUUCCCGUGUAUAAGCCUAUACCAAAGCCAGUUCCCAUUUAUAAGCCAAUUCCCAUUUUUAAGCCAAUACCGAAACCAGUUCCCAUUUAUAAGCCAAUUCCCAUUUUUAAGCCAGUACCGAAACCAGUUCCCAUUUAUAAGCCAAUUCCAAUUUUUAAGCCAGUACCAACACCAAUUCCUUUUUUUAAGCCUAUACCAAAGCCUGUUCCUAUUGUUAAACCUAUUCCUAUUCCAGUUUUUAAACCCAUACCUAAACCAUUUCCAAUUGUUAAACCUAUCCCUUAAGCCAAAGUCAUUUUUUAAGCCAGAGACUUUCUUCAGAAAACCUAUUCCUAAACUUCACCCAAAUCUGAUAAAGCACGGUCUUCUACAUUUUCCAAUUCACAAUACAAUUCCUACAAUUUCAACUCCAUAAGAUGAUUUGGCCGUGUCCUAUAAAAUUAUUGUACUUAGAACGUUAUCCCAUUCUAUUUCCAAUAUAGCUACGUUUGUUCUAAAACAUCAACGGGGUUUCUGUAGAAAUCCUAUCGUACUCUUGUGCAUUGUAUUAGAAUAUAUGCAGUUCAUUUGCCUCAAUAAUCUUCUCAGCAUUGCCGUUGUAAAUUGAUUUGUAUGUAUUAUUCCAAGAAUAGAACUAAUUCUCUAUUUUUGGUUUAAAUAAUAUUUGUAUUUCCUUUCAAUAUUUUGUAUUACUCCAUUUUCAGCAGGGCUCCACGUACAAAACUAACCCUAAACUAACCUUGAUUAAGGAAUUAAAAGAAAACAAUGUGUAAAUCAUAGAAAAACACAAAAAGAAAAAAUUUGGGAAACGUAAUUUGUAGUCUUCUAAUAAUUUUUUUAUAUUCUUAAAUAGUCCUUAAUUAGUAUUCUUAGGACACUUGUUAACAUUUGUAAAAAAAAAAAAUUAACUUGCAAAAGUUUUGAUGUUUAAAAAGAAAAAAAUGACCUCCUGGAAGUGAUCCAUAUUAACUUCUUAUUACAAGUUACACAGCAUAAACUAAUAUAUGUACGAAUUGAUGGAAAUCGACAAUCGUGAUGUUUGUGAUAAUGUUUUAAAUUUUCAUUUUAACAUUUAGCACCGUCUAUUUUAUGUACAGAAAUGUGGACUCAAUUUCUGAUUUCAGCUUUCACCAUUUCGUUUGUUUUAUUUGUGAACGAUAUGUUGAAAGAGAAAGUAAAAGUAUCCCACCAACUUACCCUAGUUCUUAGUAAUCAUUGGUUACGUAAUGCAGGAUGAAAUCUGCUCUCAUACAUGUGUUGAUCAACUUUAACGAAAUUAAACUAUAUAUAUCUCGAGUAUGUAAAUGAAUGGCAAUCGUAAUAAUUUGUAAUAUAUUUGAAUACACAAGAUUUAUUUUAUUUAACAAUCAUGCAUAUAUCUCUUUUUUUAAAGGCAAAACCAUGAAUUAUUAUAAAUAAAAGGCCACAAUGUGUGACUCAAAACAGAUUGCACGACAAAGAUAAGGAAAGCCAAAAAAGUCCUAACAGACCAUCUGCAGUCCAUAGGAUAUGGACUAUUACACCAAUUGGCAAAAGCAACACCACUAGCAAAAGGAUUCUUAUAUCUAAUCCAUGUCCACGAGAUUCCCUAAAUAUGCAACAGAACUGAAGAGAAAUGAGCAGCCUGAUUUUGAAAAAUGACCUUUUUCUUAGCCAAAUGCAUUCUGUUAAUUUAAACACUAUCAAUAUUUUUUAUUUCUUUUUUCUCAUCACAUUAUAAAUCCUAUUAAGUCUAUAUUUUUUUUUGCUCUCAAGGUGUUCAAUGGGUGAUAGGGAUACUGCUCGUCAUGUACCAUUUUUCUUCCACCAAAUAGAAAUCCAGGCUGCACGUAAUGUUGCUGAAGAUCAUAAUGCUGCACCAUAGCAAACACCCAACCACUUAUAAAUUGCAUUACAUAAUUGAUAGAAAAUUUACAACUUAAAAAUAAAUGAGAGAUCGUUUCACCACCUGAAUCCACGAUCCCCCCCCGCAUCAAUGCAUCACGGGUUGGCAAACGUCCAAGGAGCAGCCUUCCAGGAAAAAACCAGAAUUUGAGGGAGAUGAAGUGAUGAUGGAUCUAAUUAAGACCCGAGGUGAGUGAGGAAAAGUUAUUUUGAAAAUAAUUUUAAUGCAUAAAAAUGAGAAAGGGGUUCAAACAUAUAAAAAGGUGUAAAAUAUAAAAUUUUAAGAUAAAUAUGUAAGACUUUAUUAAAAUAAGUAUGUAUAUUUAUUUAUCAUCAUAUGAAAAAUAUGUCAAAGAGUUGAAAUACAUAAAAUUAAGAGUGCAAAAUAUAAUUUUAAAAAAAUAAUGUGAAUUUAUUAAAAUGAGAGAGUAAAUUUGCCCAUCCUCAAUCAAACAUAGUACGCCAGUGGGGACAUAUAGACUUCCAAAAUGUGUUGAGCAAAUUAUCUAGAUUGUGUAAAUCGGGACCAGGAGAGGAGCAGAAGACUUUAUAAACAGAAGCUACUAGGAAAAAAAGGAGAACUCAUGCCUCCCCAUUUCCAUGAUGAAAUCUCGAGAAUCCUAUGUAAUAAGUUUUUAUUAUUAUAAGUUGCGAUUAAUUCCUUAUUAGUGGUAUGUAUGUUUUAGACUUGGAAAGUCAUCUUUGACUAAAGUGCUUCUUCAGUUUUGGAGUUGAAAGAUCAAAUAUUCAAUGACAUCAAUGGGUGAUAAUGACUACUAAAUGCAUUCAUGAUGGUAUAAUAUCUAUAUAUAGCACAUGUGUUUGAUCCCUGAACCCAUAUCUUUCAUUUCGUUUGAUAUACCAUCUACAAAGAGAGUGAGAGUUUGAAAGAACUAAAACAAAGUAGCUCUUUCAUGACAAUGAUUGAAGGUAUAUUUUGAUUUUGUUUUCUACAUUUCUUAUUGACUUAUGUUUAGUUUUGUUGUUUGUAAUAUCACAGGUUUGUUAUUUUAGUCUUUCAGUUGGUAUCAGAGUCUCAGUUACCUCUGCCAUGUUCAUUUUUGAUUUUCAGUAUUGUUGGUGUUUAGAGCCUUGUUUGUUACAAAUAAGAUUAGAAAUAAUCUUUAUUUUAAUUGAUUUCUUUAUUUUUUGGGUUUUGAAUCGUGUAAAACGGUACCUAAAUGAGUGAAAAUCGAUCGGGUCUGUAUGUGGGUUGAUUGACCUUCUAGAGGUUGAAGACGAUGAACAAUUAUUUUCUAUUCGCUUAAAAAAAGAAGGGUAAACAGACCAUGUCGGCACUGUCUGGGUCUAGAACUAGUGACCUUUAGUUUAAGGGAUGUCAUGUGAGUCAUUGGGCCGUUUAAGGUUCUUUCCUAUUUAUUCAUUUCCCGUAUCUUAUAUGCUUAUACGAUUCUGUUUACUUUUGUAAUUUGUGCAGUUUUGAUUUGUUUUAUGCAUGAAUACAUUCUAGAAAUGUUUAUUUUGAGCAUAUAUAUAUAUAUAUAUAUAUAUAUAUAUAUAUAUAUAUAUAUAUAUAUAUAAUCAAAUGCAUAAUAUUAUAUUUCAAUUAUGCAAUUGUAUAUGAGAAUUUUAUUCAUCAUUGUAUUAUAUCUUGAUCUUGACGUGCUUUAAAUAAUUUAUUUUCACAUGAUUAAAUUUUAUGUCUAAGUGAUCUUUAUAAUUUUGAUUAACUAUGGAUUAGCCACAACAUCUAUAAUUUGAUUAAAAUUAUAUAUUGAGUUGUUUAAAGAUCAUAUAAGGAAUUAAGCAUAAUAUUAUGAUUAAUUGUACUUUAUAUAUUGAAUUUUAUCCCAUAGGAAUUUUUAUUAUAUUUGUAUGGUUAAUUUAGAUAAAAUAUCAUAUUAUUUUUCAUGGUUUACCCACAGGGAUCAUGAGGUGAUUUAUAAUUUGGUUGUUUUAUCAUAAAGUAAAUAUUUGCAAUAGAAAAUCGAAUUAUUUUCAUGUUGGACCCGUAAAGCUUGAACUUGAAUAUGUAAUUUGAUUAUUCUAUCAUAAAGUCUAAUUGUAUCUUAUUGGAUUAAAAAUUUAACCCACAAACAAUUUUUAUGUCAUAAGAUUCAAGUUUCUAGUAUGUUUACAUUGUAAAACUUACAAAUAAGAUUAAUAUGCCUCAAAUUUUGACGUAAGCCUUUGGAUUUUUGCAGCUUCUCAAAUUGUUGAUGUUUUUUAUAUUCAAUGUGAUGUUCCUCAACUCAAAGGAGAUAACUAUAAGAUAUGGAAGGAGAAAAUUCUUCUACAAUUAGGGUGGAUGGAUAUAGAUUAUGCUAUAAGGAAAGACAAAUCACUUGCAAUCACUAAUGAAAGUAGCCCAACUGUUGUUGCGCUAUAUGAGCAGUGAGAGUGAUCCAACUGGCUCAGUGUGAUGUUCAUUAAGACCAAAAUCUCGGCUAGGAUAUGUGGUUCUGUCGACUAGCAUAAAAAGGUCUGAGACUUGCUUAAGGCUAUUGAUGAUCAGUUCAUCACUCAGUUAAGGCUUUAGUAAGUACCCUUAUCAUGAAGUUCUCCUUUCUCUGGCUCACUAGUGUGAAAGAUGUGUGUGAGUAAAAAUGAAAAUGUGAAAUAUUUCAACUCAACUUAAGAAACUGGAGGUUGAUAUGUCAGAGUCCUUCCUGAUGCACUUCAUUCUAAACACCUUUCCAUUGGAAUAGGGGUCGUUUAAGAUUUUCUACAACACACAUAAGGACAAAUGGUCUAUUAAUGAAUUAAUGAUCUUGUGUGUUCAAGAAGAAAAAAAGCUUGUAAUGGAGAUGAGUGAGAGUGCAUUGCUGGCAACUGCUUGUGGGAAGGACAAAGCUACUAAGUAUCAAGCUAAUAAGAAGGGGAAUGGUAGAAUACCACCUCAAACUGAUAUUAAGAAGGUGACAAAGUGUUUCUUUUGUAAAAAGAAGGGACACAUGAAGAAGAAUUGCCUUAGAUUUCAAAAAUGACUUGAAAAGAAAGGUAAAUCAAUCUCAUUAGUAUGUUAUGAAUCUAAUAUGACUUGUGUUAAUAUUACGCAUGUGUUUGGUCCUUGAGCUCAUAUCUUUCAUUUUCGUCUGAUACACCAUCUACAGAGAAAGUGAAAGCUUGGAAGAACCCAAACAAAACAACUCUUUCAUGACAAUGACUGGAGGUAUAUUUUGAUUCUAUUUUCCGCCACUCCAAGAAAAAUCAUUAUUUCUGACAGAAUAUUUCCCAUGGAAAAUAUUCCUUCAAAAAUUUUUAUUUUACCACGAAAUUUACUGAAGGAAAAAUUUCCGUUGGAAAUGUUUAGAAAAUCGAUAGAUCUUAUUGACGGUCAAUUUUUUCGUCAAAAAAUUAAUAUUUUCGAAGGAUUAUUCCGAUGGAAUAGAGAUCCGUCAGAAACUAAAAAUUUGAUAACAAAGCACGAGAACCCUAGCUGUUUCAGUGUUUCAUUUUUUUGCUUUCUUCUCCCGCUCGUCCCCCAUUUGUGCCUUUCAUGAAGACCAACUAAGAAGCAUUUCAUUGUUGAUUUUCGUAUUUGGUUUGUAAUUUCAAUUUCGCAUUCUUCUCCCCCUGACCGUAAUUGUUGUUGGUUUUCCCUCUAUUGCAGUGACACUCGUCUGUGUCGAGGAAAAGUCACCUUCACGACCUCUAACGGUGUCGUUCCGACGUUCUGUGUCAAUUCACCUCUCACAGGUAUCAUUCGUGUGUCCGCUCUCGCAUUCUGUUUGGCUCAUUCGCGUGUUGCAUUCGCCUCUCACAAUAUGUGAUUAUUGCUUUUUUGAGUGAAAGAAACCUUCAAUUCUUCAAUUAAAAAUGAUAAUCCUCCACAAGGAAAACAAGAAUGACAAGUUCAUUAUGUUGAUAUGAAGAUUUAUGAAGUAGGGAUUAUAAAGUUGUAUUUUAAAGUUGACAAAUUGAAAAUGCUCGUAUGAUGUUUGAAGAAAAUCCAGACCCAAUUGUUGGUGGUUCUCAUCAUCUUCUGUGCUAUGGGUUUUGUUUUUUUCAUUAUACUGUAAUUGAUGUCUGUUUUAUAUGAUGUUUGUUGGUCACAUUGUGUCUACUGAUUGAGUAUAACUAUAGAAUGACUACAUUCUUGUUCUACUUUGGUCAUUUACCUCAUUUUCUUUGUCUGCAUCAUUGUUGGAUAAUAUUAGACCCACUUACCUUGUGUCUACCUCUGAAUGUGUCAAUAAGUAACACCUUAUUUUCUCUCCAACUAUUCAUUAUUUUGUUUUCCAUUUGAAAUUUUUUUGGUGGCCAAUUGAAUUAAGGUCCUGGACUGGUUUUUGGAAAUCCGCCCAAACAACACAAAUACUUCAUUAAUAUUCUUUAUUUGUUUUUAUCUCACUUAGCUUUAUAAUAUCAGUGACAUUAGCAAUAAUAUUAAUAGCUUAUUUCUCCUCUCUUUCUACUUCUCGAUGGCUAUUUAUUCCCCUUACGUGUGUAAGGAUUUCUCCAUAAACAAAAUUGCAUUUGCUCGUGAACAGACAAAAUCACAAAAUCUGAGCAAUUGUAUUCAACUUUUUUGCCAGGCUAAGCUAUGUCCUAGUGAUGUUUGAUAAAUAUAGCAAGAGCAAGUGGUUCUGAAAGGAUGAAACAAAAAUAUUCUUGUAAACCAAACAAAAACUUAGAAGAUGUGUUGAAUACUUAUCAAAACCUAUCAAUAACAUAGCAAACUGACUCAAAAGAUAGAUUUUAUUUAGUGGCCACAAAUGUGAGAAACCAACAUUUAAAGGAUUUACCGUAUGGUUCGAUGAGUUACGUUAAAGAAUGACACACAUACUUUGUCAAUGGGUACAAAUUCCAUACCCAAGCAUGGACUUCUGGGAAGCAAACAAUAAAUAGUGGGGUUCACGUAAAAGGCCUUAUAGAAGAAGACACAUAUGAUUUUUAUGGGGUCAUUCAACAUAUAUAUGAGUUAGAGUAUAAUACUACGAGCUAUCCUAAGCGAGUAGUAUUAUUUUAUCGUCAUUGGUUUGAUCCAACGAGUAGAGGAACAAGAGUUGAUCCUAAAUAUGGCACGGUAGAAAUUCGAAUGGAUAGAAGUUAUAAUUUGUUUGACCCAUUCAUUAGUGCACAUAGUGUAAGGCAAGUGUAUUAUAUGCCAUAUCCAACAACAAGAAGGGACAAGCGUGGUUGGUGUGUUGAUUAAAACAAAGCAAAGGGGUUACAUAGAAUCAAAUCAUGUACAAGAUGAUGUGCCUUACCAAGUUGAGGAAAUGUCACAUGUCAACAAAGUCAUUGAAGUUGAAAGUAUUUCUGGAUUGCAAGAUUUAAGAGGUGGUGUUGAAGAAGUAGACAUUCCUAAUUUGUUGACAAAUGAAGGGGAAUCAGAAGACAAUGAAGGAGAAUUAGAAGAUGACUUUGAAGUUUAUAAUUCUGAAGAGGAUUAGACAUUGAUGUUUGUUAGUCAGUUAUAAUAUUUGUUAUUAGUGACAUGUUUGUUUUCUUCUAAUACUUCAAAACUUUGUUGGUGUAUUUUAUUUUUGUUGUGAUAUGAAAGUUUGUUAGUUAUCUAAUUUUCAUUUACCCCAAUAUUCUGUUUGAGUGUUUAUGUUAUUAUAUUAUUUUUGUAUAUAUAGAUAUGUCAUCAGGUGGUGCUGACCCUCCCCGACCCCCGUCACAUCACUCCAGUGGGAAAAGGACAACUGCGAAGAAAAGAUGAUAUGUGGUUAGACUAUUACUGCGUCGAGGUAGUCUACUAUCAUCUACCACAUCCCCAUCUUCUGUGUCUAUGCCAGUUAGGCCUCCUGAUGUUGCACCUACACCAUCUCCACCUCCGACUGAAGCUAGACAAUCUCCAUCUGAUGUUAAUGCACGUGGACUGUCCCCGAUACUUGCAUUCACACCAUUUCCAUCAUUGGUGGAAGCACGUGGACCAUCCUCGGUACUUACAUCCACACCUUCCCCAUCCCCAUUUGUAGCCAACAUGCCUACGGAUGAAGAUGCUACAAAUUUGGUGAUGGAAGACCCCCCCCCCCUUAAUGAUCGCCCUACGGUUACGCUAACCAAUGGAGCGUAAGUAUUACAAAAUUUAUAUAAUUAUCAUUAUAUAUGAUAGAUCAUAUGAUCUUUUACUAUUUUGAUUAAUUAUUUUUUAUAUUUAGGUUUCAUCCAUCUAAGGUUGCGGCAAAGACUGUCACUUUGUCCAUUAGGCAACAAUUUGGUCAGCCUUGGCCUACAUGGGGAGCGAUUCCAAAAGAUCAUUAGGAACUUUUUCCCAAUGUUUUAAGGUAAAUUAUUCUUGUGUUAAUGAAUUAGUUCAAAGGUUGAAAUGUAUAGUAAUGUUAUUUUUUUAUUUUAUCUGAAAUUGUGAAAUUCAUAAUUUUCUAAUUGUGUACCAUUUUAUAACUUUGUUAUACUUUAGAGAAAAUUGGUCUGGAGACUUGAGGAAGAGAAUGAAAUCAAAAUAGCUUUUAACUCGAAAGCCUCUCAUAGACUUUCUAAGGUGUUUAGGGAUGCCCGAAAUGAAAAUAUAAGGCCAUAUUGGAUUGGAGAUCAUGUUUGGAAUGAUCUGUUAUCACAUUGGAAUGCACCUGAGUAUCGUUCCAAGUGCGCACAAGAAAAAAAAGGCAUCUGAAAAGGUGGGGGUAUGCACACAGGUGAUUCUAUCAGCUUGCAGGAUCACGCCAUUCGAUUGGUAUACACAUUAAAAUAAUAAUACAUAGUUGUUUAUACUUUUUUAAUUUAUCACUUAAUGUUUAUUUUAUAAUGUUUGUUAAUAGUCAAAGGAGCUUGGUUGAUCUGUAUAUGUAAAUGAGGUCUUUCAACAAACUUAUUUACGAAAGGAUACUGGUUAAUUUGUCUAUGUUAGAUCUAGACAAACACAUGUGAGACCAUUAUCUUGCAUCUUUUUUUAUUCUUUAAAAUGUUUAUUAUAUUUAUGAAGUAAUAUCUCUUUAUGAAUUACAGGAAGAAAUAAUAAUUGUUUAUGAAUUACAGGAAGAAUUUGAGGCUAGACUAUCUCAAGCUAGGUCUGAUGCUGCAUCAAGUGUUGGUGAAUCACAACUCACUCCUUUAGACCCUGUUGAAGAACAAAGACUUAGGAGUCGAUGUUGGGUUGUGACUGUGGGAUCAAAGCGUAAAGGACGCCUUUAUGGUGCUGGAGACCUUGUUCAUACUUACAAAUGUGGAAAUGACAUCUUCAUGCAGCAUACACAAGGAUCUUCCUAAAGAUGCUGCAGAGAUUAACUGACUUAGGGAGGAGCUGCGUCAAUCAAAGAAGAUGUGUGUUUUUCAAUCAGUUGUCCUUCAGUUCUUACCUCCUGAAGUAUGGAACAUUAUUCAUCAACAACAACAACCUCACCAGCAGCAUCAGGAUCAACACCAACACCAUGUAGAUGACCAGCAAACAGAUGACCAACACGAACAUGAUGACUAACAGAGACACUCUCCUGAUGACUACAUUGAUAACUGACUAAGCAACACAAUUACUAUUGACAAUUGACAUUGAAGUCUUGCAUUGUUUAUCUUUUACAUUUGUUUUCAAUUUAACUUAAUGAUUUAUUUGUUUAUGUUUUGGAUUUAUCAAUUUUAUUAUUUCUUAAUUAUAAGUAUGUAUUAAAUUCAAAUUUUUACGAUAAAUAAUAAAAUUCAUAACAUAACUGCCAAAUUGUCAAUCAUAAAUGAUUAAAAAAACAAUUGAAAUAAUAAAUUAUUUAUAAAAUUAAAUUUUCCAAAGGAUUUUCCAUAAAAAAUUUACGACAAAAAAAUCCGUAAGAAAUAAUUCAUGGGAAAUUUCCGAUGGAAAAAUCUAUCGGAAAAUCCAUCGGAAAUUUCUGAUGGAAAAAUCUAUCGAAAAAUUCGUCGGAAAUUUCCGAUAGAAAAGAAAAUCCGUCGGAAAUAAUCCGUGGGAAAACUCCGAUGGACAUUUUCUGUUGGAAAUUUUCCAUGGACUUUUUUCGACGGAUUUUUUGUCGGAAAUUUCCGAUGGAUAACAAAAAAUCCGUCGGUUAAAAUUUCCUACGACCAUUUUUCCGACGGAUUUUUGUUAGUCGGAAAUUUACAGUUAGUGACGGGUUUUUAACGUUUCCAACAAAUUUUGGUUGUGGGAAAAAUGUUUUUUUUUGUAGUGCACAUUUGGUACCGACCUAUGUUUUGUUUUGUUGUUUGUAACAUCAUAGAUUUGUUAUUUUAGUGUUACAUCUUGAACAAGGUGAACAUUAGAUAUAAGUAAUUCCAACUGGUCAAGUAAUUAAUACAUUUAUCAUUUAUUUCUAAUUAGUUUUUUUUAAAAGAAAAGCAAAUGAAAUAUGUAUUUGAUGUUUUUGUGACAUGAGAUAUAUUAAAUACUUUCCAAAUAUUUCAUGUGAAAAGUACUUCAUGAUACAAAUUCAUUGGACGUAUUUAACAAACAAAAAUUGUAACACAAGUGCAUGCUUGAUUUUCAUCAAAUUUGUUUUUCUUUUACUAUUUUCAUUUAAUUUUUGUCUAAUAAAAUUAUAAAAACAUGUGGCUUCAUAAUAAAUUCAUUGGAGAUCUUUUUAUACUAAUCCAUUCAUAAAUUCGUCUAAUUAAUAUGUAUAUAUAAGUUCACAAUUACAAGAAUGAAGUUGUCAAUAGCACCAAAAAUAGAGAAUUAGUUUGGAACCAUUAUCAAAAUGCUAGAUAUGAAUAUGACACAUGUACAUGCUAAAUAGGGACAAGAUUGCCAUCGCUAAAAAGAUCAGGGUUAUAAGAAAAGAAUUGGUAGUCACCUUAAGCAUGGGGUUGAGGAAAACAUUGUUCAAAUUUUGGAAGCCAUAUAAGAAAGUGAUAGGUUGGUCAAUGUUGGUGUAUUUGAUCUUUUAUUCCUUAUGAUGGAGGAGGCUUUGCUACCAUUAAAGAAAUUAAUUAUCUUCAGUAGAUUCAAGGCUUUGUGAAAGCUUAUGGUGAGAUUUUGAUUGCAACUAAUAAUUGGGGUUUUAAACAUGUUGAAAUGAAUAUCAUGGGGGAUCAUUAGUAUUUGAUCAGAAGGUUUUUUUUUUCUAUCAAUAAAGAAAAUUUGAACUUACACAACUAAAAAAGUGUUAUUUACGAUGAUUCUAAGGGAAUUUUUUAUGACAGUUUUUAACCAUCGUUGAAGCCACCAUCGUGAAAAGUCUUGACAUUCCACAACGGCUUUCAAAGGUACAAUUUCUAAGACGGUUUUGUCUUAAAACUGUCUUAAAAUGUUUUUUUAAUUAAAAAAAUUUUAGAAUUCUAAAACCAUUUUAGAAUGUCUUUUUUAAAAAAAAUAAAAAAUUGAAGAUUCAAAUACGAUUUUUUUCAAAAACUAUCUUAGAGAGUCUACUUUCUAAGACUGUUUUUCAAAGAAACGUCUUAGAAUGUCUUUUUUUUUUAAAAUAAUAAAAAAAAAAUUGACGAAAUUGAGUACAGGUACCCAAACAUAUUUGCACAUACAUUCAUGCUUAUUUAAAUUGACUACAACCAUCCAAAAGGCAAAGUCACACAAACUAGAUUUUAAACACAAAUAAUCCUUACCUUUGCUACAAAUGUCAUUGUUUUAAGGAAAAUAAGUGUUUUUAAUUCUUAUAUUUUCAGUCAAACUUGGUUUUAUCCCUGUACUUUCAUAUUGGUGAAUUUAAUCCUGUAACUUUUAAAAAUAUGUGAAAGUAGUCUCUCUUCAUGUUUAAACUUAACAUUUAGUGACAAUUUUUUACUUUACAAAGUUGAAAGAUGGACUAAAUUCACAUAUUUUCUUAAGUUGAAAGAUGAAUCAAAAACAUAUUUUUCUCUUUUAAUUUCAACCAGAGGAUGAGUAUUAGAUUUCAUGCUAGUUUAAGAAAAUUUUCAGUUUUAUAUCAAUGAUGUUUGAAUGUUGGGAAGAAAAAUCGAAGUCAUGCUGCAAGUGGAUUUCUUAUGAUUGUAUCACAAUUUUUUGUACUUUAAUCAGAAAUGUCGUCCAGUCCAAUCCAAAGGGAUAGAAAAUAAUAAACAUUAGAAAAUGUAAAGGAAGAAAAAAAUAACCAAAAGAUAUAGUAAAAUUAAUAGAUUUAUUUUCUAAGCAAAAGUAACAACUUUUCUUACAAGGAUAUCCUAACCAAUCCAAGCAAACGAUGCACGACGAUAAACUGCCCAAACCAAGCAAACACUAUGCAGAAUAGAGUAACAACAACUGUUAGAUAUGAGACAGCUCCAAAGAAGGGUGUCUUCACAAAUGUUUGAGCAUGUUGUUGAAACUAUCUCAAACUAUAAGUAUUUUGCUGUCAAUUUCAAAUUGGGUACAUAUAUUCCCUAUUUAAAAGAGAUUAGAUUAGCAUAAUAUCCACACAUUUAAGUUCUUUAACCUUUUAAGACUAUUGAUUCUUGAUACUUACAAUGAACAUUUUAGAUUUUUCUAUUCCCAUAUAAUUUAAAAAAAAAACAAAAAAAGACUCAUUAAUCUAAAUCCAAAAUUUCUUCACACACCCCAUCCCCAAUUCCAUUUAAUCAUACCUUAGCUUCAAACCAACCAUCUUUGCGUGGUAGUUGUAGUUUUUUUUUGUUCAAAUUAUAUUUCCAUAGUCCAGUUCAUACCAGCAGAGAUAUCACUGCAUGGAAGCCUAGUUAAUUAGACCAUAAUCUAAAAAAAACAUUAAAUGAAAAUAUUUUAUAUUACCUUCUUCUAAUGUUUCUUGUGUACGGAACACAACGACAUACAUCACCUUUAAUGGUAACCACCAGCAUAACAACAUGACAUUAAAUUAUAAUUUUGUAUUCUUUGUUAUUCAUAGAAUAAUAUUAGAUAAUUACUCUAGGAUAUAACUUUGAAAUGACCAUAUUGAUAUUUUUGUUGUCAAAACAAUACACGUAAUUCAUCAAGUAAGCACAAAGCACUAAUUCAUCAAGUAAUCAAUACACGUAAACAAUGUUAGAAUUAGGUGCAAUUCAUGUAUCAUAUGUUGAACAAGUUCCCUCCUUCAUCACAUGUUAAAUGCAUUUAGUUUUAAUAGAAAUUAGUUCUUAGGAAGUAGCACCCUCACUAUUCCUGAGAAUUCUACCUUCACCACGAGAUCCUAAAGAUUCCAAAAAUAAAAAUCAGAAAAUGAAAAGCACCACAUUCCAAUUUAAUUGGACAAGGAGCUUGUAAAGUGAAAAAAAGGCAUGUAAAAGUAGCAAAUAAAACUUGAACUACACACCUUCUAUGAUAAGGCAACCUGCUCCAUAUAAUAACUGUUGGGUGAAAUUGUACAAACUCCAUAUCCUAAAAAAUUUAUGGUGAGGAUGUGAAUGAUAAAAGACUAAUGUCAAAGGAUAUCAUGUUAAUAUUGAAAAGCAACCAAAAGGGAAAAGCACACCUCAAGAGAGAUCCCACCACUUGCAACCAUGGCAUUGCCAUCUCCAAUACAAGUAUGUGUUGAGGUUGCAGAGAAGUAUGGUUUGUAAAUCUUUAAGGGGUUUCCUAGACUAUCAAUGAUAGGAAACAACAGGAUCUUGAAACCUAUGAUUCUCACAAACAAUCAAUAAACAACAAUAGAUAAUGAUGUGUACCUUUCUCCAUAGGAAGACUUGUACCUUUCUCCAUAGGAACUUCUCUCCGGUGCACUUUGAUUUCCUUGAAAGAGGAGAGAAAUAAGAUUUCACUUCCUUAGGCCUUUCUUUUCUGCCUCUCUCCGUUCGUGAUGGCUAUGGGUGAGAGAAAACACUUUUCUGGUCAGGAAGGAGACCUUAUUUCACGUUAGUGGGUAUUAAGCCCCUUUUAUAACUACUACUCCCAUCAAGUAACAGUUAGCUCUAUAAACUUCUCCUUUUAAGCCCAAUUACAAUUUAGCCCUUAAUCGUUAAUUAUUUACUUAUUAGUCCCUACAUAAGUCACAUGCCUCUCACAUGAGACAUUAAUUCUAACAUUCUCCCACUUGGCUCAUGUGACAUUAAUAAACAUUAUGGACUAAAUAAAUGAAUAGAUUAACUAACAUAAUGCGCAUUAAAAAUGACUAAAUUGUUAUGUACAUUGGGUACAUCAUAAUUUCAUGAUUAAGAAUAUGAACCAAUUCGAGUCAUGGCGGUUGUACAUCAUCUAAUCGAUAUAGUCCCUUCCAUGUACUACAAAUUAGUCUUCUCCUUAAUAUGACCAUUAGUUAGGAGUACAUAAUUGAUCAAACAUAAUGUCUUCAUUCAAGACAAAACCUGUUAACAUUACUCUAACACAAACAUGCAUGCAAACAUAGAGAACAGGUAAUCAGAAACAUAUUAUAAUUGAGCUCAGAGUGUCACUAAAAAUGCAUAAGAUAAAUUACACUUAAUGAUCAUCAAUAACAAUAAUGCCCAUACUUUCAACAUGUUCUAUAAUGUCUUGGGCGGUAAUCCCUUAUUCAAAGGGUCAAUCAUCAUAAGGUUUGUGCUAAUUUAUUUUAUUGACACUCUUUGUUUCUGAACAUCUUCCUUCACGACAAAGUACUUCAAUUUCAUAUGCUUAGCACCCUUAGAGUACUUGUCGUUCUUACAAAAAUAUUGCUGCGGAGUUAUCACAAUACAUCUUUAGUGGCCAAGCGAUACUGUCGACAAUUCCAAGCCCUGAAUUAAAGUUUCGCAACCAAUUAAUCUGAAUUGUAGCCUCAAAACAUACUACAAAUUCAGCUUUCAGAUGCAACAACAACUGAUGCAUACAAAAUAGCUUUCAUUUAUUUUCGUUCCAUAUCAUUUCUAGGACAUUGUGCGAGACCAAAUUUGUCUUCUUUCUAAAUUAGAACAGGUAAUGUUAAACACCUUUCCAUCUUGAAUCUCUCUAGCACUUUAUCAAUAUAUAUACUUUUUGAGAUAAGCCUAACAAUCCUGGUGAUCUAUUAUGGAAUAUUUCUAUCCCUAUCACAUAGCUUAUCUCACCCAUAUCUUUCACGUCAAAGUGUCUAGAGAGAAAUUUCUUAGUCUCAUGAAGAAGACCAAGAUCGGUAGCUGCAAGCAAGAUAUCAUCAAUAUACAGAAUUAGAAAAAUAACCUUACCCCCACUGACCUUCAGAUACAUACACUGAUAAACAGUAUUUGCCUUAAAUCUAAAGGAAACAAUGACAUCAUUAAACCUCAAAUACCAUUGGCAAGAAGCUUACUUUAAGACUGUAUAUUGAUUUCUAGUUUGCACAUUAUGUGUUCCUUACCCUCAACUGAGAACCCCAUUGGUUGGUCCAUACAAACAUUCUUCUCUAAAUCUCCAUUAAGAAAGGCAGUUUUCACAUCCAUCUGAUAUAGCUCCAAGUCAUAAUGGGCUACUAAUGCCAUGAUAAUCCUGAAAGAAUCCUUUCGUGAGACCGGUGAAAACGUCUCUUUAUAAUCAAUGUCAUCUUUCUGAGUAAAUCCCUUAGCAACAAGUCUAGCCUUGUAAUGUUCAAGGUUGCCAUGAGAGUCACGUUUAGUCUUGAAGAUCCACUUACAACCAACUCUCUUACAACCCUUUGGUAAUUCUACAAGGUCCCAAACACCAUUAUGUUCCAUGGAAUUUAUCUCUUCUUUCAUGGCAUUUAACCACUUCUCAGAACUAUCACAACUUACAACUUGUGAAAACAAAAUUGGAUCAUUAUCAUUAAUGCUUAAGUUUGUUUCUGUUUCAUGUAGGUAUACCACAUAAUCAUUCGAAAUAGUUGGUCUCCUUUUAUCUUUGAGACCUCUUUAAUGCUACUUCUUGUGGUUCUUCCAUAAUAGGUUCAUUAUGCAUUAUGGGUUCAUUAUUGUAUUGCUCAUCUUCAUUAAUUUUGUAACAACUAAAAGAAGCAAUCACCUUACUUCUAGAGGCACAAACUAAAAGGACUUGCACUCUAACUUCUUUAAUUUCCACUUCUUGUGGAACUAUACUCCCACUGAUUUUAUCAUUUUCAAUGAACCUUGCAUUUCCAGUUUCAAAAAUUCUCAUACUAUGAUUAGGACAAUAAAACAUAUACCCCGCUGAUUUUCUGGAUAACCAAUGAAAUAUCCACUGAUUGUUCUUGUAUCCAAUUUUCUUUAUUGUGGAUUAUAAAUCCUUAUUUCUGCCUGGCAACCCCAAACAUGCAGGUGCCUUACACUAGGUGUCCUAUUUGUCCACAGUUCAAAGGUGUCUUUGGAACUGUCUUACUAGGAAUCCUAUUCAACAAAUACAUAGCAGUUUUCAAGGCAUACAUCCACAAAGAUACGGGUAAAGUCAAAUUGAUUAACAUACUCCUAAUCAUAUCCAUUAAAGUUCUAUUACGCCUUUCUGAUACACCAUUUUGUUAUGGUGUACCGGACAUUGUGUAUUGUGCACAAAUGCCACGUUUUUGAAGAGGCUUAGCAAAUGGACCUGGGUGUUGCCCAACUUCAUCAUAUCUUCCGUAAUACUCUUCACCUCUAUCAUAUCUAAUAAUUUUCACAUUUAUGUCUAAUUGCCUUUUUACUUCAUUGUAGUAAAUUUCUAAGGCAUCCAUUGCCUAAGAAAUCUCGGGCAGUAAGUAGACAUAAUCGUAACGUGAAUAAUCAUCAAUAAUGGUGAUAAAAUAUCAUUCCUUUUCGAAAGAACUAAAAUCAAAAGGUCCACAAAUAUCAGUAUGCACAAUUUCAAGAAGCUGAGUGCUUCUUGUAGCUCUUUUCUUUGUAUGUUUUGCUUGUUUUCCCUUAAUACAACCCACACAAAUAUUUAGAUCCAUAAAAUCUAGAUAAGGAAGAAUUUCAUUCUUUAUUAAUCUUCCCAUCCUUUCUCUAGAAAUGUGACCUAAACGUUUAUGCCACAAAGAGUAUCCAGUAACAUCAAGUUUAGAUAAUGAAACUAAAUUACUAGAUAAACUAGUUACAUAAAGAGUUUCCAAUAAAUCUAAAUGAUGUUCAGUGUCGAGUUUUACACAAUAAGUCUCGACUGCUUACAUUGGAGUUUCACUCUAUUCCCCAUGAAAAUGAACUUCUCAUUUGGGUUUAUGGUUUGGAUUGUAAGGAAUCUCUGCAUAAUGUUAGAAACAUGAGUCAUACAUCCAGAAUUAAUCCAUCAUGUAUUAUGGGAAACUUUAGUUAAGUUUGAUUCAAAACAUACAUGAGCAUUAAGCCCACUUUUCUUUUCGAACCAAGACUCGCACUUUAGGUAAUCCUUCUAGAAAUGUCCUGAUUUCCUACAAAAUUGACAAUUAUUUCCCUUUGAUACCUUCCUCUAGAUUUGCAAAGAGUAUUGAUUUUUAAUUACCCUCUGCCUUUCUCAUGCUUCUUCAUAAAUUUCUUUCCAGCUCCUUGAUUCCCUUGGUGACUUUCAUAAUGGACUGAGUGACUUCCUUGAUUUUUAAGCCUCGUUUCUUCCUGAACUAACAUAUUGUGCAAUUCAUGCACAUUCCAUUUAUCUUUAUGGUAUUAUAGUUCAUUUAGAACGGGCCAAACUCAGGCGGUAAUGAGUUUAGAAUAAACUAAACAAGAAAGUUCUCAUUCACAGCCAUUAUAUUCCCAAGGUCUUAAGUCUUGUUGCAAUGUUUGUCAUCUCAAUGACAUGUUCAUACAUAGUACGUGAGCCAUCAAACUUCAUGGUGACCAAUAUACUCAUUAAUGUCCCAACAACAGACUUAUUAUCUGUUUGAGAGCGCUCUCCCACUAAUCACAUAAACUUUUUAGCACUUUCGAUUUUAGGGAGAGUUGUCUUAAUACUGUCAGCAACAGUCAUUCUCAUCAACAUUAGACUGAGUCUGUUAGAUGUUUCCCAAGUUUUAUAAUGAACUUUCUCUUCAUUUCUACUAACAUUAAUAAUAGUAACAAACUUCUCUUCCAACAUAGCAAGAUCAUGAUCCAAAACACCGAGGUGAAAUUGGACUUGCUCAUUUUAGUCAGAGAAGUUAAGUCCAUUAAAAUUGGCUCAGAUGAUACAUAAGAAUCCAAUGAAUUCAAAACAUGUAUUACAUAAUAAAAUUCACAUAAGUGUUUUGAGACAUAAAAUACAUGUCAUACAUAUGAUUCAUUCAGAUAACAGUCAAUGUAUAUUGAUGUUCUCCUUUGGGUGAUACACCAACACACAACAUACAAACAUAAUGAUGCUAAUAAAAUUUUAACAUUAUUUGGCAAUUAAAUAUGCACAAAUUAGUAGUAUCUAUUUCCUUUGGGCAUAUAAAUAAAACUAAUGAUACACACAAAUCGCCUACAAUUAUAUUAAUUAAUUAUAAGAACAACUAAUCAACCUUUGGGCGAUCCAUAAAUGCCUUAUAACAAUGAAUUUCAAUUACCCAUAAACCAAUAACCAUAUAAUUUAACAUCCAUUAUUCUAUGAGUAAUCAAAAUAAUCAUUAAUUUUGGAAUUAAAUAACCUUAUAAAUUUGGCCACUUUGGUGACUAACAAAUUCAACAUACAUUUAAUUCCAACCAAGUAUAAUUGAAAUAAUCAUUAAUUUGGAAUUAAAUAACCUUACAAAUUUGGCCACUUUGGUGACUAACAAAUUCAACAUACAUUUAAUUCCAACCAAAUAUGUAUGACCUGCACAUACUUAUUGCUAUUAACAAUUCAUAGUCAUUCUAUUAAUUUCAUUCCAGGCCAUAAAAUAAUAUUUGCAUUUAUUUGUGUUUUUGCAUUCAAACACGUUCAAGCAAAUAUGUACCAUAUACAUAUAUUUAUUGCUACCAAUAAUUGCAAAACAUUCAUAUUAAUUUAAUUACAGAACAUAAACUUUCAAUUCUUUAAUCACGUUCAACAAUAAUUUUUCGGGAAAAAAAAAAGAUCAAGUGGGAUUGGAAAUAACAAACAUAAGGUUGCAAAUAGAAAUUUCCAAAAUUUCUUAUUCUUCCCUACCGAAAACCUAGGCGCAGUUUUUCAAAAUUGAAAUUGAAUCUUUAUGUUAAUGGGCACGCUUCCUUUCUUUCACCAUUAGAAGUAAAAACUUUCUCCAAAUUUAAUAUAUACAUGCCGUGCAGCUUUCUCUCCGAUAAUCAUAAGUUUUCAAAUAAUCUUUCUCCAAAAAUUGGUAUUCAACAAUAAUAAAAUAUCGUCAAUAAAACAAUACAUGCAACGAAAAAUAAAAUUCCUAAAUUUUAUAAUUAGGAUUUAUGCAUAAUUGGGAGAAAUUAAAUUAUCCCUAAAUCUCAUAAUUAGGGUUCAUGCAUAAUUGGGAGAAAUUAAAUCAUUCUUGGAGAAUCAUAAAUUUCAUAACACAUGCUCUGAUACCACAUGUAAAUCUUUAAGGGGUUUCCUAGACUAUCAAUGAUAGGAAACAACAGGAUCUUGAAACCUAUGAUUCUCACAAACAAUCAAUAAACAACAAUAGAUAAUGAUGUGUACCUUUCUCCAUAGGAAGACUUGUACCUUUCUCCAUAGGAACUUCUCUCUGGUGCACUUUGAUUUUCUUGAAAGAGGAGAGAAAUAAGAUUUCACUUCCUUAGGCCUUUCUUUUCUGCCUCUCUCCAUUCGUGAUGGCUAUGGGUGAGAGAGAACACUUUUCUGGUCAGGAAGGAGACCUUAUUUCACGUUAGUGGGUAUUAAGCCUCAUUUAUAACCACUACUCCCAUCAAGUAGCAGUUGGCUCUAGAAACUUCUCCUAUUAAGCCCAAUUACAAUUUAGCCCUUAAUAGUUAAUUAUUUACUUAUUAGUUCCUACAUAAGUCACAUGUCUCUCACAUAAGACAUUAAUUCUAACAUGGUCUACCAUAACCCUGAAGUAGAAUAAAGGAUCGCACUUAUCCAUAAAUAAGUGAAAUAAAAUAAAAUAAAAAUCAGCAUCAAGCAUCGUCUUAGAAAAUUGUUACCCUUGUGGCUAAAAUUGUCGAAGCAGCUUUGAAACGAUGUAGUGUUCCAUCCUCCAUAUUCAAGGAAAUCACUCCUUGACAUCCUUUUACGUUUGCAAACUUCUGCCCAAACACACACUAAGUGAUCAAUAUAUUGUAGAUAACACAUCGACAAGAUGCUAUAUGGUCCCAUUGUUUAUCUUAUGAAUGGUCCUAGGCAGGAAAAACAGGAAAAAAAAAGAGAAGCUUAUAAGUAGAGCCUAUAAACUACUACUAGGCAGUACUUCCCACCAUUUGACAAAGGGUAGAGAAGUAGGAGCAAUAAUACAAGAGAGAAGAGAUUCAUAGUAUUUGAUUAAUUGUCAUAUCAUUCAUUAGUUUAAAGACCCCACAGUUGUUAUCCCAGUGCUUAAAUUUCUUGGGUCCUACACUAUUUACAAAUUCCCUGUCACCCCAAAGAUAUUGAAUGAAAGAUGUAAGAAAAGCCUGGUUAUUCUGAAAUGGCAUGGGAUUUCAUUUAAAAAUAUAAGGAACAAAGAAUACUUACGGCCACGGGCCAUCACCAAGGAGAAGAAUGUCAUUCCCUUGGUCAACAAAUACAAGCUGCCAGUCUGAUCUCACAGGGUCCUCUAACUUACCUUCAAGGCCGAACAUACGAGCAAGCUCGUCAGUCAAUCGUUUUUGAGAAAAAAGAUCAAUGCAAAAUAUGUCAAAUUGUCAAUACCAGACUUUCAAGUAUGUAAUAAUUAUAUACUUGGAAAUAUGGUUAUUUAUUUGAUUCCUUUUGUUAUAGUGUACUGGACUAAUUAUUAGUUAUUAGAAGCAUGGACAAUUCUAAAUAAUAUUUGUAAAUGUGUUGUACUUGUGUCAAACAAAUGCAUCUAUAUAUGUUGAUAUUGCACAAAAACUUUCAAUAUCAUUCGAUCUGGUGUAUUUUGCAUGUAAUUUUUUUAAACCUUUUACCAAUACAAUUUUGAAUAUCAUGAUAUAUAUAAAUAGAUACAAUUUUGCAUGUAUUUUAUUACGUUUAUAAUGUCAUAUAAACUAAUUCAAUUUAUACAAUUAAAAAAAACUCAUUUAUGAUAUUAAUAACGGCUUAAUAUCAAACACUCAGGCUAAAGAGUUAUAUCAUUCAAAAAAAACUUUUAAAUAAAUUUUUUAAGUUUAAUUAAAUGCCUGCAAUUUUAAAACAAUAUUAAUGCUAACUCCAAGUUAGUGAUUUGACAAAAAGAAGUUUCUUAAAUAAAACAUCAAAAGUGAAAAUAGCAAGUAAGCAAUGCACAUAUAUGAUAUUGAACCAUAGAAAUUUUGGGGGGAAAAAAUGGAACUAGAUUAUGCCAAAAUAGUUUUAUAUAGUCAAACAAUUAUUCAUUUAGUUACAUACUUUGAAUGCUAAAGUGAAAGUUUCUAAAAUAAUUGCACUGACUUUGAACUUCUUAUUAUAUCUUCUUAUUAACAGAAUUUGCUACUUUAAACUUAUUAAACUUACCGUUAGGUGUGAUAGGAGAAUCAUCAAUCUAAUUAUGAAACGAUAUCCUUCCGAAUGGGAUAAAAUAAUUCCUUAUAUAUUAUUUACUAUUCCUAUUUCUUCUAUUAAUUGAAGAAAUAAUUUGAAAAUAAAACAGCAAGUACAAAAAUGAGUAAUAACCCCCCAGUAGAGACUGGUACGAUUCAAUUCAACAUUUUUUUCAUUUGGGUUUGAUUGUGUCGUAGCUCUAUAAUUCAAAUUAGGUUUAUCGUUGGAUGAACUGCAUUGCUGAUAUUGAUCCCAAAAAAGAAACACUGGGUACCGCUAGUCUGUGAACAGCCAACCAUCAUACUGUAAAAAUUGGAUAGGUCCUAUCUAUGGUCAUUGGAGCCUCCUAAAAAGAUCUAUUAAAUUCAUCAAGUUGUUCCAAAGGAUCAAAACGGCCAGUUAUUAAUGGAAUUCCUUGUCGGCUCUCUGUAAAAUAUUUGUUUGGGCGGGGACUUUCAAAAACAUCGUAAGCUAGACCCGUGCUGACAAAUAACCAACCUGCAAUGAAUAGGGAGGGUAUAGUAAUGCUAUGAAUAAUCCAGUAUCGGAUACUGGUAAUAAUAUCAACAAAAGAACGUUCUCCUGUGCUUCUAGACAUGUUGAACUCCACAUAUUCUUGUACAGUCAAAAGGGGGAUCGAUUCCAUAAAAGACGAGAUCAGUAAGUAGAAAUUUACUGAAAUGUAAUCCUUGUUAGAUCGUCCAUUUUGUACCAACGGUGUCUUUUGAGUAUACCGAAUCAGUAUAGCUAUCCUUCUUCUAACAGAGCAAUGAAAUUUCACAAUCGAAAUCUAGGACUAGAUAAGUUCUUUCUUCUUUCUUCAUUGAUUGUCUCGAUGUAUUCAAAAAUCCGAUAGAAAAUUUUUUAAUAGUACAUUUUUAUAGUAAUAGUAUAAAAUGAAGGUUCUUCACAUUUCACAUUAUUAUUUUCGGACUAAAAAUUAAGUAUCAAUUAAAAUCAGAAUAUGGUAAAUUGGUUUCUUAGAAUUCAUAAAGGAGAUUUUAUAUUUCUAGAAUUCAAUUAGAUGCCAAAUCUAUAAAUAUACUUUUUGUGGUUGUUGAAGAUAUUUUUUCUAUUUUCUUCUAUAUCAAUUCAAAAUUAAAUAAAUUGAAAUAACAAAGUUAAUUUUCUGUUUUUAUUUUAAUAUUCAUUUUUCUUUCUAAUAGAAAUAGAAUUCUAUUCUAGAAUAAUAUAUGAAAUAAUACGAAAGAUUUUCAUUAUCAUUAGAUUAGUUUACUCAAUUCUUGAGUUGAUUAAUAAGUCUGUUGAUUUGGAAUCACAGGAUGAGUAGAUGUCACAGAUGAUGAAUUUAUUUCUAAAUUAUGUCAUUCUAUUUCUCUUUUUAUUCGUUUGUAAUAAUUUAUUAAUGAAUCUCCAAUUUUCAAUUAUAUCUUUUAAGUAGUAUUUUUUCUUAUCUUCUUUUUUCUCUCAAAAAUGGAAAUUUAGGGAAGUGCUUUAUAAACAGAUGUAUAAAAAUAACAUAUUUCAUUUAGCUUAUAUCUGCUCACUAUAACUAGUUAUUUUGGUUUUUUACUAGUAGUUUUAAUUAUAACCUCAUCUCUAUUUAUUGGUCUGAGUAAAAUACGACUUAUUUGAUUUGUAAUUUUGAGAGGAAUAGUCAAUUUUGGAAUAAGACAUUCUAUAGUUCCUUACUGUGUCAAUUUACAAUUAUCAGCCGUUGAGAUUCAUGAUCAAUACAGAUUAAUGGUUAAGGAUAAAUAUUACCUUUCUUUUUACCUUUUGAACAAAUAAAAAUGAUUGAAGUUUUUCUAUUUGGAAUCAGGUUAGGUUUAAUUCCCAUUACUUUGGCUGGAUUAUUUGUAACUGCAUAUUUACAAUACCGACGAGGUGAUCAGUUGAAUCUUUGAUUAAUUAAUGUCUCUUUUUUUGUGGAUUCCCUAUUUUUUUUGUUUUAAUCCUAAUCCACAAGGAUUAAAUUCAGACUUUUUAAUGUUUAAUUAUUUCAGUGUAAUUAUCAUUCGAAAAAUACUAGAAUCAUGUUCUGUAGGAUUUGAAUCAUCACGCUCUGUAGGAUUUGAACCUACGACAUCGGGUUUUGGAGACCUGCGUUCUACCGAACUGAACUAAGAGCGCUUUGUUUUCAUAAAUUAUUUUAUAUGAUCCAAAUCCAUUUUACAUGUAUAUACUAUAUCAAUAUAUAUACAUAUAGAUAUUCGGUAUGUAUGUCCAAUUGGAAUUCAUCUUCAAUUGGUUCCAUUUUAUUGCUCAUCUCAUAUAAUAAAUAUAUAAUACGGAAUAUCAUAUGAUAAGUAAUAGUUAGGGAUAGGGAUGACAGGAUUUGAACCCAUGACAUUUUGUACCCAAAACAAACACGCUACCAAGCUGCGCUACAUCCCUUUUCCAUUUGUUUCUAGUGUUAUUGUAAAGAAUCUUUGUCUUGUUUUCUUCAUUUUUAUCUGUUGAUAUAUAUAUAUAUAUAUAUAUAUAUAUAUAUAUAUAUAUAUAUAUAUAUAUAUAUAUAUUCUUUAGAAUAAUAAAAAAGAAUAUUAAAUUCAAAUAAAUUAUAGAUAGAAAAAAGACUUAAAAAAGAGGAUUUGAAAUGCGAGAUCUAAAAACAUAUCUUUCCGUGGCACUAGUAGUAAGUACUCUAUGGUUCGGGGCUUUGGCGGGUCUCUUGAUAGAGAUCAAUCGUUUUUUUCCAGAUGCAUUGAUAUUCCCUUUUUUUUCAUUCUAGUUAUUGACACAGAAAGGGGUGAAGAAGAUUAUUGAUCCAAUUAAGUAUUAAAUAUAUGUAAUUAAUCUCUUCUUCUUUAUUUCGUCUUUUAUUUCUUCUUUUUUUUACAAUUAUAAUAGAAUAAGUUAGGAAAGAGAAAGAAUAAGGGUUAAUUUGGCCUAAUUGAAAUUCGGAGUGAAACUCGGGAUCUCGUCCAGGCUUCCAUGGAAUUGAAUUAAUAAUUCAAUUCCAUUUCUAUUAAUAAAAGAGUGAAAGCAGAAAUUUAAAUGGAAUGUAUAGGGUGGGGGCAACAAUUGUUGGAGUCUAACAGAACUUACAUAAAAGAUAAAAUGUAAAGGAAGGAAUUCAUUCACAGUUAUUGAAAAGCAAACCUGGCUAAUAUAUAGCCUUACAUCAGAAUAAAGAAAACUGAAAAAUAAAACUGCUCACGCAUACAUGACCCACUAUUUCCUAAUAAUGUGCUAGACAUAUUCAAAAACAUAACUGCUCCUAAAAAUAUGGAACCAUAAGCUCACUAACAAAUCCUCCCUUAAACUGAAUGCUAUAUGCAAUUAGUUUAUAUCAGACUCUGAACACAAUCCUAGUGACCUGCGUAGCUUUAAGAAAGUAUCAAGCUUAAGUGGUUUGGUCAUAAUAUCAGCCACUUGUUCUUGUGUCCCACAAUGCAUCAUCUUGAUAGUUCCGGCCUUUGUAAGAUCUCGAAGGAAAUGAAAUCGGACGUCAAUAUGUUUACAACGACCAUGCAUCACUGGAUUCUUCGAAAGCUUAAUAGCAGAGCUACUAUCACAAUGAAUUACAGUAGCUUGGUCUUGCAUUUUACACAAUUUUCCCAACACCCUUUUCAACCAUAUGGCUUGACAAGCACAUGAUGCUGCACCUAUAAACUCUGCCUCUGUAGUUGAUAGACUCACAAUUGGUUGUUUUUUUAUGACCACGAAACAGCAGCUGAACACAAUAAGAAAACAUAACCCGAAGUACUUUUUCUGUCAUCCAAAUCCCCUGCAUAAUCGCUGCCAGUGUAAGCAAGAAGCUCUUUGUUUCCUCCCUUUUUGUAGAAAAUUCCAAACUCAGUUGUUCCCUUUAAAUAUCUCAGCACCUUUUUGGCUGCUAGUAAAUGCAGCUCAGUAGGAUUCUCCAUGUACCUGCUAAUUAAGUUCACCACAAACAUCAUAUCGGGUCGAGUAGAUGUUAGAUACAUAAGACAUCCCACAAUUUAUUUAUAGUAAGUCUUAUCCACCUUUACACCAGUGUCGUCCUUUGUGAGUUUAACACCAGGAACAAUUGGAGUUUGCACCGAAUUGCUUUUAUCCAUUCCAAACCUUUGCAGCAUCUCUAAUGCAUAUUUCUUUUGACAUAAGAAAACGCCAUCUAUUCGUUGCAUCACUUCAAGACCCAGAAAAUAUCUCAUAUUACCAAGAUCUGUCAUGUCAAAUUCAUGCUUCAUGGAGCUUUUAAAUUUUGCAAACAUCAACUCAUCAUUUCCAGUAAAAAUAAGGUCAUCAACAUACAAGCUAACAAUUAAUAUUAUAUCUUCAUUUUCUCUCUUCACAAACAAAGUAUGCUCAUAGUCACACUUCUCAAAUCCUUCCUUCAGAAAAUAUGCUUCUAUGCGACUAUACCAAGCACGUGGUGCUUGCUUAAGUCCGUAAAGGGCUUUCUUCAACUUAUACACUUUAUGCUCUUCCCCUUUUUGUUCAUAACCACAAGGUUGGUCCACAUAUACUGUUUCAUCCAACUCUCCAUGUAAAAAUGCUGACUUUACAUCCAGCUAAUAGAUUGCCCAUCCCUUUUGAGCUGCAAGUGCUACCACCAAACGAAUUGUCUUCAUUCGUGCCACUGGUGCAAAUACUUCUGUAUAGUCUACCCCAUAUUCUUGUGCAUACCCCUUCACUACAAGCCUAGCUUUGUACUUGUCCACUUCUCCAUUCUCUUUGAAUUUUGUCUUAUAAAUCCACUUUACUCCAACUUUUUUUGCUCCAUCAGGUAAUUCCAUCAAUUCCCAUGUGCCAUUUUUGUUUAUUGCUUCCAUCUCCUCAUCCAUGGCUUUCCUCCAUUUUGCAAUUUGAACAGCUGCAUCAAAGUGAGUAGGAUCACUUUCACCAGUUGCAGACAUAGCCAGAUUAGCUUCUGUACUGCCUUCAGAAAGUCCUUCUCCAGUUUCAUAAUCUUCCAUCCAAAGGGGUGGUCUUCUACACCUUCGUUGAACAGGACUAGAAGUGUUUACUUCGGCCAUAGAAUCAGAGGAAAUAAUAAUAUCCUCUUAUGGGGUAUCAGUAUUGUGUCGUACCUCAUGUUCUUCUUCUACAACAGCUUCCACAUCCUUAUCACCCCAAUCUAAAUCACAUAAGAUGGUUUCUCCAUACUGCUUAUCCCAAUCCCAACGUUUAUCUUCGUCAAAGACAACAUCUCUGCUUAUUAUGAUCUUUUGUGAAAUCGGAUCAUAAAGUUUGUAUGCUUUUGAUACUUCACUAACCCCCAACAAAACACAACACAAACUUUUAUCAUCUAGCUUGGUUCUUUUAGCAUCAGGCACAUGAACAUGAGAAAUACAUCCAAAAACUCUAAAAUACUUAACUGAAGGCUUGACUCCACUCCAGGCUUCUUCCGGCGUUUUAUUUCUCACUGCUAAUGUGGGACUCCGAUUCAAAAUAUGCACAGACUAGGUGGCAGCUUCAGCCCAAAAAGUUUUGGGCAUUUUCUUCUCUGAGAGCAUGCUCCGAACCAUGUUCAUGAUGGUUCUAUUUUUCCGUUCUGCAAUUCCGUUCUGCUGUGGUGUGUAUGCAGCUGUCAGUUGCCUACGAAUACCAUUGUCACAACAAAAAUUGGUGAAAUCCUGUGAUGUAAACUCUCCCCCACGAUCAGUGCGCAAACUUCUGAUUAAUGAGUCAGCUUCUUUCUCAACAAGAAUUUUAAAUUUCUUAAAGACAGAAAGAGCUUCUGAUUUUUCUGUCAAGAAAUAAAUCCAAGUUUUUCUACUGAAAUCAUCAAUAAAGGUGAGCAAAUGCCUCUUUUUGCUGUUGGAGAUAGGUGUGAUUGGUCCACAAAUAUCUGCAUGAAUUAAUUGUAGAACCUGUGUAGCCCUCCAAGUACUCUUCUUUGGGAAUGAAGCUCGUGAUUGCUUCCCUACCAAGCAGUCCUGGCACAGUUUUGUUGGUGCUUUCAUUGUUGGAAAACCAUAUACCAUGCUCUGCUGGUAAAGCGUAUUUAAACCCCGAAAACUCAAAUGUCCAUAUCUGCAAUGCCAAAGAUGCACUAUAUCCUCUGUAACUGUGUGAAAGCAAGUGGAUUUGGUAGGUUGAGAUAUGGCAUGUAGCAUGAACAUUCGAUUGGAAGAGAUUCUGGUUUCCAUGAUUAAACCGUUUUCAGGAUGAAACACCUUGCACUUUCCAUGUUGAAACAGAAUACUAAGUCCCUUUUCUUGUAAUUGCCCAAUACUUAGUAAGUUAUUCCUUAAAUCUGGCACAAAAAAAACUCCAGUAACAGUAUAAGUGUUGUCAUUCAUGUUUAUCCGAACGUUACCUUUGCCCGUUACAGCCAUACUGGAAUUAUUGCCCAAUUUGACUGAAUCUUUGUAAUUUUCAUCAAGAUCUGAGAAAUAUUCCUUCUUACCGCACAUGUGAUUGCUACGUCCAGAGUCAAGAAACCACACAACUUCUUCAUUUGCCUUAGUCACGUCUAUGCAGGCCAUCAAUAACAUUUCAUCAUCGUUUUCUACAUAGUUGGCCUCCUUUCUUUGGUUUAAACAUUCCCAGCUGAAAUGUCCGAGUUGAUGACAAGUGUAGCACUCCACAGUGGAUUUUUCAAAUGCCUGUCUGCCACGUCCUCGGCCUCGUCCUCUUCCUCUUCGUCCAAAGCCUCCACGACCUCGCCCCUGUUCUGCAUGUUGACCUGUAUGAGCAAUCUGCAAGGCCUGCGCUUCUUCUACAUGAGAAGUCAUGCGUAGUUCAUGGACAAGAAGACUACUUUGCAAUUCAUCAAUGGUCAAUGUGUCUGUAUCCUUAGACUCCUCAAUGGAACACACAACAUAAUCAAACUUGGGAGUCAUGGAUCUCAGAAUUUUUUCAACUACAGCCACAUCUCCUUUGUUUUCACCAUUAGCCUUCAUCUUGUUGGCUAUGGCAAGUGUCCGAGCAAAAUAAUCGUUUACAGAUUCUCCCUCCUUCAUGUGGAGAAUUUCAAACUCUUUUCUUAGAGCUUGCAACUGUGCACGCUUGACUCGUGAAGUGCCUUGGUACUUCUGUUUCAAAGAAUCCCAUAUAUUCUUUGAUGUAUCUUUGUUAAGAAUUGUCUCCAGGACGGAACGAUCUAAUGCUUGAAAUAGGUAGUUCUUUGCCUUCAAAUCUUUUAAUUUCUGAUCAUCAAUAUGCUUCCUCUCUACUUCGGUAAGAGGUGUUCCUUCCACUAAUUCAGGAAUUCCAUUUUCUACCAGACCCCAGUACUCCUUUGAACGUAAGAAAUUCUCCAUGAGUAGCGCCCAAUGAUCAUAAUGCCCGUCAAACUUCGGUAUAGCGGGCUGCACAAACGAACUCUCCGAUGCCAUAGCAUUGCUUAGAAGACUGCUGCUUCUACUUUGAAUCAGGCCUCGUGAUGGUGCUCUGAUACCAGAAUGUUGGAGUCUCACAGAACUUACGUAAAAGAUAAAAUGUAAAGGAAGGAAUUCAUUCACAGUUAUUGAAAAGCAAACCUGGCUAAUAUAUAGCCUUACAUCAGAAUAAAGAAAACUGAAAAAUAAAACCGCUCACGCAUACAUGACCCACUAUUUCCUAAUAAUGUGCUAGACAUAUUCAAAAACAUAACUGCUCCUAAAAAUAUGGAACCAUAUGCUCAGUAACAACAAUAUCAUAAAAAAUACUUAGUUAAAAAAAAUGAAAAUACUGUAUUGCAAUUGUAUUGCAAUUCGAAACAAAAUAUAGUUCGAGAUCAUUGUAUUAUUUUUGUACUAUAUUAAUCUUAAUCUUAAUUGGAACGAAAUCUUUCAAAAUUGGAUUUCGAAUUCUUAAUUUAUAUUUUCAUUUUUUCGUUCUUUUCUUUUUCUUAGAUUAUAAUCCGAAAACAAAAGAGUUAAGUGAAUUAAAAACCCAAGGGAGGUUCAUGGCCAAAGGUAAAGAUAUCCGAGUAAUUGUUAUUUUGAAAUGUACCGAUUGUGAUAAAAAGAGUGUUAAUAAGGAAUCAACGGGUAUUUCUAGAUAUAUAAUUAAAAAGAAUCGACAGAAUACGCCUAGUCGAUUGGAAUUGAGAAAAUUUUGUCCCCGUUGUUUCAAACAUACAAUUCACGCAGAAAUAAAGAAAUAGAUCAAAUUGAUCGCUUGUGUGUUACCCUUCGAACCAAAGAACUUAACAUGUAAAAUGAUCUAUUUUUCUUAUCUAUAUAGAUAGAUCUAUCUAUAUUCUAUCAUUUACAGUUGAAUAUAUACAAAUAUCAGUAUAUAACAACAUAUAUUAAAAAAAUAAUUACAUAUAUUAAAAAAGUCAGAAUAAAAAAACAAAUCCUUUAUUGUAUUUCUUGUAAUAAAUGUGAUUUUUGGAAUAGGAAUAAAUAAACCAUGAAAAAAUCUAAGCGACUCUUUAUGAAAUCCAAGCGAUCUUUUCGUAGGCGUUUGCCCCUGAUCCAAUCGGGGGACCGAAUUGAUUAUAAAAGCAUGGGUUUAAUAAGUCGAUUUAUUAGUGAACAAGGAAAAAUAUUAUCCAGAUGCGAAAAUAGAUUGACCUUAAAACAACAACGAUUAAUAACAAUUGCUAUAAAACAAGCUCGUAUUUUAUCUUCAUUACCUUUUCUUAAUAAUGAAAAACAAUUUGAAAAAAGCGAGUCAACCGCUAGAACUACUACUUUAAGAAAAAAAAAUAUAGAAAUUAAGAACUAUAAAUCCAAUUUUGAAUUGAGAUUUGAAUGAAAUAUUGAUUGAUGUUUUGUUUGAAAAUCACGACAAUUCAAUUUGGGUUUUUAUGUUGUAAAUGGGUAUAGCUUCUAGACCUUGGCUCCUUUUUGAAGUCUGUCAAUAUUUUGUUUAUAGCUGACACACAAGAUGCAGAACCAACCACCUCAACCAUGUGUACAUUCUCAAUAAAAGUAUCUUCAAACUAGCAAUUAAUACAUUUAUCAAAGAAACUAAAACAUCAACUUGAUGACAAAUUGACAGCAUGAUUUUAUUCAAAUUUUCAAAAAUAUAAUAUUCAAGAUCUAAAUAAUAAUUAUAGUUCGCUGGAUUAUUCUUAAGCGCCUAAGACUAAGAGAGAUUAAGGGAAUCAGCCAAUAUAAUCAGCAGAUGAGCGGUCUAGUCCGCUACUUCCAGCUCAGGAGGAUCCACGGAAGAUGUUACCCCCACCAACUACCAGUGCAACUUGAAACAUCAGCCUAAUUGUUUAAACCAAAAGUCUGAAAACCAGUAAAAAGCUUUGAAUAACUUCAGGUCAAAUGUUCUAACUUGCAGUGAUAUCAUAAAGUCUCCCAAUGUUACUGCCAAAUACAAAAAUAGAUCCGUGUAUCACUUCUCCUAAAGAUUAAUUUGUAAAACACAUCGUCAACGACAAUUUCACAAAACUACUGUAAAUUUCACAUAUUCAAUUAGUCAAAUGAUCUCAAACAACAGAUGAUGCAGCAGAAAAACUAGAACAAAAGAAAAAAAUGUAUUACCAUAAAAGAAUCCAUUGUAGUCACCUCAAUGCCAAGGCGAGUCACUGCUGCCACCUCCCUUGCAAUGGCCAUGGUUAUCUGUAUCCAACCAUAAAACAAUAAUUUAAGAAAUGAUGCCGAGAACAACAUGAUGUAUCAAAAUAUUUCAUUUUAUUUCAAUUAUGUUUUCAGGAAUUAUGCAUUGUCACUCUUCUCUAAUUAACUUGUUUUCUCAUUUCCCUAAAAUGUCCCUUUAAGUAAUUAAGCCAUAGCAAAUAUAUAUUGCCACUGUUAUAUCUAUUAUGUAUACUUGUAAUUAACAAUUAGAAAACUAAUUUUAAAUAAUAAAGGCAAUAACACACAAUAAAAUAGUAGAAAAAUGUCCUGCUCCUGCAAGUGAGAAGUUAUUAAAAAAAGAAGAAGGGAAUAGAGUGGGAAAGCAAAGCAGGGUAUGUAACCUUAGGGUCAAUGUUCUGAGAGUGGUCUCCAGCAAGUGCUUCUCUGCUAACUUUGAGCAAAACCCUUCGUCAUUUAAAUGAUGACCUGCUACUUUCGUUCAUUGAGAGUCUCAAGUGAGACAUGGACGGAAUCUUGGACUUCCUGCCAACAAAUUUUAUUUAUUUUAACCAUAACAAACAGUUAUUAUUAUUAUUAUUAUCGUCUUAGUUCCACAGAAGCAUUUCUACAAACAGCUUGUUAGAAGAAGAGAAACAAACUUGAAAUUGAUGGGCUCAGGCGAAGCGGCCAUUUCAGAAUAAGAGGAGCGAAUGGCGAGACUGGUGGUGUGGGAGGUUGAAUAGAAAAUUAAUUCACAGAAAUUUGAAUAUUAAGGAAAUAACAAGAAACCCUAAACAAUCAAAUGAAGUAGAUGAUGCUCCACAAUGGCAUUCAUGCAUCCACAUUCCCAUUGAUGAAGGCCUCUCUUAGCUAUAAAAAAAUGAACACUUAGUUUCCUGCUUUAUACAAAACUGUCAAAAUUACACGAGCAUGGAUUAAAACAUAAAAAUUAAAAAUAAAAUUCUAUUUCGUCGCGGUAGCCUGAUAACGUUUAAUUUGCAGUCCCAGUGGGAGGUUCUGGUGAGCACGGUGUCGAACACGCUGAAGGCGAUGAGGAGAGGGGUGCAUCCGAUCCAAAACAUGGCGUGUGCCCAAUUAAAUGAAAAAUUACAGUUGGACAAAAUAUGAAAAUAUGUGACUGCUUUGAAUUAAGAUAUCCUUACAACUUCAGCUAAAACUAAGGUUGUGAAAAUUUGAUCCAACCCACUUGUUCAAUUGGUUAAAUCGAGAAUUAAUCUGUUAUGCAGUUUUUAAUAAUCCUUAAAACAAGAAAAUAAUCAUUAAACAGAUGUAAAACUAGGGUGUUAAAAAAAAAACUGAUUUAGAUUGGAUUAGAUUGUAGCGGAAUUUGAAUUGUUUUUUUUAACUAGUUUAAAAAAAAAGACGGUACUAUCUUAUAAAAUCAAGUUAGUUAACUCGAUUGUUUGUAUAAGAUCAGUUUCGUUAAUCGAAUUAAUUUUUAUUUAAAUAUUUUUUUAUUUGAAAAAAUAACUCAAAAUUAAUUUGAAAAUCAGUUCAAAAUUAGUUUGUUUGUUAAAAUUAAUUUAAAACUGGUUAAAAAUUAGUUCAGAUAAUAAUUCAUUUUUUAAAAUCAAUUUAAUUUUGUACCCGUUUUUAAAUCAAUUUGUAUAUUUAAAUAUAAAAUUGAACCGAAUAUAAAAUUGAACAGAUUGAAACAGUACACUGAUGCAAGAAAAGUAGAAACUUUGACUAAAGUUAUAAAAAGAGAAGGGGAUUGAAGGAGACAAACGAAACUCCUAUGAUCAAAGGCAAAUUUAUUAAAUAGUGAUUUAAUAUAUUUAAAAAGGUAAAUUUAUUAAAUAAAAUAUUAUAAAAUUUUAAUAUGUUAAAUAAAAUAUUAUAAUAAAUAAAUAUACUAUGAACAAAGUCAUUAAAGGUAAUGAAAAAUAUAUUUACGUUACUUUAUUAUUGUUUUUAUAUUGAUAAAAAAAUAUAUAUUAUAUAUUGUGUUGUUGAAAUUUAAUAUUACAAUUUUUAUAUCUUGAUUUUUAUAAUUGUAUAUUAUACUAAUUUUUCUUUUUUACUCAAAAUACAAAUCUGUUAUUGUUAAUGAACAUUAUUGUAUUUUAUUAAAAACUUAAAUAUUAUGGUAUGUUUUAUUAGACUUUUAAGUAUAUUUUGAAUGUUAAAGAACUUAUAAAGUUAUGUCAAAUUAUAUUUAUUUAGUAUUAUUGCAUAAACUUUUUAAUUAUUAAUAUUGGUUUAACCACGGUUCAACUAUGGUUGAACCUUUGAAUCAGUGUCUUAAUUGUUUAAUGAUCAAUUUGAUUUUAAAAAUAUUGGUUAAAACAUAAAUCUUAUAACUCAAUUAAAAACUCAAUAUACUCACUUCUAGAGCACAUUAAGGUUGGGAGCAAUUGUUCAAGAUGGACUAGGCUUCAAAUCCAAUUUGCAUAAUUGCCCACCUUAAUAUGUAGAAAUCAUAAAUCUUAGAAUUUGCAUAACAAAGCAUAUCAUAACAAUAGUCAAUUCACCAAUCGUCAUAUGAAGAUUCAAUCAUCAUACACCGUCGUUAGUCAAUCAAUCAUCAUCAUCAUGAUUUAUCCAUCAAACAUCAUCAUCACCUGUCCAUCAAUCAUCGACACCAAAGACAAAUUCAACUCCAUGAAGAUUUCACCUUUGAGCAAUUAACCCCAAAGUACUUCUCUUAACAUAGUCACACGGUAUGAUAUGACCAUUUUGGGAGACUUGAAUUAACCUUGUAAAAGAUAUAUGGUUUUAUCGAAAAUGAAUGAAUGUAGGUAGUGACUUACCUCGAUAAGGCUUGCAAAAACCUUAACCUACCAAAUGAUUAGUGAAUUUUAGCUAUGAUUCAGCCCACUAAUCCAAAAUCAAGUCCAAGAUUCUCCACUAAGUGUGCUUAGAUGUCAUGAGACAUGUAAAGCAUGAAGGACAUGCACAAAGUGUGACUAUAUGAUGUGACAAUGGGGUGUAACAAGAAAAUGCUCACCUCCCCCUCUAAAAUUUAAUUGGAUUGGGCUUCUCCCAACUCAAUUAAAUUUUAUCUCCCAAUACACACAUCAAAUAUUCACUUAAUGCAUGUAAAAUUACAAAACUAUCCCUAAUACAAAAACUAGUCUUGGUGUCCUAAAAUACAAGGGCUGAAAAAUCCUACAUUACUGGAGUACCCUACUUACAUUAUGAAGCUCUAAAUACAAGACCCAAAAAUAAUAAAAUUCUAAUCUAAUAUGUACAAAGAUAAGUGGGCUCAUACUUAGCCUAUGAGCCCAAAAUCUACCCUAAGGCUCAUGAGAACCCUAGGGUCUUCUCUUGCCUUUCUGGUUGAAUCUUCUUCGAGUCUUCUAUCCAAUGCCCUUGGGGGUAGGAUUGCAUCAUUCAUGAUGUAGCUUCAUGUGGAGCUUGUAGGCCUUGGAUCUUCUUCAUCAAUGGAGUCCUUUGCUUCUUAAAGAUCAAUGAUAGCGGAAUGGAGAAGGAAGAAAGAUGAUAGGAGAUGCUACUUCAAGGAGAAGAUGUGUCAAGAACAAGUUCACCACCAUAGGAAGCCAUGGAUAAGAGCCUGACUGUAGGAGAAGAUGAGUGGAGGGAGAAUGAGAGAAAGAGCAUGAAAUUUUAUGCCUCAAAUGAGGUCUGAACUUUAAAGUGUAAUUCCAAAUGAUCAAAGUUGAAAAAUGCACACACAAGACCUCUAUUUAUUGCCUAAGUGUCACACAAAAAUUGGAGGGAAAUUUGAAUUCUAUUCAAAUUUCACUUGAAUUUGAAUUUGAAUUUGUGGAGCCAAAUUUAGAGCCAAAAUUUCACUAAUUAUGAUUAGUGAAUUUUAGAUAUGGUUCAGCCCACUAAUCCAAGAUCAAGUCCAAGAUUCUCCACUAAGUGUGCAUAGGUGUCAUGAGUCAUGUAAAGCAUGAAGGACAUGCACAAAGUGUGACGAUAUGAUGUGGCAAUGGUGUGUAGCAAGCAAAUGCUCACCUCCCCCUGUUGUUCAACCUUCAUUUCCCAAUCUAGGUAGGCCUCAACAUUAUCUUUUCCGUGGAAAUAUGGGAGGCUAAUGUUAACCUCUUGAGGCCUUCUAUCCUUUUCUCUUCUUUGGGAGUAAUGUUUAGUAUGUGACCUAUGGAGCCCUCUAUAAUAGUCACUAAGUUCUUCACUUAAAUUUUUAACAGAGUCAUGACUACUAAAGAAGGCAUAUUUUUCUCUUUUCAUUUCUUUCAUUAUUUUUCUUCUUUCUUCCUCUCUUUCUUUCAUCUUGACUUAUUUCUUCCACUCUUUUUUUCCUUUUUCUUUUUUCUCUUGUUUUUCUUUCCAUAAUUUAAGGGAUCUCAACUCAUCUAAUAUCUUAUACAAGGGGUCCUUAGGAUUAGAACCCUCACCAUUAACACUAGAUGAAGAAUGAAUACUCAUGUUGGUUCCUAAGUUGUGGUUCUUUGUUGUUGGGGGUUUGAAAACAAAAGGUGAUGCAAUCCUAUCCCGCAAAGGCAUUGGGUAGAAGACUCCAAGUAGAUUAGGCUAGAGAUCCAAGGGAAGGCCCUAGGGUUCUCAUGAGCCUUAGGGUAGAUUUCAAGCCCAUGGGCUAAGUAUGAGCCCGCUUAUCUUUGUAAAUAUUAGAAUAGGUUUUUCCUUUGUUUGGGCCUUGUAUUUUGGCCAUUCUAGUAGUAUAGGGUUUUAGCCUUGUAUUUCGGGGCAUUUUGAGUAGUCUUUGUAGUAAGGACUUUUUUUUUGUAUUUUCAUGUUUUUUGUCAUGGGGGUGAGUUUGGCUAUUAUAGGGGGUGUGUAGCUAAGCUCUAGCUUCUCAUCUCAAGGAGGUGAGCUUAGCUAUUAGAGAGGUAUGUGUAGCUAAGCUCUAACUUCUUUAGGAAUCUUCUUAAGGAAGCUCCUCAAGGAGGUGAGCUUAGUUAUGAGAGGGGUGUGUGUAGCUAAGCUCUUGCUUCUCAAGGAAGUUUUCUCAAAGAAGCUUCUCAAGGAAGUUUUCUUAAGAAAGCUUCUCAAGGAAGCUACCUAGUCUAUAAAUAGAAGUAUGUGUAACACUUGUUGUAACUUUGAUGAAUGAGAGUCUUGUGAGACACAACUCAAAGUUCAACUUCUCUCCCUUUUUUUUCCUUCAAUUUCGUGCUCCCCCCUCUCUCUUUCUCUCCCUCUUUCUUUUCCUCCAUUGAAGCACCCUCUCUAAGCUUCUUAUCCAAGGCUCAUCUUGGUGGUGAAGCUCCUUCUUCCAUGGCUUAUUCCUUAGUGGAUGGCGCCUCCUCUCACCUCUUCUCCUUUGUCUUCCGCUGCAUCUCCAUGAUGGAAAAUCACCAUUAAAGGACCUCAUUGAAGCUCAAAGAUCCAGCCUCCAUAGAAGCUCCACAAGCAAGCUUCCAUCAAAAGGUAAAAGAAACUAUGGUUGAAACUAGUCAAAAUAAACACUAAAAGAGGUGUGAAAGAUAAGGUAAAAACUAAUUGGUAAAAGGAAAGCUAUCUAGGCGGUUUGACAAUGGAAGGUAAAGGAAAUUUAAAGCAAGCUAGACGGUUUCCUAUGUGAAGGCUUGGAUGACCCUUUGGAGGUCCCAACUAGCUCUUCACUUAGUCUACAUAGUUUACACUAAGCUAUUACACAAAAAUAGAGGUUUGGGCGAUCUCUUAGAGACUCCCAAUACACCCCUGAGGAAUGUCCAAAUACAAGGAAUUGCAAAAGAAAAAAUAAUUCAGCACUCAAUUGUUCUAUUACAACAAAUUUAACAAAGCAAUCAAGGUCUUCAAAUUGGUCUUCAAUGCUUGUUUGUUUUCUCAAGUGUUUCACUGAAAAUUUGGUGAGGCUUUGGUUGCUUCAAAUCCAAUGGUGCUCCUAAGAUGGUUAACCUCAAAGACUAAAAAAUAUUCCUUCAAGCACCGCACAAUUUCCUCUUCCAAGUUGUAGGCAACACUUAAACACAAAAAAAAAAAAGACAAGCAAGAAACCAAAAGAUGAAACGAAAGCUAAACUAAAAGGAAAUUUAAUGUGACAUUAAUUCAAUGAGAUUCAAGAAAAAAAAAAUAAAGUAAUAGGAAAGCACCACAAGCCAAGGUGGAACACAAAGGAAGUCCUAGAAUGACACUAUAUUAGAUUGAAAAAUUAAAAACAAGACUCAAAGAAAAAUUCUAGUUAUGUCAAUUUAGCAACACAUCUAAAACAUGAACAACUCCAAGGAGUCAAAUAGGCUUGUAAUACAACUCAAAAUAAUGAACUAUGGAAAUACAAGAACAAGUGUAGAUCUAAGAUUUAAUCGGUUUUUUUUUAAAUCUAUUCCAAAUAGAACCAAACCACAAGACAAUGGAGGGGAUACAUGGAGAAUAAGAUGAAGAACAAGGAAUUGAAGUGAAUUGACCAAACAAAAAGAUAGAGGAAGCAAAAGAACAUCACCUAGAUGAAGAUGCUCUUGAUACCACAUGAUGUAGCUCCAUGUGGAGCUUGUAGGCCUUGGAUCUGCUUCAUCAAUGGAGUCCUUUGCUUCUUGAAGAUCAAUGACAGUGGAAUAGAGAAGGAAGAAAUAUGAUUUUCCACUUCAAGGAGAAGAUGAGUCAAGAACAAGCUCACCACCAUAGGAAGUUAUGGAUAAGAGCUUGAAGGUAGGAGAAGAUGAGUGGAGGGAGAAUGAGAGAAGGAACACAAAAUUUUAUCCUCAAAUGAGGUCUGAACUUUGAAGUGUAAUUCUCAAAUGAUCAAAGUUGAAAAAAAUUCACAUACAAGACCUCUAUUUAUAGCCUAAGUGUCACACAAAAAUUUGAGGGAAAUUUGAAUUCUAUUCAAAUUUCACUUGAAUUGGAAUUUGAAUUUGUGGAGCCAAAUUUGGAGCCAAAAUUUCAAUAAUUAUGAUUAGUUAAUUUUAGCUAUGGUUCAGUCCACUAAUCCAAGAUCAAGUCCAAGAUUCUCCACUAAGUGUGCUUAGGUGUCACGAGUCAUGUAAAGCAUAAAGGACAUGCACAAAGUGUGACUAUAUGAUGUGACAAUGGGGUGUAGCAAGCAAAUGCUCUCCUCCCCCUUAGGAUGGUCCAAAACUUAAUUGGAUUGGGUUUCUCCAAUUCAAUUAAAUUUCUCUCCAACACACACACACACACAUCAAAUAGUGCACUUAAUUCAUAUGAAAUUACAAAACUACCCCUAAUACAAAAACUAGUCUAGGUGCCCAAAAAUACAAGGGUUGAAAAAUCCUACAUUACUAGGGUACCCUCCCUAUACUAUGGAGUCCUAAAUACAAGGCCAAAAAUAAUGAAAUCCUAAUCUAAUAUGUACAAAGAUAAGUGGGCUCAUACUUAGCCCAUGGGCCCAAAAAUCUAUCCUAUGGCUCAUGAGAACCCUAGGGUCUUCUCCUACAUCUCUGGCCCAAUCUUCUUGGAGUCUCCUAGCCAUGGCGUUGGUGGGUCCCCUCCUUGGGAGGAUUGCAUCAAGAUUUUUGCAUCUAUCCAUUCUAUAUGCUUAUUCUCGUUAGCCAUCAUAGACAACCUCCCACACUAAGUUGAGAGCCCACCCAAAACCCCCAACUUACGUGCCUACUCAAAACAACAAUAUCUAAACUUGGAUUCCUUGAGGUUUAAGAUUUGAUACCUUUGUAUCCACCUUCUCAAUCAUGGUCAAUCUCAAAUAUCCAAGUUUCACCAUCAACAACAACUCAUCCUAUAUACACUAAAAAUUCACUAAACCUCUUGGGAAGUAGUUCUCAACAUUCUGACAUGCCAUUUAGAGUUAAAACAUAUGAGUGGUACUCAGGAAGAUACCCCACUAGACAAGAACCCCCGGGUCAUUUUAGUAAGGCGGAGUUCUGAAUGGAACUUACCCUCCCAAGUAUACUAUUUUCCAAUAACAACAAAAUCUUCCCGAUGGAUAUAGUUAACUCCUUUUCACACAUAUGGAUGGUUCUCAAAACAAGAUCAUCAUCCACAACAAUCAUACAUCAUCUUUCAUUAUCACUAGAUUUACCUCAUCAAAAUAUUCAUAUCAUUAUCAAGAAAUCAACUAACCCAACUCAAUAGAUUCAUCAAUUAUCAUAAUUAUCUAAUCAUCAAUAUAAUAUUCUCAACAUGACCAAUUAACAAUAAUAAAAUCAUAGACCAAACUAGACACAGUAAAUAUGUAUCACUUUACCAUUAUAACAACUGUAUACUUCACGUUUAUGGUUAUUAAAGAAUUUCAUAAGUUUUGGGUUACUAUCUUCUUCAUUUUCUGUUCUACACCUAUGACCUUCAUUGCUUAUAAAUAUGAUAAAUAAUGAUAUACUAGCUCAAUUAAGUUGAUUCAUGUCUCAUUAGAUAUCUAAGAAGAUUAUUUCCAACUUUUAUGUUUACCCAAUUUACAUGAAACUUUUACUUAUAAUCGACAAUGUGACUUGUCCACUAAUUUAAUCAGUUCUAGAGUUAUACUUAACAAUUUUAAGUGAAAUGAAAGUCAUUAGUUAGCUAACAUUUAGGGCUACAACUUUAAUGAAGAUACUUUUCCAAAAUCAGACUUUAUAACCAACUUUUUACCAUUGUAAUCUAUUACAACUCAUUGUAAUUGAUUAUAAUAGAGCUCUGGUAAACAAAAUAGUCCAUAAACUCUAACUAAUCAAUUACAAACCUAUGUAAUCGAUUACAAUCAGCCUAGAAUCCAGAAUCAACCUCUGGAGCUCAUUUUAAUCAAUUACUACAUGAUAUAAUCAGUUACAAUGGUUUAAAACUGCAAAAAGUUAUGAUUUUUAAGCCAUAACAUAAUUUUUCAUCAAAACAAAAUCAUUCCUUUCCAUCCAAAAUAUUUAACAAGGUGUGUUUAUGAGGUUGGUUUAGAUUAUGCAGGAAUUUUGGGAAGUUUUACAACUCUUCCUUCUCUUUGCACCCUACAACUCACUAAACUCACCCACCCCAUUCCCAUCACUCAAUGUCACUCACCUAGGCCCAAAUCCUCUAAGCACCAACUAAUCAAAGAUGGAACAUCGUUUAAGCAUAAACAUAAAUAUAUAUAGACACCACAAACCAUCACCUUAUAAUUAAUUAAUUAUAGACACUUAAAUUAAAUUUAAUUAUUAUUGCAAUCCAAUUAAAACAAUUAAUCAAACAUUAUAAAAAUUGCAAUGCUACAUGAUUCCUAUAAUAUACUUGUGAACAAUAAAGUACACCUUGGUCCAGAGUAAAGUUAUUCAUUUGUUAAACCAAAAUAAGGUAAUAAUACCUCUGUGAGGUCUUGGGCCUUGUGCUAGGAAAUUUAACCCAUUCUAGACUGUUAUAAAUACAACUAAUGUCAUUGCAUGAGGUAAUCAUUUAUCAUAUGUUGUCACUUUAGUAAAAUUGUUACUAACUUGAGCAAUGAGGUACAUUUGCAAGUACUCACAUGUUCAUGACAUCUCAGUUGUGUUAGAGUAUAAUACUAUCACAAGAAAGGUUAGGAAGACUCUCUAUAAUACUCCUCUACUUCCUUUUGUACACUUCGGAUUUUGGACAACAAGGAAUGCACACUGGUUAGAGAAAUUGUAGAAUUCAAUCAUCGAAUUCAACCAUCCUACCUCAGUCACAACAUGACAACAACAUCAUUAUUUCACACAAUGGGUUACAUAGAUUGCCCAUGAAUGAUGGCCUUUUAGAGUUACUGCUUGCUACCACCAUUUCACACGUCUAGCAAUUAUCUUUGAUACCAAUUUUGUGUAACCAAGGGGGAUUGACACCAAGAAAAUUUUCAACAAUGGACCACGAGCACAUAAGUGAAGUUGACACAACCUUUUAAUCGAGAACCUCCAAAUGAAUAAAAUAUAAAUGAUAAAAUAGAAAAUUUAAAAUAUAAAUGUAAUAUUAAUGAAAUAUUAAUAUUCCAUUAAGACUAUUUUUUUCUAUUUCAAAUAUUAGAAAUUCUAUUAUUAUUAUUAUCAUGUUAUAAGUUAUAAUUGUUAUAAUUAUUUAUAACAAAAAUUCUUUAAAUAUAUAAAUUUUAUUAAGACAUUUGAUUUAUAAGUUUCUUCACUUAUAUGUUGUUCAACUUGUUGAUUCCUAUUUAAUAUAAGACUUUACCUUCACACACUUAUGGUGAUGGAAGUUAUUCUAACUCUAUAUAACUCAGCUUCAAUUUAUGUGUCUAGCUAGCAUCUAUUAUUGAAUAAUGGAGCAAGUAGCAACUUUACAUAAAGGUUAUCAUACCUGUUGGAAGUCGAUGUUCACUCUCAAAUGAUUUGUCUCGAUUAGCCAAAAUCAUGCAGUAGGAAAGGAACUACCUAUGUCAUGGGUCAAAUAUUAUUAGACAAGGGCCUAGAUAGUCAUGUUUAAUAUAAUAGGGAAAUGAAUUGUUUUAAUGUGAGGGAAAUAGUGGGGUCAAUGAGAUUCUGACAUGUAACAUUGAUGAACACUGACAGAGUUAUCUUUCUUAUCUUGUAUUGCGUUUGAGUACAUUAUACUCAAUUUUCAAUAAAUUUCUUCAAAUCGCUUUAUAAUCAUUAUGCUACCUUUACACGCAUUACUGCGUAUACAGUCAAAAUGAUAUGAAUGUUCGGCUAGCCACGUUGUUUUUGAACCUUCCUAAGUUCGACAUGGUUUUCUUCUAUAGAACUUCUAUAUAGUAUACAAAAUAUGUUAGGAAUUUUGGGUCAUUCAUAUAUAUAUAUAUAUAUCACAUAAUUGAAUGAGUUAGGGCCAUUAUUUUAUUAGCCAACAUAUUAAAGUGGUCUAAUCAAUAUAAAAUUAUGGCUAAGGGCAUAUAUGUCAUGAAAGACUAAUUGUGUAGAUACCAUUAGUGAUAUUAUAAUUUGAUGAGGGACCAAAUUAUAAUCAUCAAAUUUGGGGUAAUGGAUGACAAUUACCAAUAUAAGAGGUUAUGGGCCCCAUUUGUAGAGAGAAGUGACGAAACCUACAUUUUUGCUUUCUUUUUUCUCUUUAUCCCCAUCAGAAGAGAAAAUUUAGAGAAGAAAAUAAAGCUCUCUACAUUUUUAAGAUCAUAAAAUAAAUCUUGAUCCUCAUCAACCAUUCAUCACUUCAUUAUGGCUAAUCCAGAUACGCUUCCGCAUUUAGUUUUUAUCAUGAUUUUGAGUAUGAGAACACAAUAGGGUUUUAUUCAUCUUUAUGCAGUCAUUUCUCUCUACAUAGAUAGAAAGCAUGUGGUUAGGAUUCAUGAUUGUCUGUUAGAUUCAAAUUAGGUUGAUUGAUUGAAUCCCUACAAUUGGUAUCAGAGCCACCCAUACUUGAUUCAUGUAUGAUUUUGGAAAUUUUAUUUAUUCAGGCUACUGACAUAUUCUAAAUUUUAAAUGAAUUUAGAUAUUUUACAUAUUUUUGCUUGAUCUUACCAACAAUAUGUAAAUGCACCGCUCAUUUAAAGGUUACAGUGCAUCAUUUAUAUAUAUACAUAUAACUUUGUGCUCGUUCUUACUUUUAGAGGCCGUUACAGUAAAUUAAAAUAACAAUCAUGGGCUUCUAAAAUUUAAAAUAAAUAAAUAAAGUUAAAAUAAUUUACUCUAGAAAUGUUUUAAUUUUGGAUUUGGUGCAUCAAUGUUCAAAAUUUAGUUAUGGUAUAUCAUUUUAAUUGUUUAGCAUUUAAAUGAGCUAAUUGAAUCAAUAUAUCACCAAAGUGAUCUCUCUUGUGUAGAUAGUUCAUGAGAAAUGUUAACGUGUGUAAUUAUUUAUAUAAAUGGUGAUUGGCCCAAAGGAAAGUUACUAUUUAACUAAUUUAAAUACACACUUGUGAUGUUAAACAUAUUAUAAUUAUGAGGUUUUGCAUGUGAAUGAUAAGUCACAUCAAAAGAUGGGUUUGUUAUUUUAUAUGCUUUUAUUAUCAAUGUUUGAACAUUACAACAAGGAUAUCACUAGCAAUUAAUACCAUUGUCCAAAGACUUGAUAUUAAUGGUGUACUAGAUACCUUGGGAUGGGAUAUACCAUUAUUUAAAUGCAUUGAUGACUGUUAUGUGAGCUUAUUGUAUUAUUUGUUUUGAUCUUUUCAAUUGUUGCUUCUAUAUUUGCUAAUUUGAAUUCGAUUCCGGUUCUUAAUGGUACAAAUUUUAAGGACUAGAAAGAGAACAUGAAAAUUGUACUUGGCUGCAUGGAUCUAGACCUUUCAUUAAGGAUUGAGAAACCCCAUUCUCCUACGGAUUCUAGUACCUCUGCACAGAGGAAACUUCAUGAGAAGUGGGAUCACUCAAAUCGCAUGAGUCUUAUGAUCAUUAAGUGCGGCAUUUCUAAGGUCUUUUAGGGCACUAUUUUAGAUGAUAUAACUAGUGCCAAAAAAUUCCUUGUUGAAAUUGAAAAUUGUUUUGCAAAAAGCAAUGAGGCGGAAAUUAAACAAGUACUCUUCUUCAGAACUUAAUUUCCAUGAAGUAUCAAGGCAAAUGAAAUGUCAGGGAAUACCUUAUGGGAAUGUCAAAUAUUGCUUCAAAAUUAAGGACACUAAAGCUUGAGCUUUUAGAAGACUUGCUUCUUCAUUUAGUGCUAAUUUCUCUACCUUCACAAUUUAGUCAGUUUAAGAUCUCUUAUAGCUGUCAGAAGGUCUCUUAAUGAGCUCAUUUCAUACUGUGUGCAAGAAGAGGAAAGACUGAAGCAAGAAAGGACUAAAAGUGCUCAUGUUGUAAGUACUUCUAAAGACAAGGGCCAAAGAAAAAGGACUGAGGAGCCCAAGAAUGAAACUACCAAGGGUCCAACACAAAAGAAACAAAAUCAAGGUGACAACUGUUUCUUUUGUAGUAAGCCUAGACAUGUAAAGAAGAAAUGUACCAAAUAUCAUUCUUGGUGUGCAAAGAAGGAUAUGUUUCUUACUUUGGUCUAUUUUGAGGUCAAUUUAGCUUCAAUACCUAGAAACACUUGGUGGUUAGAUUCUGGUGCCACUACUAACAUCAAUGUUUCGAUGAAGGGUUGCCUAAGCUACUGGAAGCCAAUUGAUUCUGAAAGAUAGAUAUAUGUUGGAAAUGGUAAAUCGAUAGAGGUGGAAGCUAUAAGGCACUUUAUUAUUAUUAUGUACUGGUUUUUAUUUGGAUUUGAAAGACACUUUUGUUGUACCGUUAUUUAGAUGAAAUUUGGUUUCAGUUUCUUAUUUGGACAAAUUAGGUUAUUUGUGUUCAUCUGGAAACAAAGUGUUUAGGUUGUAUUUUAAUUCAAAUAUUGUUGGAGCUGGUUCACUCUUGGCUUAUGAUAAUCUAUAUUUACUUGAUAUUGUAGCUUCCUAUGGUGAAUCCUUUAAUGUGGAAUUGCGUGAUACAAAGCGUAGAAUUGAUAAUACAAGAGCAUUAUAGCAUAAGCGCUUAGGUCACAUUUCUAAGAAUAGAAUUGAACGACUUCUGUCAAACAUAAUCUUGGAUUCCAUUGAUUUCACAAGCUUUGAUGUUUGUGUUGAAUGCAUUAAAGUUAAAUAGACCAAAAGCAAGAAAUUAGGUGCAUAUAGAGAUACAAACGCCUUGGAAUUGAUGCAUACAGACAUUUGUGGGCCAUUUCAUACACCUUUAUGGAAUGGUCAACAAUAUUUUAUAUCAUUCAUAAACGAUUACUCCAGAUAUGCAUACAUGUUUCUUAUACAUGAAAAGUCACAAUCUCUGGAUGUGUUCAAAACAUUUAAUGUUGAAGUUGAAAAUCAUCUCAACAAAAGAAUUAAGAGUGUUAGAUCUGACUGUGGUGGUGAAUACUAUGGUAGAUAUGACGGUUCAGGUGAACAACAUUCGGGGCCUUUUGCUAGGCACCUAGAGGAAUGUGGAAUCAUUCCAUAGUACACCAUUCCAGGGUCACCUAGCGUGAAUGAUGUGGCUAAAAGAUGAAAUAGAACUCUUAAGGAUAUGGUAAGAAGUAUAAUUUGUCAUUCUAACUUACCAGAGUCACUCUGGGGAGAGACACUAAAGAUUGUAGCUUACAUUCUAAAUAGAGUGUCAACCAAGGCAGCUACUAAAACACCUUGUCAGCUUUGGGUUGGGUGAAAGCCUAGUCUGAAACAUUUUCAUGUAUGGGGAUGUCUAGCCGAGGCAAGACCUUAUAAGCCAAAUGAAAGGAAAUUGGACUCCCGAACAGUAAGCAACUACUUUAUUGGCUAUUCUAAAAGAUCCAGGGGCUAUAAAUUUUAUGAUACCAAAUUAAAGAUAAUUUGUUAUCGUUCAUGAAGAACAAACUCAAGAUCCUCAAGAACCUAUGCUUCAUGAGCUAGUACCUUUGCAGGGAUCUACAUGAGAAAGGAGAAGUGCCAUUCUAGAUGAUUAUGCGGUAUUUCUCCAGGAACAUGAGGAAAAUAAUGGAAUGAUGGAAGAUGGCCCAGUCAAUUUCCAUCAAGCCAUGCAAGAUUCCAACUCAUAAAAGUGGAUUGAAUGAAUGAGGAGAAUAAGUCGAUGCAAGACUACAAGGUUUGGGAACUUGUCCCAUUACCAGAAGGUGUGAAACCCAUUGGUUGCAAAUGGAUGUUUAAGAUCAAACAGGAUUCCAAAGGUAAUGUGGAGAGGUAUAAGGCUCGUCUUGUGGUGAAGGGCUAUACUCAAAAGGAAGGGAUUGACUUUAAAGAGACUUUCUCUCCAGUUUCAUCGAAAAAAAAUUUUAGGACAAUCAUGGAUCUUGUUGCACAUUAUGAUUUGGAGUUUCAUCAAAUGGAUGUUAAGAUGACAUUUCUCAGUGGCAACAUUGAUGAGACAAUUUAUAUGGGGCAACCAGAAAACUUUGUGUCAGGAGACCCAAAGAAUAUGGUUUGCAAACUGACAAAAUCCAUUUAUGAGCUAAAACAUGCAUCUGGUCAAUGGUACCACAAAUUUCAUCAAGUAAUUCUCUCAUUUGGUUUCGAGAUGAAUCUUGUUGAUGAUUGUGUGUAUCACAAAUUCAGUGGGAGCAAGUAUAUUUUCUUGGUCUUAUAUGUUGAUGACAUACUGCUUGCCACUAAUGAUAUAUGCAUGUUGCACAAAACCAAGACAUUUAUAUAAAAAAACUUUGAAAUGAAAGAUCUUGGUGACGCCUGCUUUGUAUUAGGAAUUUAGAUACAUCGAGAUCGAUCUCGGGGUAUUCUAGGAUUAUCACAAAUAAGCUAUAUCGAAAAGGUACUUAAAAGGUUUAGCAUGCUGGAAUGUAAAUUCGGGGAUACUCCAGUUGCUAAGGGAGACAAGUUUAGUCUCAAACAGUGCACAAAAGAAAAAUUGGAAAUUCAGGAAAUGCAAAAGAUUCCCUAUGCAUCAGUUGUAGGGAGUUUGAUGUAUGCCCAAGUAUGUACGUGUCCGGAUAUAACAUACAUAGUUGGGGUAUUAGGCAGAUAUUUAAGCAAUCCAGGAAUAGAUCAUUGGAAAGCAGCCAAAAGAGUUAUGAGGUAUUUGAAGAGAACAAAGUAUUAUAUGCUCACAUACAAGAGGUCAGAUCAGUUGAAGAUCACUAGGUAUUCUGACUUGGAUUUUACAGGAUGCCUAGAUAGUUUGAGAUCCACUUUGGGUUACUUUUUCAUGUUAGUCGAUGGUGCGGUUUCUUGGCGUAGUGCCAAGCAAACCCUUAGUACUUCAUCCACUAUGGUGGCAGAAUUUGUGGCAUGCUAUGAGGCAUCAAAUCAUGGAAUAUGGUUGAGAAAUUUUGUCACAAGGCUGCAAAUUGUGGAAGGAAUUGAAAGACCACUUAAGUUAUAUUAUGACAACAAAUAAGUUGUAUUGUAUUCUAACAAUAAUAGGAGCUCAACCAAGUCGAAACAUAUUGACAUCAAGUUCCUAGUUGUUAAGGAAAGGGUAUAGAGUGAACAAAUUUCCAUAGAACACUUAGGGACAAACUUCAUGAUAGCAGAUCCUCUUACUAAGGGACUUCCACCCAAGGUCUUUCAUGAGCAUGUUGAUCACAUAGGUGUUUUACAGUUCGAGGAAUCUUUGGUUUAGUGGGAGUUAGUCACUUUUAUGUUAUAUGUUAGAUUUUAUGUAUGCAUACAUUAACUUUUGGAUAUAUUUGGUUAUAUAUAUGUUUUAUUAUUCAGUUAUUACACUUUGUACAUUAAGGUUAUUAAAUGAUCUCAUUAAGGCAAAGUAGGACCAGUUGAAAAUAGAUGUGUACAGGUCACCUUCACGUAAUUUUCAUGCUACACAUUUCAUGAUGAGUCUAUGUCAUUUGAUUCUGUCAGCAUUAGUGAUCAUUGAUGAAUUUAGUUGUGAUUGAUACAAUGAAAACUACUUUGGUUCUAUGUGCGGAUAUAAUAAAUGUACAAGAUUUUUGAAAUAUGCUCAAGGCAUGUAAUGACAAAUUUUAAGCUCUUAAAGUCUAACACAUUCAUAAGGAUUCUAAGGAUACACGCACACACACACACACACACACCCAUUAAAGUGGUCUAAUCAAUAUAAAAUUAUAGCUAAAGACAUAUGUGUCAUGAAAGACUAAUUGUGUAGAUACCAUUAGUGAUAUUAUAAUUUGAUGAGGGGUCAAUCUUGAUCCUCAUCAACCAUUCAUCACUCCAUUAUGGCUAAUCUAGGUACGCUUCCGCAUUUAAUUUUCAUCAUGAUUUUGAGUAUGGAAACAUAAUGGGAUUUUAUUAAUCUUUAUGCAGUAAUUUCUCUCUACAUGGAUAAAAAACAUGUGGUUAGGAUUGAUGAUUGUCUGUUAAAAUCAAAUUAAGUUGAUUGAUUGAAUCCCUACAAAAUAAUCUUGCACGAAAAUAUGACGUGCCUCCUUUAAAGAAUAACACAAAAGAUGAUGAUACUUGGACAACUCAUUGUAUUGAACACUUGACGCAUGAUUUCGAAUCUCACUGCUGAAGAUCUUGUUAACGAAUAAUAUAUAAGUAUAUCUAUAAAUGUUUAUUGAGUCUUGAGGUAUGUCGUAAUUGUAAUGAGUCUUUGAGAUUCAACUUACCUAAAUUUAUUCUACAAAAAAUAAAAUAAAAACAGUACAUUACCUUUCAUUUUAUUUACCUUUCUUCAUAUUUAAUGGUAUCACCUAUAAUAUGCAUACUUUUCAAUCUUUUUUAUUUUGUCUCUCUUUAAGUGUUACCUAGCAUUUUGGGUGUUCAUCAAUAUUGUCUCCACGCAUAUUCUUACGUUGUGUUUGAUGGAAACAAGUUACUAAAUAAUAACUAAUGAGAUACAUUCAUAUCUUUCGUAGUAUCAACUUGUGUCAUCCAGCAUUCCUCUUCUCCAAAUCACCCAAAAAGAAAAGCAACAACUAAUUUGGAAGGCUCAUUCAAUGGAGACUAGAGUCUAGAGCAUCCAUUAUCACAGCAACAAUGACGGUGUUAAACUAUAUUGACCUCUUUAAACGUACGUUCAAGAUGCAACCACCCAGAUAAUAAUCCCUAAACCAAAAACUAUUAUAAAUAAAGGGAAUAUGGAACAAGAGUAUCUCAAGCCUGCAGAUAUUUCCCUUUUGAGCUUUGAUUAGUGUGGCCUAGUUGUUGUUUUCUCAUGAAAAAGGCUUCCGCUAUGCAUUGCGCACUUUUGCGCUUCUGGGUUCCCUUGUUGCUGCUUGCCAGCUUCAGUUUUGCUCCUUCUGUUUUGGCCAAAGCUGAAAUUUCAGGUUUGUGCAUGGCUCAUGCUAUACUGACACACAUUUUUUUUUGUUAGGCUUUUAUUUUAGAAAAUAUGCAGUAUGUUUCUUUGUGUCUAUUCUUAUUAAGUUUUAUUCAUUUUAAUAAUUACGUUUAAAAGAAAAAGUAGAAUUUGUAAUUAUAUGGACUAAUUUCAAAUUUCAAAAGGUGACGUACGAAGAUUGGAUCCAUACUUGACAUGCAUAUAAUUAGGGCAUUCCUCGUGGCAUGUGAGAUGAAAAACUAUUCAUGAACUGUAUGUACGUCGGUAUAGCCUAUGUUUUAAUGAAAAUAAAAUGGUACUUUUAGUUGUUCUCUUACUGAUAUUAUUGUAUUCCGAAUUCAAUUCAAUUAUUUAUCUUGGCAUACAGUAUAUGCGUGAAAUUCAAUUAUUACAUUUCAUAUAGGGACUAGUAAGGACCACAUGAUUUUAGACUGUACAACAAUUUGAACCACUAAGAUGACGGUUGGAGUAAUAUGCACGAAGUUAGAGAUUUUUAUUUUUUGAAAAGGUGAGUUAAGGAAUGACAAAAUGAUAGGACAUUUCAACAAUGUUAACAUUUCCUAUCCCAAUCAUAACAAGCACACCUAAAAUUUAUAUUAAUUAAUAUCCACAAAAGAAGAAAAAACAUGAAAGCAUGAGGGACAACAACCAAAACCCAUACCAAAAAAAAUACAUCAAGUAAACAUAUAGUAAGGGUCCGUUGCAAGUUACAGAUUUAAACUUGUGCAACUGUUGUAAAAAAAAUAAAAUACUACACAAUAAUUUUCCAACUAGCUAGUUAAGGUCCUUUGCAAGUAGCAUAAUUAUAUGGUCUAACUAUGAUUGGCAAUGCAUUUUUCAUUUUAGUUUUGCAUAUAUAUAUAUAUAUAUAUAUAUAUAAAUAAAAAUUCAAUUAUUUGCAAUGCAUUGACAAAAUAUUUCAAAUUUUAUAUUUAUUACAAAUAUAUUAUUGUGUUUAACUUAUAUACUUUUUGCUUUUCUUUGUAGGGAAUGAAGUGAACACACAUGGGAAGGUUGUAAGUGAAGAGUUAACCAAAUCCAGUCUAAAAGAACAAAAUGAAGAGGAAAAAUUCAAAGGAUUCUUUCCAAAACCAAUUCCAAUUAUUAAACCUAUUUCAAAGCCCAUUCCCAUUAUUAAACCUAUUCCAAAGUCAAUUCCUAUUGUUAAACCUAUUCCUAUUCCAGUUUAUAAGCCUAUAUCAAAACCAAUUCCCAUCGUUAAGCCUAUUCCGAAGCCAUUUCUGAUUGUUAAACCAAUUCCUAAUGACGAAGAAAAAUUCAAAGGUGUUUUUCCAAAACCUAUUCCCAUAGUUAAGCCAAUUCCAAAGCCAAUUCCCAUUGUUAAGCCUAUCCCUAUUCCAAUAUAUAAGCCUAUACCAAAAUCAGUUCCCAUUGUGAAACCAAUUCCUAUUAUUAAACCAAUACUAAAGCCAAAUCCCAUUGUUAAGCCAAUUCCAAAGCUGAUUCCCAUUGUUAAGCCUAUACCAAACCCAUUAAGAGUGAAAAAGUCUAUCCCUGCUUUUGGGUCAGAGGAAUUUUUAAAACCAAAACCUUUCUUUGAAAAGCCUAUUCCUAAACUACCACUUGAUCCUAAAUUCAAGAAACCUCUUCUACCACCAUUGCCAAUUCACAAGCCAAUUCCAACCCCAUAAAAUGAUAACACUCUACGCCAUAAAGCUAUAAGGAUAUUCCUUCCGUUUCUAAUGCCUUUAUAUAUAUAAAUGCACCGCAUUAAUUUCAACCUGAAUCAUGAUUUCGAUAAUCCUUUCGUACCCCUCUUGUGUACUGGAUUGGAAUAUAUAUGUACUUGAUGUUUUCUAUGUAAUGAAGGUCUCAAUAUUAUUAUUUGUAAGAUUAAUUAUAUUAUUAAGAAAUGGUUCGCUUUUUUUGUUUUGUUUAAGUAAAAUGUUUAGUUAUCACUCCAAGAAAUUUCACUAUUAUCGAUAGGAAAAAUCCGCCGGUAUAUAUCACAAAUUUUUUGUCGGUAAUGAAAUUUUAACGACAAAAUACCGACGAACAAAAUCCCAUCAACAAUAACCUUAUAGGAAGCUUUUACUGACAGAUUUUAAUGACAAACUUUUUACCCACGGACUUUACUAACAGAUGUAUAUGUGGGAAAACAUCGACAUAUUUUUUCGUGGGAAAUUAUGACAGAUUUUCGUGGGAAAUUAUUGAUGGCUUUUUCUGUUAAAAAUUACCGACAAUUUUUUUUUGGGAAGUUACUGAUGGAUUUUGCCAUGAAAAGCUAUCAAGGGAGAUUUUUAAGUAAAAAAUUGCUGAUGAAUUUGUCCAUCUAUAACAUAUUUUUUAAUUAAUUAUAUUUUUUGUUUUCAAAUAUAUAUUUAAAUUUUUAUUUUAUAAUUUUAAAAAUAAACUAAAAAAUGAAAAUAAAAUAUAAAUAAAUUAAAUACGUUGAGUUCAACCAAAUCUUGUUCAUUUAUGAUUUUUGCAAUUCAUUGACAAAAUAAGAACAUAUAAAAUUCCUUUGCUUAUGAACAUGGGUAAGUAUUCUAAUAAUAAGCACAAAAUACAAAUUUUGUAAUCCCAGGAGCAAGACUUGUUUUAACUAUCCAAGAAAGCAAGAAUUAAUUAGAUGGAAGACUGCCAUGAUUGAGUUCCACUGGGUGCUGAUGCUAAUAAACUUUUGUAACUUUUUCUACAUAUUUUAUCUAGUUACUCAUAGAUUAUAUUAUAUUACCCACGGAAUAAUCUCUAGGUAAAUUACCUUUGAAAUUAUUCCCCCAGAAAGGUACCAAAUUUUUUGAUUGAUUUUUCGACAGAAUGCUUGUCGAUAAUACUCUUUUGAUGUUACCUAUGACCUUUCAUUUUUACUGGUGGAUUUAUCCAUCAAUAAUGCAAAAUUACUAACGUAUCUUAAUCCAUGGGCAAAUAAAUAGACACAUUCUUUUAGUAGUAUUUCCAUUUUACAUUUUUAAUUAGAAGAUGAUAUUUAAUUGUGUUUAUGUGUAAAGACAUAAAGACCAUUAAAUCAUAUAUCUAUUUUUAUACAAAGGGUAAAUCUUAUCUAUUAAUUCCUAACAUUAAUAGUUAAUAUCAAACUUCCUCCGUUCCAAAUUAAAUGUCGCAUUUUAAAAAAUAAAUUAUGCUAAAAUAAAUGUUAUGUUAACUUUUUAAUAUAAUAUUAUUUUUUUAUUUUUUAUUAAUACAUAUAUCUAAUAAAUGUCAUUUUAGUUUUUUUAAUGUAAUAUAAAUACUGAGAUAAAUUUUCUAAAAUUACAAUUCUCUUUCAUAUAUUUAUUAACUUUUCUUAGUAUGUUAAAAAUAACUUAGGAUGAAAUUUAUUUUAGAACCGACAAAUAAACCACUAAAUUAGGUCCUAUAUGGCUUGGGUGCUUGCAAGUUUUUUUGUUUUUAAACUUUUGAAAAAAGCCUAUAAUGGGAUAAUAUUAAUUGAAAUAAUUUUUAAAUGAAUUUGAAACUAUUUUAAUAUUUAUGCACUGUUACAAUGCCCUAGGCAUUUUGUUAAAAUCUCUGAUGUUAGACUUCAGCAAGUCAUAUGCUAUAUGGCUCUUCACCGUAUUCAUAUAUAUAACGAUUUUGAUUUUACUUAAAAAAAAACACUUUUGGAUCCCUUAUUGGUAAAUACUUACAAAUACAACACAAGCUUCAAUAUGUUCUAGAUUCGUUAAACCUAAAAAACUUUUUACUUUUUUAUCUCUCAAAUUUAAAUAUUUUUUAAGUACUUCAAUAAUUCUGAAAAAUUAUUUUUUAAUCUCUGUAUAAAAAUAAAGAAAUAUCCUUGUGACCCCAAAAUUAAUAGAAGUUUUUUUAUGUUAAGGGAAUAGAAAAAUAUUUUUCGAAAUUGUGAAACUAAAAAAUUAAAUUUAAAUUUGAAGAACCAAAUUGGUUAUAUAUAUAUAUAUAUAUAUAUAUAUAUAUAUAUAUAUAUAUAUUUUGAUGGUUGGCAUAAGGGGUACCAACAACCCAUAUACAAAAAUAUAAUUGUUAAAUACCAAAAUGCUUCCCAUUGGUUAUUAGUUCCUAUUUAGAACACCGAGUUCUCAUUAGGACUAGGUGAUCAACGUAAGUUUAUGCUUUUGAUUACAUGUAGGUCUACCUUUUGAGCUUGUUGCUUCUUGUGUGGGUGCUUUCGAACUGUGAAGACAUCUGUGUCCCAUUCUCCGUUUACUCUUUGCAUCUUUUGGUGCUUCUUCAUGUCAUCUGUAGUUUUUUUUUUAUCGCACUACCCCUUUUGAACAAUCCUUCUGGUCAUGUUUCUGAUAAUACAUAGUUUUUUUAUCUCGUUGCAUCCUGGAAAAUAUGAUUUGUCUUUCAUGCUUUUCAUGUUUCUGAUUAGCUAUAUCCUUGUCCUGCUUCGAUGGGGUAGAUCCUGCAUCUGGAAGGGUAACAUACUUCAAACUAAUGCUUCACGUUUUUCUUCAUACUUCUUAAUCAAGUCAUGUCUAAUAAUCACAUACUCAAGGCAAACCAUCAAUAGCUGAAGUCUAGACAACUUAGAAUCUGCUUUUUAAUAGUUUCUUGAUUAAAACUAUAAUUUUAGGAGGAGUUCUUCUUCAACAGUUAGAACUUGAGGUGUCACACCUCAUUAGUCAACUUCAAAUCAAUUUCUAAACUUAGAGCUUUGGUAGAAGUAGUUAAGUCCUGUUGUACUUUUCUAUUUCUAGGUUGAAGAUUGGUGUUCUCCACAGUAAGAAUGAUCACCUUCUUCUUGGCAUCCUCUAAAUCAUUGGUGAUCUUAAACCUUGGCCACUAAAGCUCGACGUUUUUCCUUGUCACUUGCAACAAAAGAAAGAAUUAUGUUGUGUACUUUUGUUACAUGGAUUGGGUUCCAGGCUAUACUUGAGACCUAAUUUAUAACUGGUCACCUGACUCAAAAUUAUUUCUUCUCGACUCAUAUGUAAGCAAAAAAAGUUAUUUUUAUCUUAGACUUAAAUAUAAGUAAAUUUAAUUAAUCUCACUCCUAUUUAAUGAUAUUAUUUUUAACACUCUUCAAUUAAUUACAACUCAAUUUUUAAAGUUUCUAUUUUACUCACGAUAUUAAGUUCUAGUGAAAAACAUUUUAAAAAUAAUCUUAUUUUUUUAUUUGAGAUAAAUAAAAUUAAAUAAUUUAAAUUAACUUUCUUAAUUAAUGUGAAAGUAGUUAAUUUUGCUUAUAAAGAGAGCAUUAGACUAGCCUAAUGGGCCAAGUGUUGGUUGAGGACAGCUCCUCUACCAAGAGUAUCAUUCCUUUACCUUUAAUACACUUGUAAACAGAAAAGUACACCUUGACCAGAGCAAAGUUACUACAUCAAUACAGGAUAAUAUUACCUUGGAAGACCUUGAGCUUCGUGAGGAAAAUGACCCAUAUCUCAAACUCUAAAUACAACCAACAACGAUGUAUUUAAAAUAAAAAAUGAUUUAUGUAUUAUUACUUUAUUAUAUAUCACGGCUCUAGUAAACUUGCUAUUGACUUAAAGUGUUAAAAGUACCUUUUGGAGGUAUUUACCUCCUACUUGUGGCAUCUCAGCCGCAUUAGAGUGUAGUACCAUUGUUCCUACACUUCAGAUCUUUGUCAACAAGGAACCUGUUGGUUAGAGCAAUUACAGAAUUUGGUCAAACUCAAUUAUCCUAUCUCAUGCACCAUAACAACAACAAUAAACAAUAACAAAAUCUUUAUUCUACUAGACGAGAUCAUCAGUUACAUAGAGUGCACACCGAGCUUAUGAAUGUAAGGCAAAAUAUUAAUUAAGGUUCUGUAUAUGACUCAGCUUCAAUUUAUAUAUGUGUCUAUUUAGCAUCUAUUAUUGAAUAAUGGCGCAAGUAGCAACUUUAUUAUAAAAGGUCAUAGUAGUAUCUGCUGGAGGUUGUUGUUCACUGUCAAAUGACUUAUCUCAAUUCAGGACCGGCUUAAGAUUUAAGCAGCCCAAGGAAGGACUUUAAGCCCCAAAAAAAAGUCCUAAAUUUUUUUUAAUACUAAUAUAUCUAAAAAAAUUAUUGUAAAAUUAUAUUUAAAAAUGAAUUUUAAUAAAAAAAAUUUAAUACUAAUAUACCUCAAAAUAUAAAUUUAUUUUAGGUCUCUCAAGUUCUUGAACCACCCUAUCUCAAUUAGCGAAAAUCAUGCGACAGGAACCUACCUAUGAUGCCUCAAAUAUAAGACAAGGACCUAGUUAGUCAUGUUAACUAUAAUAGGGGAAGGAAUUGUUUUAUUCCGAUGGUGGGGUCAAUAUAUGAGAUUCUUAUAUAUAAAAUGCUGAUGAACAGAGUUAUCUUUCUUAUCUUGUAUUACUCAAUUUUCAAUAAAUUCCUUUUGUUUAUUAAAAAAACAAUUUAACUGUUAUUUUAUAAAUUAUAAUGUUAACUGAUCAACUUUCUUUGCCUCAUUGUGUUUGAAACUUCCUAAGUUCGAACAGUAUUCUCUAAACACCCAAAAUUAAGGAAAAGAAACACCUUAUUACUUGGGAGGUUCAUUUAUUGGACAGAGCAUCCCAUGCAUUAUCAUAGCAACAACAACGGUGUUUAACGCUAUUAACCUCCCUAAACAUAUGACCACGUUCCAACAACUCACAUAAUAAUCCCUAAACCAAAUCUAAAAUUUCGGAGUAUAUUAAAAAAAAGUAAUGGCCAAUAGUACACUUAAUUUACUGUUAGUCCCAAGCUAAGUAUUAUAAAUAAUGGGAGUAUGCAUGAGACGUUAACUCAAGCCUUGAGAUAUUUCCCUUUUGAGGUUUGAUUAGUGUGGCCUAGUUAAUUUGUUUUCUCGAUGAGAAUGAGAAAGCAAUCCACUAUGCAAUGCGCACUUUUUCGCUUCUGGGUUCCCUUGUUACUACUUGCCAGCUUCAGUUAUGCUCCUUCUGUUUUGGCCACAACUGAAAUUUCAGGUUUGUAGCUCGUCUAAUACUGACAUACAAAUAAUUUUGUUAGGCUUUUAAAUAUGAUGUUUUCAAUCCUCAACAAAAAAAAUUAUUCAUUUUAAUAAUUACAAUAUUACAAUUAAAAAACAAUAUAGUUUUUGUAAGAUGUUAAAAGUAUAAUAUAUAAUCUUUAUAACUUAAAAUUGAUUAAUUUUGAAUAUGGGUUAAUUUCAAAAUCAGAGAUAAGAACAUAUAUAUAUAUAUAUAUUAUCUUGUUAUCUAAUAUAUAUAAAAGGCUUAAAUAUAAUUUUGAUUCCCCUAUUCUGUUCACUAUGUAAUCUUAGUCUUUUCAUUUUAAAAUAGAGAUAUUUGAUCUUUUUUGUUAAAAUUUUUUAUAAUUUUAGUCCUUAUAUUUCAAAAAAAAAAAUAUUUGGUCCUUCUAUUUUAGAAAUUUCACAAAUAUGAUGUAUUUUUUCUAUUAAAAAUUUGACAAUUUUGGCAAAAUUUUUAAUUUGAUCUACAUUUUAUUUCUUUAUUUCUUAUAUUAUAAUUAAUUAAAUCAUUUUUAUGAUACGUUAAAUGAAUAUGUUAGGUCUAUGACUCAACUGGAUCAAAAUGAAAGAAAUAAAGCAUAGACAAAAUUAAAAAUUUGACUAAAAUUGAAAAUUUUGAAAAAAUAGGAAGAUCAAAUAUUUUUAUUUUGAAAUAGGAAACUAAAAUCAUAAUUUUUUUUAUAAAAAAAUAGGGACCAAAUAUUGUGAAUUAAGCUAAAUAGAAAGAUCAAAAUUUCCUAUUAAAACAAUCAAAUAACUUAGUAGCUCUUUCAAAUGAAAUAAUUCAAAAGAGAUAUGGAGAUCCGGUCCCUUCAUGAUGUUAAUUUCUUCAACUAGUUAUGGCCAUGUUCUUAACUAGCUUAAAAUAUGUGUGAUUUGCUUGUUAAAACAAUCAAAUAAACUUAGUAGCUCUUUCAAAAAUAUUAUUUGUGUUUAAUUAUAUUUUUGAAUUUCUUAUGUAGGGAAUCAAGUGAACAUGGAUGGGAAGGUUGUAAAUGAAGAGUUAGGAAAACCUAAUCUAAAAGGACAAGAUGAAGAAGAAAAAUUCAAAGGACUUUUUCCAAAACCAAUUCCAAUUGUUAAACCUUUUCCAAAGCUCAUUCCUAUAAUUAAACCUAUUCCAAAGCCAAUUCCGGUUGUUAAACCAAUUCCUAUUCCACUUUAUAAGCCUUUUCCAAAAUCAAUUCCUAUUGUUAAGCCUAUUCCAAAGCCAAUCCCAAAUGGUAAGCCAAUUCCAACUGAAGAAGCAAAAUUCAAAGGUUUUUUUCCAAAACCUAUUCCCAUAGUUAAGCCAAUUCCAGUUGCCAAGCCAAUUCCUAUUGUUAAGCCUUUUCCAAAGCUCAUUCCUAUAAUUAAACCUAUUCCAAAGCCAAUUCCGAUUGUUAAACCAAUUCCUAUUCCAGUUUAUAAGCCUAUUCCAAAAUCAAUUCCUAUUGUUAAGCCUAUUCCAAAUGGUAAGCCAAUUCCAACUGAAGAAGCAAAAUUCAAAGGGUUUUUUCUAAAACCUAUUCCCAUAGUUAAGCCAAUUCCAGUUGCCAAGUCAAUUCCUAUUGUUAAGCCUAUCCCUAUCACAGUAUAUAAGCCUAUUACAAAAUCAUUUCCCACUGUUAAGCCUAUACCAAAGCCAAUUCCCAUUUUAAAGCCAAUUCCAAAGCCAAUUUCCAUUGUUAAGCCUAUAUCAAAACCAUUUAUAGUGCAAAAACCCAUCCCUGCUGUUGAGCCAGAGAAAUUUUUAAAACCAAAGCCUUUCUUCAAAAAGCCUCUUCCAAAAUUUCCUCUUAAUCCCAAAUUUAAGAAACCACUUCUACCACCAUUUCCAAUUCACAAGGCAAUUCCAACUCCAUAAAAUGAUAACACUCUAGGUCUACAAGCAAUAAAGUCAUUCCUUCCAUUUCUAAUACCUUAUUAUAUGUAGUUUUCCCACACCUCAACCUCAAUCAUGAUUUAGAUAAUAAUCCUUCUGUACCCCUCUUGUGUACUGGAUUGGAAUAUAUGUAGUUAAUGUGUUCUCCUUAAUGAAGAUUUCAAUAUUAGUUUUUAUAAGAUUGAUUAUAUUAUAAGUAUUUACAUUUUUCUUUUUUAGUAGAUAAUAUUUAAUUGUGUUUGUGUGUAGAGAGAGAGAUAUCAUUAAAUCAUAUAGCUAUUCUUCUAUAAGAGGUGAAUCUUAACUAUUAAAUCCUUAUAUGUUUAGUGAAACAAUAUUGUAAUGAAAUAUCAAUGUUGGAAUUUUGAUAAGAGUACCCAAUCAAUUAAGUAACACAAUAAUAUGCAAAAUAUCAUUUUCACAUGGAACUUAUGUGGGUAUUAAUAGUAAAAUUAUAGACUACCAGAAUUAAGAAAUAAAGUAACCAAAAUGAAACACAAUUGCAUAAAAAUAAAAGAAAAAGGUAAGAGAAAAUUGAUUGAGAAAUUUUAUUGAAAACUUGUGCGUAGAAAAAUUGGAGUAAUAUCAAUGAGCGAAAUUGUCACUAUUUUUAUUAGACUUUCUAAUAUGUAAUCACUACAUAAUCCUAUUCAAUUAAGUUUAUGUUAUUAUCAACCCACAAUUUUAUCCUAACCUUAAUUCCUUAAGCGAGAGGACCUAAAUUAUCCCUUGAAUUAGUAUAACCAAAUGAUUUUCCUUAAGAAAAAAAGGAUUUAUUGAUGACUAAUCCUCUUUACACUAUCCCUAGGCAUAAUGAAAAUUAUUCAAUUUGCAAUUCAAAAGAAUUUUCCAAUUACAAUUGGAAUCAUAAAAUCAUGUACAUAGGUUGAUUAGGCCAAAAAUAAGCAUUAAGAAUGGAAGAAAAAUAAUAAUAAUGUUUUAUUAAAUAGAAACAAUGUAGGAAUUACAUGAAAGUAGGACCAAUUACAUUAAACCUCAAUGAGAGAGAAGAAUUAACUACUAACCAUGGAAGAAUAAGCAUUUGAUGGAGAAACCAAGCCAUCGUAUCCCUGCGUCUCCACUCUCUUUUGUCUCUCCUCCUAUAUAUCUUGUACGCUCAAUCUUUUCUUUUAAAACAAGAUAAGUACUACCCUGAUUAAAGCUAUUUGCUAGAUAAAUGUUUUCAAAUAAAACAGAAUAAAAAUAAAAUAAAAGGAAAUCUCACAGGAUCAAAUGCCCGGGGUGCCUAUUUUGUACAGGAUAUGUGGUACUUGCAUUUCAUGUUUCAGUCCAUUCAAACAUGUAUAGGGUGUGAAUUUUGCACAGGGUGCGCAAUUCCUCAAGGCUUCCAACAAGUUUCUUUUGCCUUCACUAGAACUAUAAAAGCUAUAAACUUCAAUAAAGUUCCUACAAUCCCAAGAAAAGAAUCAAAGCUCAAGGGUAGAAAUAAUUUUUUAAUAAAUUUCAAAACCUUUAUAACUCGUUUUUAAAUUAUUUUUUUUUUAUAGUUCUACUUCUAAGUUUUCAAAAGUUGUGUCACCCGCUUUUCAUAUAUUUUUCCAUCCAUUUUUACCUCCUUUUCGAUCUUCUUUUCUUGUUGUCGAGUUCGCCAAAAAAAAUACCUUAGAUAACAUUUAUUUUAGUCUUCUUUUGUUUUUUUACCUGAACGGGGCCUAAGGCCCGGAAAAAGAACUACAAGGAAACUAGUCUAGGAGUUCAAACUGAAGCAUCAGGUAGGAGCAUAUUGCUCACAACAGCUAGACAAUGCUCAAAAAUCACUAUGUCCUCACUCAAAUUACAAGCUAAGUCCGUUAAAGCAUCUGGACAUGAGUUUGCCCCUCUAUAAACAUGCACAUAAUGGAUCUUCCUACCACUUUGAACUAAAUUUCUGAUCUCAGAAAUCAAACUAUAACCCGAAGCACACCCUGUUGAGAUCCAGAUAGACUCCAACAACUGCCUGAUAGUCUAUUUGCGCCUCCAGUGUGUGACUUAAAUAACUAUUUUAACAAUUAUCUAUGCUCCCAUUAUCUAACAAAUUAUUGUUCAAAUUGUUAGGGAAUGAGAUUUGCAGAACGUGUGUAUAGAAUAGAGAAUGAUGAUGAACUGAAUCUUUCUAGAAAAAAAAUGAAUGUACAUCAACUCAAUGAUCUUACUAUUUAUAACAAAGGACUCAAUUAACUUGAUCCCAAAUAGUAAGCUAACAAACUAACUAACUUCUAACUGACUUUUGAAUUACUAUUAACAUCCCCUCUUAAUUCAAAAGUUCAACAACAUCCUACUAAACAUGAAAUUAUAGAACACAACUACAAAUACAAAAUUUUCAGAACAGCAUUUACCACAUCUCUACAUUCAUCUUAUCUCUUAAUGACUUGAACCUUUCAAUCUUCAAAGGUUUAGUCAAUAUAUCAGCAACUUGCAAAUCAGUACCACAAUGUUGCAACUUUAUCUUCUCUUUACUGACUUGAUCUCUUAAGAAAUGAUACUUAGUUUCUAUAUGCUUCGAUCUACCAUGAGAAACUGGAUUUUUAGCAAGAUUAAUAGCAGACUUGUUGUCCACCAUUAUCUUAAUAGCACCUUCAGUCUUCAACUCCAAGUCCUAAAUCAAAGUCUAAAUCCACAAGCCUUGACAAGCAGCACUGCAGGCUGCUAUAUACUCAGCCUCGCAUGGUUGAUAAAGCCACAACAUCUUGCUUCUUGGAAGACCAUGAGAAUGGUGCUUCACCAAGGAAGAACACAUAACCCAUUGUACUGCGCCUAUCCACUUGAUCUCCACACCAAUCAGAGUCAGAGUAUGCUACUAGAUGUAGAAUACCAUCCUUUUUUUGAUUUGGCAAGUGAGUUGGAAAUAAAACUCCAUGAUUAAGUGUUCCCUUCAGGUAUCUGAGAAUUCUCUUGGCUGCAACUAAAUGAGAUUGCCUAGGAGACUUCAUAUACCUGCUAACAAGUCCUACACCAAAGGAUAUUUCAGGCCUGCUAUGGCAUAAGAACCUCAAACAUCCAACCAGCUGCCUAAACAUAGUGCUGUCAACCUUUGUCUCCUGCUCACAACUUCCAAGCUUCAAAUUUGCUUCCAUUGGUGUAUCAACAGGAUUACACUAAAGCAUAUUAAACCUUUCUAGAAUUUCCAGAAUAUACUUUCUCUGAUGCAUCAGAAUUCCCUUGUUGUUUUGCUCAAACUCGAUACCUAGGAAGUAUGACAACUUGCCUAGAUCAGUCAUUUCAAACUCACUGCUCAAACAUCUUUUAAUUUCUGCUAUUUCAGUGCUACUACUUCCAGUGAUGAGUAAAUCAUCCACAUAUAAGCAUAUAAGCAAUAUUCCACUAGAAUCACUUUUCUUCACAUACAAGCCAUGCUCAACAGAACAUUUUCUGAAACCGGUUUUGCUUAAGAAUGCAUCAAUUCAUUUGUUCCAAGCUCUAGGAGCCUGCUUCAAACCAUAAAGUGCUUUCUUGAGCUUAAGAACCUUGUCCUCACUCCCUUUAAGCUCAAACCCAGGAGGUUGUGUAAUGUAAACCUCUUCUUCCAAAGGCCCAUUCAAAAAUGCAGACUUAACAUCAAGUUGUCAAAGUUUCCAUCCUCUCCAACUAGCCAAAGCCACCAAUAGCCUUAUUGUCUCCAUUCUUGCUACAGGAGCAAACAUUUCUGAGUAAUCCAGACCCUCUUUCUGCAUGAAGCCUCUAACAAACAAGUCUGGCCUUGUGUCUUGAGAUAGAACCAUUUGGAUUCAGUUUCACUUUGAAUACCAACUUCACUGAAAUAGGUCUUUUAUUUGCUGGAAGCUCUACCAAUUCCCAAGUUUCAUUUUUCUCAAUGGAAACCAGCUCCUCUUUCAUAGCUUUCCUCCAAGUUUUAUUAACUAUAGCUUCAUCAAAACUAACUGGACUAACAUCAGCAAGUAAUGCCAUGUGGAUUAGCUCACCAUCAUUCCCAAUUUCAGAAUCCUGGAACAAUUCAUAGUCAUGUAAUCUUACAGGCACUUCAGCAUGUCUUUUUGGCCUUUCAUUCUGAGGUGCAUUUGAUUCCACAGGUGGUGCAAGUGGUAAAUUGAGUUCCUCUCCAAGUUCUUCUCCAUUAUCUAAAUCAGGUGCAGUCUGAUCUAGAUCUAAAUCUAUCUCAGCCACUGUUUGAUCUUAACCUGAACAACAAUUAUCGGAUUUCCAAGCACUAUAUUCUUCAAACAAUACAUCUCUGCUGAAUUCUACUUUCUUGGUUGUAGGAUUAUACAGCUUGUAUGCACCACUAGAGCUAUAUCCUAUGAAAACCAUUGACUCACUCUUAUCAUCCAGCUUCUUUCUUUUCUGAUCAGGAAUGUGUUUAUGGCAUAAACAGCCAAAAACUUUAAAAUGCUUAACAGAAGGCUUCUUUCCAGUCCAUAUUUCUUCUGGUACUUUGGAUCCAAGCUUCUUUGUAAGACACAAAUUUAGUACAUAAGCUGCUGUCAUAACAGCUUCUCCCCAAAAUGUAUGAGACAUGUUCUUGCCUUUCAACAUGCUUCUCACCAUAUUGAGUAUAGUCUUAUUCCUCCUUUCAGUUAUCCCAUUGUGUUGUGGUGUAUAUGGAGCUACAAUUUCAUGCAAUAUUCCAUUUUCUGUGCAAAAAUUUUCCAUUUCAUGUGAACAGAACUCACCACCUCCAUCAGUUCUCAACACCUUGAUGUAUUUUCCAGAUUGUUUUUCAGCCAUUGAUUUAAACACUUUGAACACAGAGAAAACUUCACUCUUGGCCUUAAGCAAAUACACCCAUAAUUUUCUACUAAAUUCAUCAAUGAAGGAUACAAAGUAUUUGUUUCCACCCAAUGAGACAGUAUCAAUUGGACCACACACAUCUGAGUAUAUAACAUCUAACACAGCAGUAGAUCUUUCAAGAGUAUAAGAGCCAAAAGAGUUUCUGGAUUGCUUGCUUACCAAACAACUUUCACAUACCUUUGAGGGAAGCUUUAUUGGAGUCAUUCCUGGCACCAUUCCUUUUGAAUUCAGAAGACUCAAACUCUUGAAGUUUAGGUGACCAAAUCUGAGAUGCCAUAACCAAGAGCCAUCCUUGUCCACUUCAGCUGAUAAGCAAUGUGAUUCUAAAGCAUUCACCUUGAUUUGAAAGGUUCUGUUUCUAGUGAGGGUAACCUUCAAAAUCCUUCUUUGAUGAGUAUCAUAUACUCCAAGAUGACCACUUAUCAUGUACAGUGAAAACCCUUUUUCAAGCAGCUGACCCAUGCUGAUAAGAUUGCUCUUUAACCCAGGAACAUAGAGCACCUCUGUAAUCACAGCAUCCUUCCCAUCUUCCUUUUUGACAUAGACAUCACCAAUUCCUUCUGCUCUAAUGUGUCUAUCAUCAGCAAAUCGAACUCUGCUCUUUUUGCUAAGAUCAAGAUUGACAAGCCAUUCUUUGUGACCAGUCAUGUGAUUGGUACAUCCUGAAUCAAUGUACCAAAUUCCUGAAUUGCUACUCCUUUCUUUUGUCAUCAUCAUAAGAGUGGCUGGUUCUUCGUCUUGAUCAAGCUUUUCACUCACAAGAUUGGCUUCAUUACUGAAUUUUCCUCUUGAAUCAGCAGGUGCCUUGCACUCACUUGAGAAGUGCCCCAACUUGUUACAAUUAAAGCACCUAAGAAAUCUUGGAUCAACUUUCUUCUUACCUCCUUGCCAAUUUUGUGAUCCUCCUCUUCUUGAAGAAGAUUCAGAUUGAUCAUUUUCCUCAUUGUUCUGAGAUUGUUUUCCAGAACUUCCAUGAUUACUUCUAUACUCUCUGGAUCUUCCUCUGCCUCGAUUGCCUUUUUUUCCAGAAAGACCACCUCUCUUCCAAGUUUGAGCUUGAAGAGCCUGGUCCUGAGAUCUGUCACUUUGCCUUUCCAGCAUACGCUGUUUAUAUGCUUCUAAUGAACCCUGCAAUUCUUCUACUUUUAGAGUUGCAAGAUUCUUUGAUUCCUCUAUCGCCACAACAACAUGAUCAAACUUAGGAAUCAGAGUGCGAAGAAUCUUUUCAACAAUCAUUUGAUCUGUAACCGUUUCACCAGCAACUUUCAUUGAAUUUGUCAAGGCGAUUACACGAUUAAAAAACUCUGCUACCUUUUCAGUCACGUUCAUCUGCAUCAGCUCAUAUUGGCGUCUCAGAGUUUGUAAUCGCACUUUCUUCAACUGAUCGGCACCCUCAUUACACUUCUCAAGAAUCUUCCAGGCUUCAUGUGAGGUCUUUGCUAAAGCAAUUUUCUCAAAGUGUGCAUUAUCUAUGCAUUGAUGAAUGAAAAACAAAGCCUUAUUAUCUUUCUUCUUGUUUUCCCGAUGCACAGCCCUUUGUGCUUCUGUUGCACCUUCUACAAGUGCAGGAUAGCCUUCAUCAACCACUUCUUGGACUUCUUGAUAUGCGAAUAUCACCUUCAUUUGGACACUCCACUUGUUCUAGUUUUUGCCGUCAAGAAUGGGAAGGUUUGCAGGGAAGUUAACAUUGGUUGAUCCCAUCGUUCUUCAACAAUGCUUUUUAAGAAGAUAACCAAAGCUCUUGAUACCAAUUUGUUAGGGAAUGAGAUUUGCAGAACGUGUGUAUAGAAUAGAGAAUGAUUAUGAACUAAAUCUUUCUAGAAAAAAAAUGAAUGUACAUCAACUCAAUGAUCUUACUAUUUAUAACAAAGGACUCAAUUAACUUGAUCCCAAAUAGUAAGCUAACAAACUAACUAACUUCUAACUGACUUUUGAAUUACUAUUAACACAAAUAACGCUUUAUGAAGUUAGUGUACAAUGUUUUACAAGAUUUCUCUCUAAGUAAUUCAUUAUUUUUUCUCAAACAUGUUACAUAACCAAGCCACAAAACAAAACACGUCUAAACAUAGUUAAUUUAAGGCAUAUAGAUUAUAUUUGUGCAUUAAGAAUACACACGAACUUAAUACAUAUAGAAACAAGCCACAAUAAGUAAUAUAUAUUCCCUCUAGACUUAAAUAUAAGAAAAUUUAACUAACUUGUUCAAGACUCUGUAUGUUAGUUUGGAGAGCAUUUUUAAAUAGGUUUUCCAUACCAAUGUCGAUAGUGAGGAUCAUAGAAAGUGGAACUUUUCCACAUCAGGUUUUAUCCAAUGUGUAGAAAAUCAUUCUCUACAUCCAUUAAUGAGAUGAAUGAUGUAGAAAAUAGUCUUUACUACAUCAAUUAUUUCCUGAACGGAAGUAGAUUACAUUACAAUGUUUUUUUUUUUUAAAUAACCUAUCUAUUUUGGGAGCAUCCCAAACCUAUACUUAAUACAAUUCAAAAUAGACCCAGGAAGUUUCUCAUAUCUAUUUAUAUGGAUCAAUUAACAUAAUUAAAUCAUAGAGUCCCUAGUGUACAAUAAUAAAACAACUUCAAACAAUUUAAACUCCCUAAUUUUAAUAUAAACAAACACACAUACGCAUACUCGCACACAAACAAAAAAUGUAAUCUAAAAUUAUUUCUAGCUUGUAUUAAUCAUGACAAAAGUCAAACAUAACACAACACAACAUAAUGUAAGAUGAUGGAGACAUAAGUCGCAAGUAAAUAGGAUAAACGUAAUACAAUCAUCCAAAAAGCAAAUAGUUAGUGCGCACUACAUAUGAAGUCCCAAAAGACAAAAACUACAUUUCAAAAAACUGUUGGUUUGGAGAGUCCUAUUUGAAGGUUCUUUUCCCAUGUCUUUUGUAUUUGACGGUUGACCAGGAGGACAAUGUAGGGGAGAUGUCAACAGAGGUCAACGAUCAUGGGGUGGUGUAGAGUUAGAGAUGACAGAGAGCUCUAUUUGAGCGGGAGAAAGUGGUGGUGUAGCAAAUGGAGGAUUUACUUUCUCCAGUAAGAUUGAAUUUGAUGACGGAGGACAUAUGGUUAUGGAUUGGGGGUGAGUUCUCCUUUUCAGUGGCCUUGGCCUAUCGUGUUAUUUUGAGGUUUCUGAUAGCUUAAUGUUGGUGAAUUUUUGCUUCCAAUCAUUUUUUAAAUAACCUAUCUAUUUUGGGAGCAUCCCAAACCUAUAGCUAAUACAAUUCAAAAAACCCAGGAAGUUUCUCGUAUGCAUAUAUAUGAAUCAAUUAACAUAAUUAAAUCAUAAAGUCCCUACUGUAUAAUAAUAAAACAACUUCAAAUAAUUUAAACUUCCUAAUUUUAAUAUAAACAAACACACAUACACACAUUCACACAUAAACAAAAAAUGUAAUCUAAAAUUAUUUCUAGCUUGUAUUAAUCAUGACAAAAGUCAAACAUAACACAACACAACAUAAUGCAAGACGAUGGAGAUAUAAGUCACAAGUACAUAGGACAAACGUAAUACAAUCAUCUAAAAAGGAAAUAGUCAAUGCACACUACAUAUGAAGUCCCAAAAGACAAAAACUACAUUUCAAGAAACUAAAUCGAGGUUUUUACAUAGGUGAACCUGAUAUCAUUAUAUAAUACAAACAAAAUGGGGAGGCAGAUGCAAGAACUCACACCCUAAGAAUUGGUCACCUCCUUGUCAUCAUAAAAUCCUUGCUUGUGUGCAUAAGUCAUAACACAGAGCAUCCUACAAUAAGUCCUUGCAUUCCCCUCAAAAUGAGUAGGCAGAGGGUGAAUGCUCCAAGAGGGACAAUGUAACACUCUAGUUGAAUUACACUAGAAUGAGAGAGAUCCAAAGACUGUAUAGGUAUGAGACUAUAUAAUUGAGAAUGACUUAAAUGAUAUAAUUGAUACUGCUUAUACCAACAAGAUGCAUCUACUUUUUGAUAGUCUAUCACUUAAGUACUCCAUAAGGGGUGAAUUGAUUGAUUUUAGAUAGUGGUAAAAGAAACUUGCUAAAUUCAGACAAAUAUAUUUUCAUAUAUUCUUGAAGGAACGUCUUGUGUAACACCAUUUCUUAUGAGUAGAAUUUUUACUAUCAUUGUCGGGAAUAUUUUAUAGGUAUUUCAAUCACAGUAGUAAUAAUCUAAUGGCUACAAAAGUAGUACACACAAGAAAUCAUGUAAGACAAGAUUCUCUAAAAAGGCACUUGUCAUUGAAAUAACUUCUCACUAAUGUCAACUUGGAGCAUACUUUUAGACCACAAACAAUAACCAUUAUAUGCAAAAUAGGCUUCAUAAUUAGGAUAUAAGUAGCAAUUGUUUUAGAGGGGGUUAAAACCUUACGUAUACAACAAAAGUAAAGUUUUUUUUUUUUAAAAAAAAAAAGAAAAAGAGCAAAGAAAAAAUGUUUGUUUCAUACAUAGACUUUCAGUAUCCUCAAGAAAUAAGAGACUUUCAAAUAUUAGUUAUCUAAUUAUAUCAAUUUCCCCUAGAAUUAAUAACAAAUCACAAAAUGAGUUAUUCCAAGUUCAUAACUGGAAGUACAAGCAUAUUGUCGAAACAAUAAUUACACUCCAACUCAUCCUGAAUUGCAUACCCUCCAAAAAAGUCCUCCAUUUUAUUUUCCCUAAAACUAGUACACACAUGAAAAACAACACUAUUUUUAAUAAGAACCCCUUUUAUUUUGAGAAUCAAUAGAUAUAAACAAAUGAAGGUCAUACAAAAUGCAAAAAACUACAAUCCUAACUACCACAGGAGGUGGCUUGGGAGUUGAAAAGAACAAUAUCUUUCUUUGGGAGGGAAGAUCACCUUGAUAAACUUUGUGUUAUCGAGUUUGCCUCUUUCUAUUUUCUCUUUUUACAGGGAUUCCAAGCGUGUUAUAGCCAUGUUGGUGAGUAUUCAAAGGAGGUUUAUGUGGUUUGGUGUGUUAGACUCAAAGGUGGAUUGGAAUUUAGUGUGCAGGGCAAGGCAGAUGGGGGGGGGGAGGGGUUAAGGGUGUAGAACUUAGCAGCUUCCAGUGUUAGUUUGUUGGCUAAGUGGUGGUGGAGGUUUCUAGCAAGAAGGGUACUCUAUGGCAUGGUUUGCUUGCUCGCAGGCAUGGGCACUUGGACUGGCUUAGGGAGUGCCAAACCCAAUUUGGAGGGGACGACUGAUUUUCUAGUAUGGUGGUCCAUCGAAUUGGUGAUGGAUAGAACAUCUCCUUCUAGAAGGACUAUUAGUUUGGAGAGUCCUAUCUGAAGGCUCUCUUCCCAUGUCAUUUUUAUUUGGUGGUUGAUCAGGAGGACAAUGUAGGCGAGAUGCCAAUGGAGGUCAGCGAUCAUGGGGAGGUGUGGAGUUAGAGAUGGCAUAGAGCUCUAUUUGAGCGGGAGAAAGUGGUGGUGCAGCAAAUGGAGGACUUACUUUCUCCAAUAAGAUUGAAUUUGAUGUCGGAGAACAAAUGGUUAUGGAUUGAGGGCGAGUUCUCCUUUUUGGUGGCCUUGGCCUACCGAGAAUUCACAUUUGAGGUUUCUGAUAGCUUAACGUUGGUGAAUUUUUGCUUUCGAUCAUUUUGGAAGUGUGAUGUCCCAUCCAAUGCUUUUGGCUUUUUCUUGGAGGAUAAUCUUUGACAAACAACCUACUUGUGUGGCUCUAGUGAAGAAGGGAGUUAUGCUUAAGGAUGAUGGGUGUGUUUUUUGUGAAGCUGACAGGGAAGAUUUGCAACACUUUUUUCUUGGGGUGCACCUUCUUGUUUAAGAUUUGGUGUGAUGACUACUGUUGGUAGGGUAUUUCUUAAGUGCAACAUUCUAGGGUUUCGUUUCAUUUCAUGCAACAUGGCCUUUUCUGGAGAGGCACGAGGAUGCAUAGAGUUCGUUAUUUCAUCUAGCAUGCGAUUUGGUGGAGUCUUUGGUUUCACAAGAACUGUAUUAUUUUCCAUGAAGAGGUAGCAAAUGCACAAGUGGUUUUGUGGCAUAUUCAGAUCUUGUCCUAGUUGUCGCUUCAAUAUAUGUGUCAUUGGACAUUGGCUUGUUCCUUUGCCGAUUGGUGUUUGCAACCAUUUUUUGUUUUAGGUUGAUUGGGUUUUUGUUUUCUUUUCAUAAUGUUCUUAAUAUUUCCUUGUUGAUUUAUUCUUUUUGGGAGUCACACUUCGUAGUAGAUGCACGGGUGGUUUUGUGGCAGAUUCAAAUCUUGUCCUGGUUGUUGUUUAUAUAUAUGUGUCAUGGGACAUUGGCUUGUUCCUUUGCCAAUUGGUGUUUGCAACCAUUUGUUCUUUAAGGUUGAUUGUAUUUUUGUUUUCUUUUCAUAUUGUUUUUAAUGUUUCCAUGUUGAUAUAUUCUUUUUGGGAGUCACACUUCGUAGCAUCUUAUAUUAAUAUACCAAUCUCAAUUUGUCUUCCAAAAAAAAAAAUUCACUACAAACAAAAACAUUAAUUAGAAAGUGCAUUGUAUUCUAGUGAAGAAGGGGGUUAUGCUUAAGGAUGAUGGGUGUGUUUUUUGUGAAGCUGACAGGGAGGAUUUGCAACACUUUUUCUUGGGGUGCACCUUCUUGUUUCAAAUUUGGUGUGAUGACUAUUGUUGGUAGGGUAUUUCUUAAGUGCAACAUUCUGGGGUUCCAUUUCAUUUCAUGCAACAUGGCCUUUUCUGGAGGGGCACGAGGAUGCAUAGAGUUCGUUAUUUCAUCUAGCAUGUGAUUUGGUGGAGUCUUUGGUUUCACAAGAACUGUAUUAUUUUCCAUGAAGAGGUAACAGAUGCACAAGAGGUUUUGUGGCUGAUUCAGAUCUUGUCCUGGUUGUCGAUUCUAUAUAUGUGUCAUUGGACAUUAGCUUGUUCCUUUGCCAAUUGGUGUUUGCAACCAUUUGUUGUUUUAGGUUUAUUGGGUUUUUUAUUUUCUUUUCAUCAUGUUUUUAAUAUUUCCAUGAUGAUUUAUUCUUUUUGGGAGUCACACUUCGUAGUAGAUGCAUGGGUGGUUCUAUGGAAGAUUCAAAUUUGGUCCUGGUUGUUGUUUAUAUAUAUGUGUCAUGGGACAUUGGCUUGUUCCUUUGCCAAUUGGUGUUUGCAACCAUUUGUUCUUUAAGGUUGAUUGUAUUUUUGUUUUCUUUUCAUAUUGUUUUUAAUGUUUCCAUGUUGAUAUAUUCUUUUUGGGAGUCACACUUCGUAGCAUCUUAUAUUAAUAUACCAAUCUCAAUUUGUCUUCCAAAAAAAAAAAUUCACUACAAACAAAAACAUUAAUUAGAAAGUGCAUUGUAUUCUAGUGAAGAAGGGGGUUAUGCUUAAGGAUGAUGGGUGUGUUUUUUGUGAAGCUGACAGGGAGGAUUUGCAACACUUUUUCUUGGGGUGCACCUUCUUGUUUCAAAUUUGGUGUGAUGACUAUUGUUGGUAGGGUAUUUCUUAAGUGCAACAUUCUGGGGUUCCAUUUCAUUUCAUGCAACAUGGCCUUUUCUGGAGGGGCACGAGGAUGCAUAGAGUUCGUUAUUUCAUCUAGCAUGUGAUUUGGUGGAGUCUUUGGUUUCACAAGAACUGUAUUAUUUUCCAUGAAGAGGUAACAGAUGCACAAGAGGUUUUGUGGCUGAUUCAGAUCUUGUCCUGGUUGUCGAUUCUAUAUGUGUCAUUGGACAUUAGCUUGUUCCUUUGCCAAUUGGUGUUUGCAACCAUUUGUUGUUUUAGGUUUAUUGGGUUUUUUAUUUUCUUUUCAUCAUGUUUUUAAUAUUUCCAUGAUGAUUUAUUCUUUUUGGGAGUCACACUUCGUAGUAGAUGCAUGGGUGGUUCUAUGGAAGAUUCAAAUUUGGUCCUGGUUGUUGUUUAUAUAUAUGUGUCAUGGGACAUUGGCUUGUUCCUUUGCCAAUUGGUGUUUGCAACCAUUUGUUCUUUAAGGUUGAUUGUAUUUUUGUUUUCUUUUCAUAUUGUUUUUAAUGUUUCCAUGUUGAUAUAUUCUUUUUGGGAGUCACACUUCGUAGCAUCUUAUAUUAAUAUACCAAUCUCAAUUUGCGUUUCAAAAAAAAAUUCACUACAAACAAAAACAUUAAUUAGAAAGUGCAUUGUAUUCUAGUGAAGAAGGGGGUAAUGCUUAAGGAUGAUGGGUGUGUUUUUUGUGAAGCUGACAGGGAGGAUUUGCAUCACUUUUUCUCGGGGUGCACCUUCUUGUUUCAGAUUUGGUGUGAUGACUACUAUUGGUAAGGUAUUUCUUAAGUGCAACAUUUUGGGGUUCCGUUUCAUUUCAUGCAACAUGGCCUUUUCUGGAGGGGCACGAGGAUGCAUAGAGUUCGUUAUUUCAUCUAGCAUGCGAUUUGGUGGAGUCUUUGGUUUCACAAGAACUGUAUUAUUUUCCCUAAAGAGGUAGCAGAUGCACAAGUGGUUUUGUGGCAGAUUCAGAUAUUGUCCUGGUUGUGGCUUUUAUAUAUGUGUCAUUGGACAUUGGCUUGUUCCUUUGCCAAUUGGUGUUUGCAACCAUUUGUUGUUUUAGGUAGUUUGGGUUUUUGUUUUCUUUUCUUCAUGUUUUUAAUAUUUCCAUGUUAAUUUAUUCUUUUUGGGAGUCACACUUCGUAGUAGAUGCACGGGAUCUUGUCCUGGUUGUGGUUUAUAUAUAUGUGUCAUGGGACAUUGGCUUGUUGCUUUGCCAAUUGGUGUUUGCAACCAUUUGUUGUUUUAGGUUGAUUGUAUUUUUGUUUUCUUUUCAUCCUAUUUUUAAUGUUUCCAUGUUGAUCUAUUCUUUUUGGGAGUCAGACUUCGUAGCAUCUUUUAUUAAUAUACCAAUCUCAAUUUGUCUUUCAAAAAAAAAAAAUUCACUACAAACAAAAACAUUAAUUAGAAAGUGCAUUGUAUUCUAGUGAAGAAGUGGGUUAUGCUUAAGGAUGAUGGGUAUGUUUUUUGGGAAGCUGACACGGAGGAUUUGCAACACUUUUUCUUGGGGUGCACCUUCUUGUUUCAGAUUUGGUGUGAUGACUACUUUUGGUAGGGUAUUUCUUAAGUGCAACAUUCUGGGGUUCCGUUUCAUUUCAUGCAACAUGCCCUUUUCUGGAGGGGCACGAAGAUGCAUAGAGUUUGUUAUUUCAUCUAGCAUGCGAUUUGGUGUAGUCUUUGGUUUCACAAGAACUGUAUUAUUUUCCAUGAAGAGGUAGCAGAUGCACAAGUGGUUUUGUGACAGAUUCAGAUCUUGUCCUGGUUGUGGCUUCUAUAUAUGUGUCAUUGGACAUUGGCUUGUUCCUUUGCCAAUUAGUGUUUGCAACCAUUUGUUGUUUUAGGUUGAUUGGGUUUUUGUUUUCUUUUCUUCAUGUUUUUAAUAUUUCCAUGCUGAUUUAUUCUUUUUGGGAGUCACACUUCGUAGUAGAUGCAUGGGUGGUUCUGUGGCAGAUUCAAAUCUUGUCCUGGUUGUGGUUUAUAUAUAUGUGUCAUGGGACAUUGGCUUGUUCCUUUGCCAAUUGGUGUUUGCAACCAUUUGUUGUUUUAGGUUGAUUGUAUUUUUGUUUUCUUUUCAUCUUGUUUUUAAUGUUUCCAUGUUGAUCUAUUCUUUUUGGGAGUCACACUUCGUAGCACUUUUAUUAAUAUACCAAUCUCAAUUUUCCUUUAAAAAAAAUUCACUACAAACAAAAACAUUAAUUAGAAAGUGCAUUGUAUUCUUUGUGGAACAAAUCAACAAAAUACUCAUUUAUGGGGUGAAGCCCAAGUAUUGCAAUAUCUCACAAUCCUUUUUAUGAGAAAAAAAAAACAAUUUCUUUUAGCUUAGGAAAACACAAUGUGCUAUUUUUUGUGUUAAUUGCGAUAGCUAGCUCUCUUGUAGACUUUGGAGUAUGGAAGAGGUAGGUAGCAGAUAGACAAAUUUUAAAAUUUAAAGGUAUUCACUCACAAAACCCACCCACAUAUCUCCCUUCUUUUUCAUAUGUCCUCCUUCUACCUAAAACGCUCUCAAAGAUGAAUUUUUCUGGUCACUAGCUCAUGUGUCGUUUCCUGCCUCCUCAGGUAGCGGUUUGGAAAAAUAAACCAUUGGAUAUGCUUCUUAGCAUAUCCUUUUCAUAUCCCCUAAAAAAAUUUCCAAAAACUCCCAACAUCAUCUCUUCUACCUUAAUUUUUUUUUCUCAUUUUCCCUAGCACUCUCAAUGGAGCUAGACCCUUCCAGUCACCGACUCAAAUCCUUCCCAAAAACUAAUUUACAAAGAACUAGUGAACAACAUCGAAAAGCUAUAUAUGGACACAUGGCAAAAGCUUCAUUUUUUUUUCAUUUUUCCUUUGAAACCGUAAAGUCUGUUUCAAAAUGAGUUUUUGCUUUCAUUUGCUUUUUUCCUUUCUAAGAUGCAUUUUUAUUUUGUGAAAUUAAUGUUAGUGUUUGGCUUUAUUUUAUUUUUGCAAGAUUCAUUUUCUAUUACAAUGUUGUGGUAUUUUAUUGUCUUCCUCUCUUUGAUUCUUCUAUGUUGAAGUUCAUUUAUUUAAAAUUAAAAAAAUUAUUUAUUUGCUGAUUCUUUGACAUAUGAUUUUUUUUUCAUGAAAUUUAGUCUUGCAUGGAAGGAAUCAUAGAUUUAAGAAUUUCAUUGAGCCUACAUGGAAAUGAAGGUAAGGAUUUUUUAUAUAUGGUGCACUUUUUUUUUAUUUUGUGUUAGUUUUGUAAGCUACUUUUUUAUGUGUUGCAACAAGGAAAAAUAAUUUCAAAUAAUAAUGGAUGAGACAAUUACAACGGUUUUUAAGGUUUAUUCCACUAAGAUUCUUAUAGAAUCUCAUGAAAUGUGCAGGUGAUACAAGGAGGAUGAUGUGCACAAAAGCAUUGAAACAAGAAGUUGGAGAACUUAACACAUUUUUAGCAUCCAAGGUAUACUUUUUAAGGAUCUCAUUGAAAGUUUUUUCAAGCAUGGCAUGGAAACCUGAAAUUAAUGUUGUUGUUAGCAUUUGUUUUCAAUUUGUUUUUCAUUUCCUCUAUUGUUGUUUUGUUCUAUCAUAGUUCCUAUAUAUUGCCACUUAUUUUGUGGACAAAAUAUUUUUUUUUUUUUGCAGUUUUUAUAUUAAUUUAUGCUUUUCUCUUAUGUGUAGGUGAUUUUGGAGGCUACCCAAGAAGAAAGUGAGGUCAAGGGCUUUAUGAAUAUGAUUCAUAGACAAAAGGUAAUUUUUCUUUUGACACAAUUUUUAGGCUGAAGUUAUAGGUGUUGUAUUUUUUUUAAUAUGGUUUGCAGAAUUUGAAGUACAAAUUAGAAAUGGGAGUUUUGCUUGCACAGGCUGGUGUCCCAAUGGUAACUCAUGCAUGUUAAGAGAUUCAAAUUAAUCCCAGUGUAUAUACUCAUUAAUUUAUAUUAUGGAACAAUAUAGUAAUCAUUGUUUUUUAUACAAAAACUAUAAUUGUAAGAAUAAGGUGGGCACCAAAGGUGAAUUUCUUUCUCUUCUACAUAUGAUGUGUGUCAUGAUUUGUGAUAUAUGUUUCUGUACAGUAUUUUGAUCUUUAAGUGUCCUCUCUAAUUUUUGAAAGUUAUUAUCUCUCUCAAAGAAUACAUUAGCUCAAGCUUUACCUAUGAAUAACUAAUUAGUAUUUGCAAAAAGGUAAGUGUAUGAGAGGAAUUUUAAUGGAUUGAAAUUUGAAAUGACUAAAAUAUGUUUUUAUUCUCCUAAAUAUCGAAAUAUUAAAAAUUCAUCUCUGUAAAUUUUUUUAUCUAUUUUUCGUCCUUACAAAACUUAAAUAUAUCAAAUUUUAGCUCAAGGUUAAGUUUGGAUAACCAAACCUACAUGUGUGUUGAUGUAAAAAGGAUAAGAGUUUUCAACUUUUUUACAUCGGUUAAAAGUAUAACUGAUGUAAAAAUUCCUCUUAAAACCUAUAGAUUAUGAAUAUCGAACUGAAAUACCCACCUCCACCGGCAUGACAACACUAACAAUUGAGCUUGUCAAUCACAUAGGAACAUCAACCAAACCACACAGCAAAACUUUUAUAGAAACAAAAUCAUUUAAUUGAACUAUAUUUUAUAUAAUUAACCUUCUUCUCAAAGUGUGUUUUUAUUUCUCUAAUUGAGUUUCUUUUUACACCUCAAUCAAAAUUCUGGAAAGUUUCUUUUUUUUUUCUAUCCUCAAUCAGAGUUUCUUUUUAUCUUCUCAAAAGUUAUGAAGAUGAAUCCCCAUUGACUGUGCUGACUGGAUGACAAAGCAUGGAGCUUCUUCUUUUGCUCCCAUAAAAGUUGAGCACACAUAGGAUGGAAGUUGAAAAGUUGAGCACCAUAUAAGUAAGGAGAAGACCCAUAAACUUGAGCCUUAAGGUUUUGGGUUAAAGUGUGGUGUUAAAUUCCCUUAUGUGGUUGCUCAUGGCUCAUUGGUGUAAAUUUGUCUGGUGUUUACUCCCCUCGAAUUCCCCGACAAAUGCCUUGGGCAUUUUGUAUCUUAGAACUUAGCUUUCUAUUUUCUCCCUUUCCUUUGUUUCUUUAGUUUCGUUUCAGAACAAAAAUGCAUGCAUCAAGGUUGGUUUCUUUGAUUUGUUACAUGAUCAUAAUCAUAUAAAGCUUCAAAACUCAUGAAUGGGUUUAAUCAGCGGAAAGUUGGUAAAUAAAUUAUGGAUUAGUUGGUAUAAAGUAGCACAUAACUUUGUAUUAUUUUUCAGAUUUUUAUUCCUUGAGGAUUCAUCUUGAAAUUAUGUUACACCGUGUUGAAGAGAUUAGAGAAUCCAAAGGUGAAUUCCCUGAGGAUACUAUUCACAGGAACCAAAAUUCACCUCACUCUAUGUGUUUGAUCUAAAAAAAGGAAAUGCUACUUGAAUAAUUAGAGAAAGGUAAAAAAUAUUCUCCUUUAUUGUUAUUAGUAACAUUUUUGGAAGUUGCAGAAAGAAAACAAGUUGAAAAAAUUCUUCUCCUUUAUUAGAAGUUCUUCCACGUUGAGAUUUUCUUUGUUAUGAUAAAUUUAUUUUUCUCCUACUUACUGUCUUCCAAAUUAAAUGUUUUCUUUUAUCUAAUCAUACAAGAAAAGUACUUACUAGAACUUAUUUCAACUUCAAAGUGGUCAUUAAAAGACUGUUUGUGUCUGAUCCCAAAUUCUAAUACCCUUAUUUUUGUCAUAUGAUGUAAUGGAAGAAGGGGGCUCAAGAGAAAGAAUAAUUAUAUAUCAAAGAGUUAUGUGGCUAUCAAUUUUAAAUGUCUACUCUAAAUAGCACUUUCAAAAACAAAGAGAAAGAAGUUAAAUAUGAGAACAUGAUAUGACUAGAAGAAAAACUAUACAUAACAAAUUACUACCCGAUUUUAUCAAUACCAUUUAGAUAAUAUUUUCCUUAUUUUCUUUUACUUCCAUCACACGAUAUACUUGCCAAUAAAUAAUGUUGAAUAAAAAAAAUAGUUAUAAACGCUCCCCAAAUCAAAUGGGUCUCGAUCAUUUUUUGUCGUGGUUAGUGGCAACAGUAUUGAAACAAAGAAAUAAAACCACUAAAUACUAAUUUGUAAACAGAGUCUCAUCCUUAAUUUUUUUUUAUGUACUAACCAACACAAAAUAAAAAUUCAAAUAUGACACAUAACAUCAGUCGGUUGUCAUGUGUUUACCAAAGAUGUUACAUAGGCAUUAACCCUAAUGUUAACCGGAUUGGACUAAUGGCGAAAUAAAUAUGUUGCACUUUUUAGAUGUUGAUUAAAUUUAAAUUUUUUAUCUUUUAAGAAUUAGUCUUACAAAAAUAAACUAAUAACAGAAUUAAUAUGGUGUACUUUUGACACAUUGAUUAAAUUUAAAUUUUUUUAUAUUUUAUAAACCAAUUUGUUAGACCAAAUUGGAUAUAUAAAUUGGAUAUAUAUUCUAAAAAGUAUGAAGAAUUUAUUUUGACUUAACUUGUAACAUCCCAUUUUUCGUAAGCCAAUUUAAAAAGAAUUUUUAUUUUUAAAUAAAUAGAGUUUUAGAAAAAUGAUCAGAUUUUUAUAAAUAAAUAAAUAAUGAGAAAUAAUAAUUUGAAGGAAAAAAAAAGAGAAUAUUUGAUUUAUUCAUUUGAUAGGAAAUAAAAUAGAGUUCUUUUUUUAUAAAAUAUUAAAAACAAAUAAAUAGAGUAAUAAUAAGUUGUAUGUACCCUAGGUAUAAAUAACUAUGUUAGGUCAGUUAGAAUGAUGAUACCUCUUCUUUCCCUCAUUUUCGUUUUUUCCCAUUUUCCUCUCAAAAUUCUUUCGUCUCCCCGCAGUCCACCAAACCUGUCUCAGAAAAAUGAUGAUCUCGGACUCAUUUAGCGUUAGAUCGUUGUUAAAUUUGAGCACCAUGUUCGCAACCCAUUUCCGAGCAUUCUCACUGUUGGGAAUUUUGAUAUCAUGUUUGAGCUGAGACAAAUACCUUUCGCAUCGUAGCCUUUUCCUUUCCCGCAGAAACCCAAAAUGGCCUCAGUAAAACUACGAUCCCGGUUUCAUUAACCGUUAGAUUUUCAUGAAAUUUUGAUAUCAGGUUCACGAUUCAGUUCCGCACACCUUCACCGUUGGGAUUUGCGAGAUAAUAUUCACGGAGAGAGAAAAAGGAAUCGCACCAAGAUAGUACAAGUGGAGGCUUCAAUCCCUUCUCUGUCUCUCUGAUGUUUGAGAACUCUAUCGGAGUAGUUAGAGGAAAAAACUAGAGGAAUCUCAGGGAACCGCUAGAGGCUGAAGACACGUGAGCCCACUUAGAGGUAAGGGAUGAGUUAUUCACAAUUGGAGAUUAGUGAAAACAUGUGUAUGGAUCCUUAGAGAUAUCAAUUGGAAUGAGUUUUGAGGUGUUUUUGUAAUUUUUAUUUUAUCCUUAUAAUUAUUACAGUGAAUUAUAUAUGUUUGAUGAAUCAGUUGAUGUUCAAUUGAGAAAUUGUUGUGAAAUUGAUGUGUUUUUGUUGAGCGUGAAUCCCUUAGAAAAAGUAAACUAUUUUUAUUAACGUAAAUUAUAUUUUAAAUAAUAUUAUUCAAUGACUUAUUUUAUACAAAUUAUUAUCUUGUUUUAAUUUUUCUACAACGAUGAUCAACAUGUUAUGUGUAUAUAAUUAUUGUAAUACUAGAAUAAUAAAUUAAAGAAAAUUGUUCUAAUUUUGAUGUAAUAUUAAAUUUAUUGUUAUAGAAAUCCUUUGAUUAAAAACAAUGUAGUUUAAAUUACUAUAUACAUAUACAUAUAUAUGCUUUGUAUCAUGCAAAUAUUAUUAUUGUGUGAUGUAUAUAUGAGUUAUAAGGUGUAAUAAGUUAUUAUAAUGGUGUUAUAAUAUUAUAGUGAAGAUUGAGUAAUACAAAGUUGAAUGUGUCAAUUUGCGAGAUACAUGUAAAAAUGAGAUGGUCGAUGUGAUAUUAUGAGAUGUUAAAUUGUGAGCAUGAUAUUUGAUUGUGAAUAAGUGUGUGUGUUUGACACUUGAUGUGACAAUAAUUAUAUUGUGAGCUAUGAAUUAUACAAUAAUCCGAUCAGUGUUAUCUUGAGAAAAGCGUUAAUGCGCAGUGUUUAAGAGAAAGUGUAGGUUUUCUAUUCAGGAACCAGUGUUAAAUUAUAACGCAAUGUGCUAAACGUGUUUGAAACAUGAGUGUGAGAUCGUGUGUAUUGUAUAAUUCAUGAGCAGUGCUUAUAAAUGAAAUAUGUGAUGAAUUGUGGAAUAAUAUGUUGCCUUGAGAUUAUAAUAUUGUUAUUGAGAUUGAGUAAAAGUGCAAAGUAAAAUAGGUGUUGAAUUGUGAGAUACGUGAAAAUAUGCGAUGGUGGAUUGUGACAUUAUGAGAUGUGAAAUUGUGAAUGAGUUUUGGUUGUGAAUAAGUGUGUGAUUAACUCUUGAUGUGACAUUAUUUGUGUUGUAAGCUGUGAAUUGUACAAUAACCCAACCAGUGUUAUCUUGAGAAAAGCGUAAAUUGUGACACCCUCUACCCCACACAUAUAUGUACUAAUAAUAAAAGAAAUAAUUGAAAAAAAUUAAACUUAAUUCAAGUUUUUAAAACAUAUUUAAAUACAAGUCUUUCAAGAGGGUAGCAGACUCACAUUCACCUUUCUAACAUCAUCAUAAAACUUUUCUAAAUAAAUAAUGAAUUCACUUCGGCUCAAACAAGGUCGUCUAUAAAACCCUAUACCCCAAUGCCACAUCCUAUCAGAGCGUUGUGUCCCGACGUCCUUUAGCACAUGGUUCCUUAAAGCAAUUCACCUAGUCAUCUGCUCUUCCGAAUACAAAGUUCAAGAUCAUCACAGGAUCCAAACACAAACAACACACGGGGAGUGAGUUAUCACAUUCCUAACUAAUAGAGAAACAAGACAACUAGAUAUACAUAUCAUAUAAACCAAAUAAAACUUAGUUGCACGUAAUUCACGUAAUUUUAUCACUUUGUCAUUAAAAGGUCACUUUUCAAUCAUCAAUCACAUUACACAAGAAUCACACGCUCUGAUCAAGACAUGAUAACACAUCAAUUACAAAAUAAACAAUUAGCAAGCGCAUGAGACAGUUAUGCUAAGACUCAAGCCUAUAUGCAAUGUGGUACCAUGUCAGUGAAAAACCACCCUGAGGCGCUAAGGAGUACAUAACAAGACACACCAAACAAUGAGUUUGUCAGGUCACUCUCACUAAGUAAGAUCAUAGGAGACCAGUCAGCAACACCAUGUUUUGCGAGAAUGCUCCAACCAUAUGGGAUCAACAUAGGCUUAAAGAAGCACUCAAACCCGGUGACCCCCAAGGCCUACACUCCGAAGAGUCCGUCAGGGCCUCUCCCUCCUGAUUCAGGUCCAACCCCUAAAAUCAUUUUAGCACACAGACACUGCUUGUGAAUUAUACAAUACCCAUGACCUCACACUCGUGUGUUAAACACGUACAACAUAUUGCGCUACAAUUUAACAUUGAUUCCUAAAUAGGAAACCUACACUUUCUCUUUAACACUGCGCAUUUACACUUUUCUCAAGAUAACACUGGUCCGGUUAUUGUACAAUUCACAGCUUACAACACAAAUAAUGUCACAUCAAGAGUUAAUCACACACUUAUUCACAAUCAAAACUCAUUCACAAUUUCACAUCUCAUAAUGUCACAAUCCACCAUCACAUGUUUUCACGUAUCUCACAAUUCAACACAUGUUCUACUUUAGACUUUUACUCAAUCUCAAUAACAAUAUUAUAAUCUCAAGGCAACAUAUUAUUCCAUAAUUCAACACAUAUUUUAUUUAUGAACAUUGCUCAUGAAUUAUACAAUACCACGACCUCACACUCAUGUUUCAAACAUGUUUAACACAAUUGCGGUACAAUUUAACACUGGUUCCUAACUAGGAACCUACACUUUUUCUUUAACACUACGCAUAAAUAAUUUUCUCAAUAUCAACACUAGUUGGGUUAUUGUAUAAUUCACAGCUCAUAACUCAAUACACACAUCUCAAUACACAUGUAUCUCAAAUCUAAACAUAGUAUUCUCAAACUCCAACACUUGAAUAAUUUUUGGAAUCACACAAUAACAACACUACAACAUUAUUUACAUAAAAUAUUAAUAUAAAUAAAUAUAUAACUAAAUCUAUAUAUAUAAAUCCAGCAACGUAUAUCAUAUUUGAUCAUGAAUUUUAAGAAAGUUUUCAAUGUAACAAUUCUAAAUAAUUAUAUAAACAAUUUCUCAUAUAUAUAAGUAUACAUGAAUUCAAAUAUAUAUUAUCUAAGAAUACAACACAUAGUCUAUUAGAAUUCUUUUCUCAAUUUCAAAAUAUAAUAUCAAUUUUAAACUAUAAAAAAAACUAAAAAGCAUGAAAAGGGGAAAAAUACAAACUCAAUAUCUCCUUACUUAAUUUCAUCAACUACGGUUCACACUCAACACAAGAGCACAUUAAUUUCACAAAAAAUUCUCAUUGGGACAUCAAAUGAUUCAUCAAACAUAUAUAAUUUAUAUAUAACAAAUAGUUAUAAUUAUAAGGAUAAAGUAAAAAUUAUAAAAACACCCAAAACUCAUUCCAAUUGAUACUCUAAGGAUCCCUACACAUGUUCUCAUUAAUCCCCAAUCGUGAAUAACUCAUCCCUUACCUCUGAGCGGACUCACGUGUCGUCCGCCAGCAAUAGCAGCAUUUCUAGUGGUUCCCUGAGAUUCCUUCAGUUAUUCUUCCGACUGCACCGAUAGAAUUCUCAAACGUUAGAGAGACGGAAAAGAGAUUGAAACCUCCACUUGUACUGUCUUCAUGCGAUUCCUCUUUCUCCCUCCACGAAUAUUAUGUCGCAAAUCCCAACGGUGUAAGUGUGCGCAAUUGAAUUUCGAACAACAUAUUCAAAUUUCAUGAAAAUCCAACGGUUAACGAAACCGGGAUCAUAAUUUUACCGAGAAAAUUUUGGGUUUCUGCGGGAAAUUAAAAGGCUACAAUACGAAGGUUUUUCCUAUAAGCUCAGCCAUGAUUUUGAAAUUCCCAACGGUGAGAAUGCUGGGAAUUGGGUUGUGAACCUGGUGUUUAAAUUUCACGACGAUCCAUCAGUGAAUGAGUCUGAGAUCGUCAUUUUUCUGAGACAGGUUUAGUGAGCUACGGGAAAAAGAAAGGGUUUUGCGAGGAGAAGGGGAAAAACGGAAAUGAGAGGCAUAGGAGGCUGAGGAGUCAGUCUGAAAAACCUAGCAUGUUGCUAUUUAUAACUAGGGGCAUUUAUGACCUAUUAUUUACUCUAUUUAUUUAUUUUUAUUAUUUUUACUAAAAAAACUUUUUAAAUUUAUUUAUGAAAAAAAAAUGGGAUGUUACAUAAAUGCGCGAUGUAAAAGAGAAAAUUGUAAGUUUCCUAUUUAGGAACCAGUGUUAAAGAGAAAGUGUAGGUUUCCUAUUUAGGAACCAAUGUCAAGUUGUAGCGCAAUAUGUUCUACGUGUUUAAAACACGAGUGUGAGGUUGUGGAUAUUGUAUAAUUCACGAGCAGUGUCUGUGUGCUAAAAUGAUUUUAGGGGUUGGACUUGAAUCAGGAGGGAGAGGCCCUGAUGGACUCUUCGGAGUGUAAGCCUUGGGGGUCACCGUGUUUGAGUGCUCCUUUAAGCCUAUGCUGAUCCCAUAUGAUUGGAGCAUUCUCGCAAAACAUCGUGAUCCUGACUGGUCUCCCUAUGAUCUUACUUAGUGAGAGUGACCUGACAAACCCAUUGUGUGGUGUGUCUUGUUAUGUACUCCUAAGCGCCUCAGGGCGGUUUUUCACUGACAUGGUACCACAUUACAUAUAGGCUUGAGUCUUAGCAUAACUGUCUCAUGCGUUUGCUAAUUGUUUAUUAUGGAAUUGAUGUGUUAUUGUGUCUUGAUCAGAGCGUGUGAUUCUUGUGUAAUGUGAUUGAUGAUUGAAAAGUGUGAUUGAUGGAUGAAAAGUGAACUUUGAAUGACAAAGUGAUGUAAUUACGUGAAUUACGUGUAAGUAAGUUUUAUUUGGUUUAUAUGAUAUGUAUAUCUAGUUGUCUUGUUUCUCUAUUAGUUAGGAAUGUGAUAACUCACUCCCCGUGUGUUAUUUGUGUUUGGAUCCUGUGAUGAUCUUGAUCUUUGUGUUUGGGAGAGCAGAUGACUAGGUGAAUUGUUUUAAGGAACCUUGUGCUGAAGGAUGUCGAGACACAACGCUCUGAUAGGAUGUGACAUUGGGGUAUAGGGUUUUAUAUUAAUUGUAUGAAGUCGUAGACGAUCUUGUUUGAACAAGGAUGACUUUAUUAUAUGAUGUAGAAGAAAUUAAAUGUGAGCCUUUUAUAUCCCUUUGAAUGGCUUGUAUUUAAAAAUGUAAAAAAAAUACUUUUAAUUAAUAUUUGAAUUUUUUAUUCCUUGUUAAUAUAUAUGUGAGGGGCAGAUGGGGUCACAUAACUCAAAUAAAAAAAUUACCUUAAUUAUUGGCUUAAAGUUUGAAUUACUUGGAAGAAAUUACAUUCUAUUACUAUAAUAAUUUUAAUAUAAUAACUUUUCAGAUGAUAUUUAAUGCCAAUCGUGUUAAUAUAUGAUAUCAAAUUGCCUUUAACAAUAAUUUUAAUUUUAUUCUUAUUAAUAUUUAACACAAAAUUAUAUUAUGAACACUUUACUUAUAUAUGUCAUAUCAAUAAUUGGUUUCUUACAAUAUUAGUACAAAUUAUUACUAAUUAGUAAGUAAUAUUAGUUAAUAAAAAGUCCCUGCGUUGCACAGGUAAGAGUUGAAGUUUGGAAAUGGGUCUGGCUAAAAGUAAUGAUUUUUUUCUUCACAGGGACGUUUUAGAUGGUUUUGAAAGAAAGAAAUGCAUUUGAAGCUGCGAGUAGAAGAGAAUUUGUGGAAUAUUAGCAAGCAACACUAAUGAAAGGACAAAAACACAUCACUCACGAGACGUGACAUCAAAGGUGGUUCGUCAUCCGACUAAAUGAAAAAAAUGGUGACAACCCUAUCCCAACACAAAGGUAAUGAAACGAAGGCAAGGAGAAUGCUGAUUGACAUUGGCUCGCCAGCAAAAGGGGCCAAGUUGUUCACCUUUGAAUAACCCUUGCCGCUACCACAAUUAAGUAAGUUACCACAUAUUUUUAAAACCGCCACUAGCUCUACUUGAACCACCGCAAUCAGUGAGCCACUUGCGGCGGUUUUACUAAGCAGCGAUGGUUUGAAUAGAACCACUGUAAACUUGUAAACUUAGUGUCAAGAUUUGACAAUUUUCUUGUAAUGGGUGAAGCUAGCUGUGAGAGAAUAUAUAUUAGGUAGAUGUUGUUAACGAAAUAGGGGAUGAGUAGCACAUAAUUUUGACAAUAACAAGGUUGCUUGAAGGCCAAAAUGUUAUUUGACUACCUUUGGUCGUCUUCUACUUCCUAAAAUAAAAGGUAUUUCUUAGUGGAGUCUGUACUAAAGACAAAAUACUUAAGACAGGGAUCUCAUUUCAAAAUUCACAUUUCUCUUAUCCCUUCUAUGAUGUCGAUGCUGAAUCAAUAAACCAUCUAUGUUUACAUGCCUUUUCCAUAUCAUUCGGGGAAAUUGUUUUGCUUUAUUUGUUGGGAAGUGGUAUUAUGACUCUAUAUGGGGCCAUGGAGAGUCUCACUUCUUAUCACAUUUUGGUCUUAUAAAUGAUAAGAAUUACAAAUAUGAUAUUCCAAAACUAUGGAUUACUUGAAAAUGUUAAAAAAGAAGAGGCGUUUGUAUGUAAUUUUACAAAACAUCAAGAGUGGUUAGUGUAAUUUACUCUAAUAUCUUUCAUUGUAUAUCAUAUAAUUAGGCUGGAAUGUUCUCUCUCUUUGAGAUUCAUGUCCUUGUUUCAAAUUGGAACUUACAGAUGUAACUGGUAAGGUAAAAGGAUCUGUAUAUAUCUAAGCUUCAGUUUUGGUAUCCUCUAUCUAGCAUUUCUUAUUGAAUGUUGCAAGUAGCAACUUAUUAUAAUAAAAAGGCCAUUCUCUUGGUCUCCUACAGAUCAAAAUGGAAUUAUUUUAAUGUGAUGGGGAUCAAUGAGAUUCCUGAUGUGUAAAAAGCUGAUGAACAAAGUAAUUAUCUCACCAUGUAUAUUGGGUUUUGCCGGGUAUGCUACACUCAAAAUUCAAUAAAUUUCUUUUACUUCUUAAUUAAGUUUUCACUUUAGGUAAUUUACAAUCUUUAAUAGCUACCAGCAUACAAGUCAAAAUGAUAUGAAUUUUGGUGCAGUGUUCUCUAAACACCCAAAGAGAAACACCUAACUUGGGACGCUCAUAAUUUAAUAUUUGAGACAUCAUGUCGGACCAUGCAUUAUCACUGCAACAAUAACGGUUUUAAACGCUGUUGACCUAUCUAAACACAAGUCUAAGUUCCAACCACCUAAAUUAUAAUAAUCCCUAAACCAAAUCUAAAAUCUCGGAGUAUAUUCAAAAGAAAUAAUGGUCAAUAGUACACUGAAUGUACUGUUAAUCCCAUGCUAGGUAUUAUAAAUAACGGGAAUAUGGAAUGAGAGUAACUCAAGCCACGAGACAUUUCCCUUACCAUAGUGUGGCCUACUUGUUGUUUUCUUAAUGAGAAUGAGAAAGAAUUCCACUGUGCAUUGUGCACUUUGGCGCUUCUGUGUUCCAUUGUUGCUGCUUGCCAGCUUCAGUUAUGCUCCUUCUGUUUUGGCGACAGCUGAAAUUUCAGGUUUGUUGUUAAUGCUAAUUAUAACAAUACCUACAUUUCGUUAGGCUUUUAGUUUAGGAAAUAGGAUGUUUCGUCGUUUUAGUCCUUAAUAAAAAUAUAUUCAUUUUAAUAUGUACAUUAAAAAAGUGUAUAAUUUUUCCAGGAGGCAAAAAAGUUUGAAAUUUGGAGUGACUAGCAUGCUUAUUUUCUUUACGGAGAGAGAGAGAGAACGAGUAUUUUUUUUUUUCAAAUUGAGAGACUAAAAAAGAAAAUUAAAAUUUGAGGGACUAGAAAGAAAAGAGACUAAAAGUUGAACAACUAAAAACAUACUUAAAUAUGGAUAUGGAUUUAUCAUUUUAUUUUUGUAUUUAAAUAUGUCUUCUCUAUUAAUCUAUGCAAAAAAAAAAUUAAAAUUUAUAAAAUAAUAAAAGUGUGUUGAUACACGUUCGCCCUAAAAUGGGGUGGAUAAUUGAGUUGGAAAGAUUAGAUUGAGUGGAACAAUGAAAGAGAGAUUGGAAGGAAAAGAAAGAUAGACGUGAUAAAAAAAAUAGUAAGAAAUAGGAAGUAAAUAUAGAAUAUGGAAACGAAAUAGAAGAGACAGUUGAUAGAUGAUUCUAAUUUUUCAUUACAAAACAUUGUGUUUAAAUUAUGUUAUUUUGUAUUUAUUAUGUACGGAAGGAGAUGAACAUUGACGGGAAGUUUUUAGAGGAAGAAUUAUCAGAAUCAAGUCUAAAAGGAUAAGAUGAAGAAGCCAAAUUUAAAGGAUUUUUUCCAAAGCUAAUUCCAAUUGUUAAGCCUAUUACAAAGUCAAUUCCCAUAGUUAAAGCCUAUUCCUAUUCCAGUUUAUAAGUCUAUCCCGAAACCACUUCCCAUUGCUAAGACUAUUCCAAAACUAAUUCCUAUUGUUAAGCCAAUUUCAAAUGAAGAAGAAAAAUUCAAAAGUCUUUUUCCAAAAUCUAUUCCAAUAGUUAAACCUAUUCCAAAGCUAAUUCUUAUAUUGUUAAGCCAAUACCAAAGCCAAUUCCUAUUGUUAAACCUAUUUAUAUUCCAGUAUACAAGUGGCUACUAAAGCCAAUUCCUAUUAUUAAGCCUCUACCAAGCCAAUUCCAGUUGUUAAGUCAAUUCCUAUUCUUAAAGCUAUACUAAAUUCAAUUUUCAUUGUUAAAUCUCUAUCGAAACCAUUUAUAGUAAAGAAAUCCAACUCUCCUAUUUGAGCCUGAGGAAUUUUUAAAGCCAAAGCCUCUCUUUAAAAAGCAUAUUCCCAAAUUCCGAAAACCAUUUCUACCACCAUUGCCAAUUAACAAACUAAUUACAACUCCAUAAAAUGAUAACUUUCUACCUCCUGAAACUAUAAAGUUAUCCCUUCAAUUUUUAAUGCUUUUAUUUACACAUCUCAUUCUAAAUCCUUUAGUACCCUUCUUGUGUACUGAAUUGGAAUAUCUGUAGUUAAUCUUUUCUCCUCAAUAAACUUUUCAUCAAUAUUAUCGUUUGUAGGACUCGUUAUAUUGAAGUAAGACAUGGUAAGUACAAUUUUUCCAUUUUGGUUUAGUAAUAUUUCAAUAUUUUUAUAUUGUGAUUAUAUUUAAUUGUGUGUGAGAGAUCAGAAAAAAUAAUUAAUGUAGCUAUUUUUAUAUCACUGAGGUAAAUUUUAACUAUAAUUAAGUUUUAAUAUGAAUUCUAAAUAUUAUGAUAAGUAAACGUUGAAUUUGUCACCAACUAAAAGAUUGUCCAAGUGAAACUAAGUUUGAUCCUGUAAAGUAAGAUUUUGGAUUCAAGUUUUGUGGAUAAAAAAAACUAAUUAAAAGGAGAAUUUUUAUCAAAGGUGAUUACAUUUUCUGGUAGAAAUUACUUAUCCACAAAGUUGGAGAAUAAUUUGCACCAAUAAGAUAGUUAACAAAAAAAAUUAAAUUUGUUAGAAUUUAAUUUCUAAGAUAUUAAAAAUCCUCCCUUUUCUCUUCAAUUUUUUUUAAAAUAAAACAGUAAUUUUUAUACUUUAUUUUUAUUAUCAUUUUGUACUGGAAAGGACCAAAGUGAAUAGUACUUUGUAAAGUUACACAUUAUGAAAAGAGUUUUAAAAUCUCAAGAAAUAAAACCUUCAAUAUAUCCAAUCAAUCUUGAGGACUAAUUUAUGGAUUUACUCAUGUUAUAACACAAAGAGUUAUUUAACUGUUUUUAACACAUAAGAAACUAAUUAUUAAUUACUAUUAAAGAAAAUAUAUAUUAAAAAUGUUUAAUAGCAUUAUACAUUCAAAAUUAUAUAACUUUUUCAUGUCAUAAAUUAAAAUGUACUGUCAUUUUUUUAGCAAAAUAAAAUGAACUAUCAUAACAACAUAUAAUAAAUUUAAAUGUUAUUUAAUUCUUGUUCAUUUACGUAAAUUUAUUAACUUAAUUUAUUACAUGUAACAUUUAAAAUCAACCUAAACUUAUUACACUAAUAUCUAUAUUAGUAAUAAAAAGAACUACCCACCUUUAGUGUACACAAUUUUACCGAGAAUUACUUCUUAAGAAUUCAUUAUUCUUUCUAAACUACAAUAUCGAUCUCUACCCUUAUACUGUUAGUUUCUUUGUGUUUUAUUAUUCCUGUUAUUUUUAAUUUAACUUUAUUUAACCUCCAAAAACAUUUUUCUCUUCUCUUUAAUUUACUUUGAUUUGAAAAUUUUAACGAGACUCAGAGUGCCUUUCUUCCUCGAGUAAGCAUCAGAAACAAAAUAACAUAAUUCAUAUAUAUAUAUAUAUAUAUAUAUAUAUAUAUAUAUAUAUAUAUAUAUAUAUAUAUAUAUAUAUAUAUAUAUAUAUAUAUAUAUAACGCCUAUUUGUUUUGUAUUUAAAACUUUUGUUUUAGUAAUGUUUUCACUAUAAUUUCUUAUUUAGGUUAACAUUAUUUAUCAAAUUGAAGUUUUUUAUUUUUAUUUAAAAGAACAUGGAAGCACGUAAAUGAGAUGAAAUAACUCUAAUGUUGAUAUACAUAAUAAGUCACUACUAAAAAAUAGAUUUUUAAUAUCGGUUAUUAAAGAUUUUUAACAUUGGUUAUAAAUUGAUGUUGAAACUACUAAUAUUAAAAGUAUCAACGAUAACAUUGAUUAUAAUAUCCGAUGUUAAAAUAAAUUACACAACAUCAUUUUCCAAAGAAUUUAUGUUGUAUCAUUAGAAAUAAAUAAAAAAAUAUAAAAUAUGUAAAUAUCCACAUUGAUUUUAAGAAAAAACCAAUGUUGUGUUUCACUGACAACAUCAUUUUUUCAUAAAAUCGAUGUUGUGAAUGCACGACAACAUCGAUUUUACUAAAAAACCAAUGGCCUAUCAUUAUAAAUAAACAAAAAAAAUGAAAAAUAUGUAAAAGCCAACAUCAAUUUUAUGAAGAAUUGAUGUUGUGUUUCACUGACAACAUCGAUUUUUUUUUUAAAACGAUGUUAUGAAUGCACACCAACAUCAGUUUUCCCAGAAAAUCGAUGUUGUUUUAUACUCAACAACAUCGAUUUUCUUAAAAACCGAUCUUGUGAACACACACCAACAUCUUUUUUUUUGGAAAACCAAUGUUUUUUGGCAAUUUUUUUAAUAUCUUGUUUGUUUUUUUAAUUACCCCAAACCUGCAAAUUAAAAAACAAAACUAGUCCAGUCUAGAUAGUUUUCAGGCAGUUCAAGUUUUGUCCAUAAUAAUUGAAUAAUUAUUAUCAAUUAAAAGAAAUAUUUAAUGUAAUCAAAACAAUAGUGUCAAUACAUAAAAUCAUUUGUAACCUAAUCUAAAUUAACAUAACUCUACAAUUGUAACACCUAGUGUUUCAUUUUUAACUCUUAGGUAAUAAUUUGUCCAUUGAAUGUGAAUUGCCUUCAUUGUCUCUAGUUCCAAUGGUCUUGGAUCAGGAAAAUACCAUAUGAUAUAAUAAAACAUAAGUUAAUAAGUAUAAAUAAUAACAAUUAUAACAAAUUGAAUUAGUUUUGAAGUAAAUAAUUAUCGUUUCUCAAUUAUCCUUGAAAUCUCCUAGGGCUAUUGUUGACAUCUAAUGCAUUACAUAGUACCCACACUUAGUGUUUCCUUUUUUUUCCUUAUUACACUAAAUUGGAUAGAAUAUUUAGAUAUUCAAAGUUAAUUGAAAAUUAGUGUACAAAGUAAUAAAAUUUAAUUUUUAAGGCAUCAACACUAUUAGAAAAUAUGCUUUCUACAUCGGUUAUUUAUGACUUUCAACAUCGGUUUUUGAACCGAUGUUGAAAGUACCGACGUUGAUAAUAUUAUCGUUAACAUCGGUUUUUGAAAAACCGAUGUUAACGUAAAAUUACCAACAUCGGUUAUAUAAAUAACUGAUGUUGUUAAUAUGAAUUACACCCAGAAAAUGUAUAUUAAUGUUGAAAGUUAACAUCGGUUUUUACAAAAAAACCGAUGUUAACGAAUGUGUUACUAUUGACAGUUAACAUCGGUUUUUUCAAAAAACCGAUGUUAACGAAUGUGUUAUUAUUGACAGUUAACAUCGGUUUUUAUAAAAAAUUGAUGUUAAUGAAUGUGUUACUAUUGACAGUUAACAUCGGUUUUUAUAAAAAAACCGAUGUUAACACACGUUAACAUCGGUUUUUUUUACAGAAAACCGAUGUUAACGAAUGUGUUGCUAUUGACAGUUAACAUCGGUUGUUUUUAUAAAAAAAACCGAUGUUGUUUUCAGGAAUUUUUUUUAAAUAAUGUCUCUGUUUUUACAAAAAAAAACCAAAAUUUAACCUAUAAAUUUAAAAUCAGACCACACAGCACACAACAUAUAUCAUUUGCAUUCAGUUUUCAAAUAGAUUUUAGCAAAAAACUAGCUAUCAACAAAGGUUGUUCAAUGUUAAGAUGAAACUACAAUUGUAAAAAAUGUAAUGUAAAGUACGUAAACUAAUUAAUUAAGCUAAAGUUACAUAGUUGCCUAACAUCCUAUGUUUGAUUUCUAACUUUUAGAUAAUACUGUGUCCACUGUAUGCGAAGUGCCUUGAAUCUCUCUGCUUCCAAUGGUCUAAUUUCAUUAAAAUACUGCAUGAUCAAAUAAAAAAAUAAAUUAAUGAUGUAAUAACAAUUAUAAAAAAACCAAAUUUGUUUGUAAUAAACAAUUACCGUCUCCCAAUUAUUACUGAAAGAUCCUAAGAUUAUCAUGGACAUCCAGUGCAUCACGUAGUAGCCACAUUCAGUGAUUACUUUUUGUCUAUUACACUAAAUACAUAAUGAAAUUUGGAUAUUAAUUAAACGUUAAUUACAAUUAGUGUACACACACAUAAAAUAUAUAUAAGUAGAACUUUUAUUUAAAUCACGUACCUUAACAACAAUCCACUUAGCAGCAGCCUUGGAUUUCGGUUGUGGAGUAUCAUCAAGUCCUUUCAAAGCACUAGUGUUGAAUAUGAGGAACAUUAAAAUAUUGAUGUUGUUGAGUUAUGCCAAUGAAAAUGUAUUGAAAACAAUACUGACCUGUUAAUUAUUCCCUUAAGGUAGUUGUCUAGCCUGUUAUGUAAAGAACAAAACCAGACAACUAGGUUUUCCUUAGACAGAAUGACGACCAUUUGCCAGUGUCCGCUGCAGUAGAGACGAAUAUGGGUUAUUGUAGUAGUAUAGAUUAUUUAAAUUCAAUUAUUGUGUUUGACUUACCCAUUCAGAUAGGCUCCAAGGUAAACAUCUCGUUUUGAACUCUGUAUCCAACUCUUGAUGUAACUUUCAGAUUCAAAUUGUGAUUGCCCAGAUCUCUGAAUGGACUGUGGCUCGAGGAAUCCAUACACAUCAGAAUUCCCCGCUCGCACACUUGUCUCGGUCAGAUGGCUGUGUUGUUAAGUCAAAGUUAAUUAUGUAUGAAUUUAAAACAAUUACUUUGGUAAUUAAUAGUAAUCUAAAAUGACUUACAGAAUCCACAACUGUAUAACAGAUAUGCUGAGACAUUGACCACCGUGUGCAAUUUCAGAGAGAUCUUCGUGCUUUAUAUACAACGGGAAGUUUUGAUUAAACACCCCGAAUAUGGUAGCAUCCCACAUAACCUGGAGCGGCUUCAAAAACAGUUGUGGGAUGGUCAAUGUCAUCAGGUACAGGGGAUCGUCGACCUCUUCAUCCGGGCUUUCUAGAGAUUUUGCUGGAGACACAGCUGCCUGUUGAUAAAACAUAGUUAAUUAGCAAGUUUUGAUUACAGUGAACAAAAUAAUUGAAAAAAAUAAACAUAUAAUCAGAGUAAAAUACCUGUUCUGAUAAACACUUCACAAGAUGUGUUGGCCAAGCAAGGAAGGUAUUAAGUGCCUGCCCCACUAAGGUAACCUCGUCAGUGGGUACAGGAACGAGAGCCUUUGCAUCUUUAACCUUCUUAACACCAACCUUGACUUGACCAUGCAACAAAGGGAUGUUGUGAACUGUUGUGAAUCCCUCAUAAAGUCUUCCUAGGGCAACCAGGCAGGAAGGAUUUUCUUCAAUAUAUAGCCCGCAUUUUUUUAAAUCACCCGUCCCUGGAUUGUUCCCUAAGGGAGCAACACAACUCUCCUUUGUGCUGACACGAGGACCUGAGGGACCAACCUCUGGCUCUGGAGGUAGUGCAAGUCCCUGUGAUUGCAUCUGAGACUAAAACUUGGACUGCAUCUAGCUGAAGGAUUCCAUCAUCUUUCGAGUCACUUUUUCUGUAAUUGACGGGUAUUUAGACGUAUGCCCAUGUCAGCUAGAUCUUGACCAUCUUUCGAGUCACUUUUUCUGUAACUGCGAUCGUAUGCCCAUGUCAGCUAGAUCUUGACGGGUAUUUAGACCAUCUUUCGUCUUGCCCUGAAUGUUAAGGAGUGUCCCAAUGACACUAUCACAUACAUUUUUCUCUACAUGCAUAACAUCAAUACAAUGUCUAACAUCUAGAUCAGACCAGUACGGAAGAUCAAAGAAAAUGGACCUCUUCUUCCAUAUGCAACUCUUACUUUUAUCCUUCUUUUGGGUCUUUCCAAAUACAGUAUUAAGGUGUUCAACCCGCUGGAAGACCUGCUCACCAGUUAACGGUGUCCGCGCAAUUUCGUGCUCUUGACUUCCAUUAAAAGCUUUUUUCAAUCUUCUGUAAGGGUGAUCAGCUUUUAGAAAACGGCGAUGUCUAGUGUACACUGUUUUUCUACCAUGUUUCAGUUGUAUGUAGCUUGUGUCUUCUUCACAGAUGGGGCAUGCAUGAUGACCCUUAACACUAUAACCGCUGAGAUUCCCGUAUGCUGGAAAGUCAUUAAUGGUACAAAAAAGCAUUGCACGCAUUUGAAAAGUCUCCUUGUGAAACCCAUCAAACACUAAAACUCCUUCAUCCCACAACUUUCUCAGGUCUUCAAUCAACGGACUUAGAUAAACAUCAAUGUCAUUUCCUGGUUGUCUUGGGCCUGAUAUCAUCAUAGACAACAUCAUGUAUUUUCGCUUCAUGCACAACCAAGGCGGAAAAUUGUAAAUUACUAGUAGAACUGGCCAUGAACUGUGUUGAGUGCUUAAAUUGCCAUAUGGAUUCAUUCCAUCACUGGCUAGUCCAAGUCUAAGAUUUCUUGAUUCUUUGCCGAAAUCUGGAUACAAACUAUCAAUCUUCUUCCACUGGGAGCAAUCAGCUGGAUGACGGACCAUUCCAUCAGAUUUUCUCCCAUUAGCAUGCCAGGUAAGAUCUUUUGCGUCGUCUUCAUUAGCAAAUAAACGCUUAAACCUUGGAAUGAUGGGAAGAUACCACAACACUUUCGCUAGAGGGCCCUUCUUUGAGUUUUCAUCAGAACUGCAGUCCUCAUCAUCCUUCACCUUGUACCGUGACGCCCCACACCUAGGGCAUUUCGACAUUUCUUCAAAUUCAUGUCUGUACAGUAUGCAAUCAUUAGGGCAAGCAUGAAUCUUCUGAUACUCCAUACCCAUCGGACACAAUAUCUUCUUUGCCUGAUAGUAGCUUUUAGGCAAUGUGUUAUCCUGUGGAAGCAGAUCGUGCACUAUUUGAAGCAAUGAAGUAAAGCUUUUGUCACUCCAUCCAUAUCUGGCCUUGACAUUAACUAGACUUAACACCGCCGACAAUAGCAUCAAGGAAUUGUUACACCCCGGAUACAAAGGCUUCUUUGAGUCACCCUGCAAUCUUUCAUACACAGGGGCAUGUGCUUGCUGGAAAGACUCUUGUCCAAGGUCACGAAUCAUAUCCUCCAAGUGAUCUCCCAUUUCUACAUCAAACGGUUCUGAUUGUUGCCCACUCUGCAUGUCUGUCAUUUCACCAUGCCAUAUCCACGUCGUAUAAUUUCUCUUAAUUCCAUCACACAACAGAUGCUCUCGUAUGUCAUCCAAUAUUUGUCGUCUUCCGUUCAAACAAUUGAUGCAAGGACAAUAAUAUUUUCCAUCUUCAUCCGGUUGACCUCUUUGUGAAGCAAAUUGUAAGAAUUGCUCGACGCCUUCCUCAUAUUCUAGGCUGAUGCGACUUUGAUUCAUCCAACUUCGAUCCAUCUAAGUAAUAACUCGGUCAUACUCUCAAAGUAAUUCGAUGCAUGACAGCUCUGCCAUCUUAAUUGUAAUGCUGACGUGCCGUCUUGGGCAAGACCGUCUUUUAUGGUNNNNNNNNNNNNNNNNNNNNNNNNNNNNNNNNNNNNNNNNNNNNNNNNNNNNNNNNNNNNNNNNNNNNNNNNNNNNNNNNNNNNNNNNNNNNNNNNNNNNNNNNNNNNNNNNNNNNNNNNNNNNNNNNNNNNNNNNNNNNNNNNNNNNNNNNNNNAAUUUCAUCAAAUUAAACAAAAUAAUUUUACCUACACAUGAAUCUUCCAUAAAAUAUUAGUCUCCCCCAACUGUCCAAACGGACAAUUCAAGAUGAAUACAAUGAUUAAUGCAAACUGUUCGCAAGAAUCAUUGCAUCCAAUCUCAAACGGGAAUCUAAGGUUCACUCAUCAUGAACACAAUUUGUAUAGCAUAUAUCAAUUGUCAUUAAUGGCAGUGAACACGUAAUAAAAAUAUUCAUUGGUAACAAACAUUUGUACCUGUGAUGAUGAGCAGCACGGUCCAAAAUGAAAGCAAGAAUCAAAGAAAUAACUGAAUGAACACCUACAUAAGACAAUCUUGUGUAUGAUAAAAAAAAAAGAGUAAGAUUAAGUAUAACAAGCGCUCAGAAGAUACGAGAACAAUUUAUUCUAAAUUAUAUCAAAAAAAUGUCUUACUUCUUUCUCUUUUCGGAUAUAUAUAUAUAUAUAUAUAUAUAUAUAUAUAUAUAUAUAUAUACACACACACACACACAACUUCUAUUACCUCUCACAAGAUCACACGAGAGAUGUGGGAGGUGGGGAUUCAAACACGACUGCGCUGAGUUUUGUGUGUGUUCUCUAAUUGGACAAAUCAAAUCUCGUUACUCUCUGCUUAUUUAUUAGAAAGAAAAGAGAAGGCAUAUAUCUGUGGAAAAUUUUUACUCCUCCCAUGCCUUUGUUUGUUUGUCUUAAUUUAUAUAUGGUUAUUUUCAAAUAAAAAAAUCUUUAAAAUUAAUUAGCCUGCUUCUGGACGUUAUUAGCCCAAAAUUAUUAGAUAAAUUUAUUUCAACACGAGUUUGAGUCCAAUAUGUUUAUUGGAUGAAUUAAAUAAGCAGAGGUCAACUAAUCCUAAACUUAAAUACUGCUGCACUAAUCCAAUAAACUAAUUAAUUGUUUCCAAUUAGCUCUAGAAAAGUGAUUACAAUUAGAUAUAUACCUGGUAGUACGUUUCGAUAAUUUUCAGUGGCCCUUCAGCUGAAUGAGGGAGUACGUGCCCUCAAGUUGAAUGUUAGAGAGUUGUUGAUGUCUCUUAAGCAAUCUUCAAGUUGAAAGUGAAGCAAGAGCGACUGUCUACUAAGCAAAUUAAUUAUUAAUCAUCAAUGAUAUGGAUAAACAAAUUAAAAAUAAGACAAAUGUUAAUCACUAACAUUUUUUAUUAAGAAAUUAAAUGGAAUUUUUUUAAAAUAUAUAAAAUUAUAUUAUUCAUGAUUUUUUUUUACAUUCUCAUAUAAUUUUUACAAUAAAUAUUUUCUUCUCAUUAAUUAAUGAUGUAAAAAUAGUUGUUAGCAUAGAACAAGAAAUAAUUACUUAUUUUGAACUGUAACGCAGCAGAAUCGUUUUGUGAGUUUCACAUUUGGAAAGGAUAACACACAACAUGGUUGGUUCAGUUAACGCUUUAUGUUAAUUAGUUCGAUUUUCAUGGUUUAGUAAUUUACUUUUUUUUAAGCAAUUCAUGAGCAAACCAAAAUAGAAUAAUUACUCGUCAAUACUUAAUUAUUCCUUAAAAUAGAAUAAUUUCCUCCUCAUUCUUCUAAACUUCAAUCUAUGAAACUAAUAAAAAAAAACUUCAAUCAAAAAAAGAAAAUAAGUUUGUGUCUUCCAGUUAGACCAUUUAGCCCGUUUGACAAAAAAUUGUAAUAUAAAUUUUUAAUUAAAAAUGUAUUUAAAAUUAUAAUAAUUGUAUAACUUUUAAAAGCAAAAAAAAAAAAAAAUCUCAUAAGUUUAAAAGGGUAACUUCAAUACAACGUUCUAAAAAUGAAAUACAAAGAGAAAGAAAUUCACUUGUCAAGAAUAAGUGUUGGUAAACGUACUUCAUCCAAUAACUUAUCUAUAAAUAUUAAAUUUCAUCUAUCUAAUUUUCAAUUAGUAGUAAUUAAGUAUAUCACAUUUUCAUAUAAUUUAAAAACAUGCCUAUAUACUUUAUCAAUCAACUUCAUUUUGACGAAUGAUAUGCCUUUUAAAAAAUAUUUAAAUGUUAGUUAUGAUAUGAAGUAUCUAUGAAUGAUUAAUUAAUUAAUUAAAAUUUUGGUAUAUUCAUGUUUGAAUUGAUUCGAGAUCUUCUAGUAUUUCAUAAUUCAUUGAUAAUUAUAAGAAUACUAUUUUUAUUAUUUUAAAAAUUUGUGUAUGAAAUAAUGUAAAUAAUUAUAUUACUUUUCUUAUUUUUAUAUCAAAAUUUGAAAUAUAUAUAUAUAUAUAUAUAUAUAUAUAUAUAUAUAUAUAUAUAAGUAAGAUAACAUAUUUAUAGUUGUUGAUACAUAAAAUUUAUUUUUAAUAAAUUAAUAUUUAAUUUUUUGAAAUGGUCAAUUAAAGUAAUAAAUUAAAUAUUAAAUAGAAAAAAAGAUUUUCUUUCUAACCAAUUAAUAUUUAUUUUUUCACAAAGGUCAAUUAAUAUUUAAUUAAUUCGACAUUAACUUUUAGAAGGCGUUAGUAUAAAAAAAAGCUUUUAAGAAACCAAAAUUAAAUGUGAAUACAUAUGGAGAAACCGAAAAGAUUUUCUCUCAAUCUUUCUCUAAUUUCCACCUACAACCCAACAUACGGUAUAUGUUCAUACUUUUCCUUUGCUAAAUGAAUAAAGUUAGUAUUAAGGAAUUAAAACAACAAUGGCUUCAUACCACAUUCAUCAGAAAUGAGCAUAUAAAUUCAACAAUGUUUAUUCGUCUUUGAAAUCGUGAAUAGAAGUCUCAUUUUUCUAAUUCCUCUUCUAGAACCAUCUUUAAAAUUUUGAGUAUAUUUUUUUUUACUAAUCUCUUUUUAAAUUAAUCCUUGAAAAUCUGAACAUACUUCUCAUUCUAAUAGCUAUAUCCCGAACACUCGCGUAAACUCCAACAACAACAUCUUAACACUCACAUUCCAUGGAAGAGAAUCAAAGUUUACAAGAAAACUAAAACAUCCAAAAAAAGCCCUUUUACAGUUUCGGAUAAUGUAUGACUGAUUUUGAAGUUGCUAAACUAAAUCCUCACAAGUAGCUAGUGUGUUCAACAAUUGAAUAAGAGCAAAACAAGAAAAACAAAAACAAAGCCAUUGCAAUGCUUACCCGGUUGAAGACCAUGAAACCAAGGUCAAUAUCAACCCCCUCGUCACUUUCUCCUUCUUAUACAUUUUAUCAUUCAUAAACAGAAGAAUAAUAAUACAUAGUUUAAUAGCAGCAUAAAAACUGCCCAAAAAAACGGCAUAAAAACUUUACGCAAAAAAUAAAAUCAAAUGUAAUCACAUGAGAUUACCUGGUUUGUGCUGAACGUGCAAGUGAAGGGUAACAAAGGAAGGUGAGUGAGUGAGUGAGAGUGGGGAAGGAAACAAAACAAAAGAGUGAGAGUCUUUGUCACUUCACGGAACUCAACUCCAGAGAAGAAAAUCGGUUUCAACUAUCACUUUGCGUCCGUAUUAUACCUCCACUUUUUUUUAAAAGAAAAGAAAACAAUCUUAUACCUCUCUUUAUAAAGCGUUGCUUCCUUUCAUUCUUUAAGCUGGGUUUGUUUUUAAGAAGAAAAAAAAUAAUACUGCAGAGAAAUUUUAUAUUUUUUAUACUCUAUUUGAAUUUUAAAAAAUUAUUAUAUUUUUUAUAUUUCAGUAAAUAUAAAAAACUGGUAAAACAGUGAUUAGUAAUUUCCUACUAGUAUCAUUCUUUAAGCUGGGUUUGUUUUUAAGAAGAAAAAAAAUAAUAUUGCAGAGAAAUUUUAUAUUUUUUAUACUUUAUUUGAAUUUUAAAAAAUUAUUAUAUUUUUUAUAUUUCAGUAAAUAUAAAAAACUGGUAAAACAGUGAUUAAAAAAUCGGUUUCAGAAUUUCCUAUUAGUAGUUGGUUAAAUUCUUAUAAAGUCAUUAGUAAUUUUUUUAUCUGAAAAAAUUACUUUAUUCCAAGAGUCUAUCUUUAUUUAUUUUUUAAUGAUAAAUUAAAAAUUCUAAGGGGAAGGAAUGAUAUUUCUGUUUCCAAAUUCUUUAAUGAGCAAUCACGUCAUUCUGCUGUCUAGACCAAAUUCUUUAAUGAGCAAUCACUUUAUCCUUUUAAAUUUUAUAGUUUUUAAUUUUUUAUUACCAUUUUUAGAAAAACUUAUAUAAUUUUUUAUUUGAUAUCAGUUUUGUAAAAAAAGUCACAUACCUUAACUAAAAGAUCCCACAAAUCACUAUUUUCUUUAAAGUAGAAAAUCCUUUCUCAAUUUACGUUUUAAGCUUCAUUUUAUGUUAGGCUGACAUUGAAUUGGUGCUCAUAGAAUAUUAAUUAAAAAAUUUUAAAAAAAAUUAUUAUAUAAAUCACAAGAGAUUAUAAAUACUUAUCAGUAUAAUUUUUAUUUAAUUUUAUUGAAUACUACUACCAGUAUAAUUUUUAUUUAAUUUUAUUAUAAAUACUUAUCAAUCAGUUGUUUUUAAGUGUAUUUUCGGUUUAGCAUCUCCUAAUGUAAAAUCCACGAUUGCAGUGAAACUGUUAAUUGAUUUUAUUUUUUUUUAAUUUUUAACCAAUUGACGUGGUAUUUUAUGUUCUUUAACGUUUUUUUUCUAAAAUAUGUAUCUUUUUAACGGCAUGUAUUUAAUAUUAUGCAAGAAUCAUAUCUUAAAUUAAUUUUUAGAAUUUUUUUAUAAAUAACAAUGAUUUUAUAUUUAUUCUGAAAUAUGUCCAUUGAAAUAAAUUAUUUUAUCGGUCAAAGAGAUCUGACUAAACAAUUAUUUUUUUUGUCUUUUCUUGGUUGAAUAGUUAUUAUAUAUUUUUAUGUUUAAUUUUUACGAAUAAAAAAAAUUAAUCAAUCCGACCCUACACUUACUUGGAUAGUAGUCACACACUACAUUUGGACAUUUGCAGUAGAUCGAUCUUUGACAAAAAAAAGUUACGCAAGAUUUUAAUUUCUAUAAAGAAACCAUAUAAUUUUUUUAUAUCAUUCAUUAGUUAAAAUUUAUUAUUACUACAAUUUUUAGGAUAACUAACAUGAAAAAAAAUGUACAUAAUAAUUUAUUAUUAAAUAUUAGUGUAAAAAAUUAAAUUAUUAACAUAUACUAUUUACUCUUUUUUUUAGUUGCAUCCACUAUUUACUCUUAACACAAUGCAUUUGGUAAUAACCUAUGAUAUUAGAUUUUACCUCGAUUAGUAAUUUGGGCUCGGUAGCCCUGACGGUGCUUUGAAGAGAAUUAACUAUAGUCGUGGAAGUAAAUCCAAGACCGCUGCUAGAUGGAUUGUAGUUGAAGUUAGUCAUUUAAACAAUGUUUGCACUAUUACAAAAAGUAGUUUUAACAUCGGCUUAUUAACAUCGGUUUAGUACAAAACCGAUGUUAAGUUAAACGCGGUGGCAUAUUUGUAAAUAAAGUAUCAUUCUUAACAUCGGUUUUCCAAAAAACCGAUGUUAACAUCAUUAGUUAACAUCGAUUUUUUGGAAAACCGAUGUUAAGAAUGAUACUUUAUUUACAAAUAUGCCACCGCGUUUAACUUAACAUCGGUUUUGUACAAAACCGAUGUUAAUAAGCCGAUGUUAAAACUACUUUUUGUAAUAGUGCAAACAUUGUUUAAAUGACUAACUUCAACUACAAUCCAUCUAGCAGCGGUCUUGGAUUUACUUCCACGACUAUAGUUGAAUCUCUUCAAAGCACCGAUAAGAGAAACAUGCAUUUGUACUGUUCAAUUAAAAUAUUAAUGUCAAAUACUAAUGAUAAAGUAAAUUUAUUACAAAAAUACAACUGACCUAUUAAUAAUUCCUUUUAAGUAGUUGUCGGGCCUAUUGUGCAAGGAACAAAAUUAGAUGACAACAUUGUCCUUAGGACACAUAACGACCAUUUGCCAAUGUUCACUGGUAGUUGUUAGGCCUAUUAUGCAAGGAACAAAACUAGAUGACAACAUUGCCCUUAGGACAUAUAACGGCCAUUUGUCAAUGUGCACAGUAUUGGAGAAUAUUAAGUUAUUAUAGUGCAUACAUGAUUUAAAUUGAUUUGUUCAAUUUUACUUACCCAUUCAAAUAGGCUCCGAGGUUGACAUCUAUGUGAAUUUUGCAUCCAUUUCUUAAUAUAAUAUUUUGAUUCAAAUUGUGAUUGCCUAGAUCUCUGUAUGGACUAUGGCUCGAGGAAUCCAUACAUAGAGGCAUUCCUUGCUUGCAUACUUGUCUCAAUCAUGUGCCUAUUGUUGUUAAAAUAAAGUAAAUUAUACAUGAAUUUAAAAUACUUAGUUAGCUAAUAUACAAUAAUGUAAAGUAACUUACAAAAUCCAUAUUUGUAUAACAGAGAUGUUGAGACAUUGACCACCAUGUGCUAUUUCAGAAAGAUCUUUAUACUUUAUGUACAAGGGGAAGUUAUCAUUAUACACCCCAAAUACAGUAGCAUCCCACGACACAUGCAAAAGGUUGAUGAAAAUUUGUGGGAUGACCAAUGUCACAAGUAUAAGGGAUUGACAUCAGGAUCCGAAAUAUCUAUAGGUUUCAACAGUCCUUGUUUAUCUUACACAGUUAAUAAACAUAAGUGAAUGACUGUUAACACUUUAUUUGUUACAAAUCCUUUUGUAAUAGUAACAAAUACAACAAAAUGAAAUAGUUAUUCUGAAAAAGGUUGUACAAGAUGUGUCAUUCAUGCAAGGAAGAUGUUAAGUGCCUACCCCACUAACUGAACCUUUUGAAUGGGUACAGGAACACAAGCAUCAACAUCUUAAACUUCCUUAAUACCAACCUUCACUUGAUCAUUGCCCAAAGGGACUUUGAGGAUGAUUAUUGACCCUUCAUAAACACUUCCUAGGGCAACCAAGCGGGGAGGAUUCUCAUCGACACACAACCCACAUUUCUUUGAGUCACCCGUGUUUGGACCCUAUCCCGAGGAUUGAUACAACUUCCCUUUGUCCUGACAUGAGUAGCAGAAGAACCAACCUCAGGCUCAAGAGGUAGUGCGAGUCCCUGGGAUUGCAUCUAUGAUUGCAUUUGGGACUACAUCUGGGAUUGCAUCUGGCUGAAAGACAACAUUAGCUGGCGAGUCACUUUUUUAUUGAUAAAAUCUUCCAACUGGUCCUUGAUUUUUUGUGUCAACUGCUCCUAGGCUUCAGGAGUCAUGGACGUAGACAUGCGGGAGCUUCUUGAAGUAGGUUCAAAGUAUUGCUUGAUCAUGACACGACCAAGGUGCUCUGGUCACCCAAUGGCAGUAGUCAGUAAAUCUUGACGUCCAUGGGCGACAAAGCUUAGCUGUGAGGCUUGCUCUUCCAGGGAAUUCUACAGUCAAUAUAGAUGAAACAAAUUUUUUUACGACCUAUUAUUAUUGCAAAAAAUUAACACUCACAUAAAAAAGUCACUUACAAUCCUAUUUGUAGUUUCAUUUGCUGCCUUAGACAUCAUUUGACCAGAUUUUUUCAUGCGAGCCAUCUUCCACUUCAUGUGUCAUCUAAUGGGAGAUGAAGCAUCAACAAAUGUGUUAAUGCACCCGGAUUGGGAUGCUUCCUCCAAUCAUUUCUUGUUCUUGUUCUCCAUGAACUUUUCUUCUAGAAAAUCAUAACCCCCGACGAGACAACAUGUGAGGGGCAAUGUUUUGUUUCUUUAGGGCUUGUGCCUUUUUUUGAACAUCCUGAAACAAUUACACAUUAGGAUAAGUUGAUACGCUUGACAAUAAUGCAUAAAAAUGAUGUUAAAAAAAUAAAAAUCAGCUAACCUCCCAUGAAGGGUCUCUAUGGCUUUAACAAAACCGGCUCCACACUUCUCUUUUCUUAUUCCAUACUUUUCUCAUAUUUUAUCAUCCUUGCCGUUCUUGCCUUGUUCCAAAGCUCAUUUGGUGGUCAAAUUUGACUUAAACUACUUUCAUCCCUUUCUUACUGUCUUAAGGAUAUUCUUCUUUGUCCUUUUGUCAUACCCUUCUAGAAUAUCAAAUUCAGCCUAUAAUUUAAUAGUUAGUCAAUAACAUUAAACAUUAUAAGAUUUUUAGAACAACCAAUUACAAUAACAUUCAACAUUUAAUUCAAAUACCUGAAUGUUCUCCCAAAUCAAAUCCUUCUGAGUGGCAAGAACUUCUUUCCAAUUAACAAAUGUAAUGUCCACCUUGUCUCGAGCGACGAUCCCCAUAUACAUCCUUAAUUUCUUUCCGUGGGGACUGUUGGCUUUCCUAGUGGAAGGAUCCACAUGACCCACUAGGGUUUCCGCCUUAACAGGUCUGGUUGUGACACCCUCUACCCCUCACAUAUAUAUUAAUAAAGGAAUAAAAAUUCAAAUAUUAAUUAAAAGUAUUUUUAAAACAUUUUUAAAUACCAGCCUUUCAAAUGGGUAAAAGACUUACAUUCACUUUCUUCUACAUCAUAUUCAAACUUGUCCAAAUAAAUAAUAAAGUCAUAUCGGCUCAAAGAAGGUCAUCUAAGUUUCAUACAAUUAAUAUAGAACAUAUAUCCUAAUGUCACAUCCUAUUAGAGCAUGGUGUUCCUGUGUCCUCUAGCAUGAGGUUCUUCAUAGUCAUCCACCUAUUCAUCUGCUCCCCCGAACACAAAGUUCAAGAUCAUCACAGGAUCCAAACACAAACAGCAAACCGGGAGUGAGUUAUCACAUUUCUAACUACUAGAGAGAAACAACACAACAUAUAGUAGCCAAAUACAAUUUACUUAGCAUAUCUCACACUAUUUCAUCACUUUGUCAUUCAUCAAUCACACUUUUCAAUCAUCAAUCAUAAUACACAAGAAUCACACACUCUGAUCAAGACAUAAUAACACAUCAAUUUCAUAAUAAAAAAUUAGCAAGCGUAUGCAACAAUUAUGCUAAGACUCAAGCCUAUAUGCAAUGUGGUACCAUGUCAGUGAAAAACCUCGUCGGGCGCCUAGGAGUACAUGACAAGACAAACCACACAAUAGUAAGUCAAGUCACUCUCACUAAGUAAUAUCAUAGGGAAACCAGUCAGGGUCACAGUGUUUUGCGAGAAUGCUCCAACCAUAUGGGAUCAACAUAGGCUUAAAGGAGCACUCAAACCGUGUGACCUCUAAGGCCUUCACUCCGAAGAGUCUGUCAGGGCCUCUCCCUCCUGAUUCAGGUCCAACCCAGAAAACAUUUUAGCACACAGACUCUAUCUAUGAACUGUACAAAACACACGACUCCUCAAUUGUUCUCAAAAUAAUUUUAACUCGUCGCCUUUUAAGGGUCUUAUCAUUAACUCGUCGCCCUUAAAGGGACUUAACAUUAACUCGUCGCCCAAAAAGGGACUUAGCAUCAACUCAUCGCCCUAAAAGGAACUUAGCAUCAACUCGUCGCCCUAAAAGGGACUUAGCAUUAACUCGUCGCCCUUGAAGGGACUUAUGAUCGUGUGAUUGCAUAAUUCAUAGUUCACAACUCAAUGCACAUAUAUAUCUCAAUCAUAUACAUACUCAAUUUAUCACAUACACUUAAUCCCAAUCACAAUGGUAUAAUCUCAAUUUAACAUGUUAUCACACCUCAUGAAUCAUAUACACUUUACCUAUGAACUAUGCAAUACAUGCAUCUACUCAAUUGUUUUCAAAAUCAUUGUAACUCGUCGGGUUCCCACAGUGGAUCCCAUCACAAUACUCGUCGCCCUUAAAGGGUCUUACAAUUGUGUGAUUGCACAGUUCAUAGUUCACAACUCAAUACACACAUCUCAUCUCAAUACACAUGUAUUUCAUCAUCCGUCACAUGUUCAAUUUAUCACAUACUCAUUGUUUGAAUCAUCAUUUCAUAACCUCAACAUAACAAUUUAUACAAAAUAUUUUAUCACAACAUGGAAUGUAAAACCUCUGAAAUAGUUCCUCACAAUUGUAUCAAAAUCAAUUAAUCAAAAUCAUGGGUUAAUACAAAGACAUCAAGAGCACUCAAGUUUAUCCAUCAAUUCUCAUCAGGACAUCAAUUGGUACAUAGAACACAAUAAUAUUGUAUUCAUAAUCAUAAAUAAAAAUUAUAAUUCAAUAAACAUCCCAAAAUAAACCCAAAUUUAGUUCUCUAAGGAUCCCUACACAUGUUCAUUCUAACUCCUAAUUGCGAUAAACUCAUUCCUUACCUCUGAGCGGACUCACGUGUCUUCAGCUAGCGAUAGUAACAUCUCUAGCGGUUCCCUGAGAUUCCUUCAGUUAUUCCUCCGACUGCUCCGAUAGAAUUCCCAAACAUCAGAGAGACGGAGAAGAGAUUGAAACCUCCACUUGUACUGUCUUCAUGCGAUUCCUUUUUCUCCAUCCACGAAUAUUAUCUCAAACAUCCCAAUGGUAGAAGUGUGAGCAAUUUAAUUUCGAACAACAUAUCCAAAUUUCAUGAAAAUCCAAGGGUUAACGAAACCGGGAUCAUAGUUUUACCGAGACAGUUUUGGGUUUUUGCGGGAAAAUAAAAGGCUACAAUGCGAAGGGGUUUCCUCUAAGCUCAGACAUAAUAUCGAAAUUCCCAAUGGUGAGAAUGCUCAAAAUUGGGUUGCGAAUAUGGUGUUCUAAUUUCACGACGAUCCAACGAUGAAUGAGCUCGAGAUCGUCAUUUUUCUAAGAUAGGUUUUGUGGGCUGCGGGAAAAAGAAAGGGUUUUGAGAGGAGAAAGGGAAAAACGAAAAUGAGGCCAAAAAAGAGGCACCUGAUUUAACAUAACUAUUUAUACCUAGGGUACUCAGCCUAUUAUUUGCUCUAUAUUUAUUUAUUUAUUUUAUAAAAACAAACUCUAUUUUAUUUUCUAUCAAACAAAUAAAUGAAAUACCCUUUUUAUUUUCUCUCAAAUCAUUAUUUUAAUUAAUAAUUAUAUCUCCUUAUUUAUUUAUAUAUAAAAUCUCAUCAUUUUUCUAAAACUUUAUUUAUUUAUAAAUAACAAUCCUUUUUAAUCUAGAUUAUAAAAAUUGGGAUGUUACACUGGUAGCCAACGAUCUAAGUCAUGCUGCUUUUCUUGUCUUCUUCGACAUAGAUGAUGAAGGUGUUGAUGGUUCAGGAGGUGGAGGAGGGGAACUGGGUGAUGUAUCCAUGUGCUUGUUAAAAAACAAAAUUAGUUAAAAUUAACUCAAAACUAUAUUACGUCAUGUAAUUGAAAUUAUGAAAGCUAGUAAAUAUAAAACAAAUUACAAUAUGCAACGAUAAUUAAUUAUCCAUUAUGAUGAUCAUUAUGAUUUGCAUGAAUGUUGUCAACUUCUUCUUCUUUGUUGACGUUAGGUGGCAUUUAUGUGGGGAAGGGACUAACACAAGUAUCUACAGUUGAAUCAUCAUCUUAAACAUUAAUGCCAAUGGUUUUUUCAUGUAGAACCAUUGGCCACCUUUCAUCACAAGGAUCUUGAACAUAAAACACCUAUUUAGCUUGUUCUGCCAUGAUGAAAGACUCAUUCUGCUAAGCGAACUUCUUCAGAUCUACCAAAGUAAAUCUAAAAUCAUCAAUUCAAACACCGAUAUUACCAUCAACCCACUUACACUUGAAAAUACAUAUACUGAAUUUGACAUAAUUAAGCCCACAAAUUUCUUUAAUGACUCCAAAGUAAGGCAUGGACGCUAGAUGGGGAUUGUCAUCAUGUACAAUAGCAAAGUAUUGAAAUUCAGCCCUUAGACUAACCCUACUAUUUUGCAUUGUACUCUUGUCAUCUUGUGAUUUCAUGUAGAAUGAAUAUGUGUUGAUAUCGUAUCUUUGCCAAGUUAUAGAAAUUCUUUUAGGUCCAUUUGCUAACUUUCUUAACGGCUCUAAAGCAUUAUCAUAACCAAAGAUUGUAUCUAUAAACCAAUUUAGGAAUGUCUUGCUAUGCUUUUUCAACACCCUAUUCAUGGUCAUUUUUGGGUUACUUUCCUUGACUAAUGCUUUGUGACGAACUAUGUAUGACAAAACUUCAUUACCGUUAUUCAGUAGAUACAAAUGAGUUUGUUGUAAUUCUUCUAGACUUGGAGUGAUAACAUGUAGUCCUCUUGAACCCUUACUCCAACUCUUUCGUCAUGCCAAGACUCGGGAAGCCCAACAGGUUUUGCCUUUUCAAUGUACUUUGAACAAAACUCAAUAGCUUCUUCUACAAUGUACCUUUCAACAAUAGAUGCUUUAAGACGGUGUAGAUUCUUUGAAUACCCUAUUAAGAUCUUCAUGUAUCGCUCAACCGCAUACCUUCACUGCAAAUAAACAGGAUCACAAAAUUUAACUUCCCUCACCAGAUGAAUAAUUAAGUGAACCAUGAUGUCAAAAAAUAAAGAAGGAAAAUACAUCUUCAACUGACACAAGAUAAUAUCAGUCUCAUUUUCCAACUUAUCUAACUUGAAAGGAUAUAUGACUUUGCUACAUAUGGCAUUGGAGAAAAAGCACAGUCGAGUUAUGGCAUGCCUCACUUUGUUAGGAAAAAUAUCUUGUAUCGCCACGACUAACAAUUGUUGCACCAAGAUGUGACAAUCAUGAGACUUUAAGCCAACUAACUUUAGAUCUUUGAACUACAUAAGACUCUUAAUAUUUGAAGAGUAUCCCUAUGACACUUUGAUAUUGCGCAGACAGUGACAAAAACUUAUCUUUUCCUUUCUUUGUAUGACAUACUGGAGGCAAGUAUAUUUUCUUACCAUUAGACCUUUGAUGUAACUGGUCUCGUAUACACAUCUCAACUAGAUCUUGACGAGUACUUAAAUCAUCUUUUGUCUUGCCUUGAAUAUUAAGAAGUAUGUUGAUGAUACUUUCACACUCAUUUUCUCCAUAUGCAUAACAUCAAUACAAUGUCUGACAUCUAGAUCGGACUAGUAUGGAAGAUCGAACAAUAUCCACCUCUUAUUCCAUAUGCAAGUUUUAAUUUUUUCUUUCUUUUGGGUUUUGUCGAAUAUAGUAUUGAUGUCCUCAGCUUGCUUAAGAACUUGUUGACCUGUUAAUGGUAUUGGCGCUAUUUCAUGCUCUUGACUUCCAUUAAAAGAUUUUUUCAAUCGCUAAUAAGGGUGAUAAGGUUUUAGAAACCAUCGAUGUUGAGUGUAUAUUGUCUUUCUUCCAUGUUUCAGUUCUACGUAACUUGUGCCUUCUUCACAGAUAGAGCAUGCAUGAUGCCCCUUAACACUAUAUCCACUCAAAUUCCCAUAGGUUAGAAAGUCAUUAAUGGUACAAAAUAGCAUUGCGCAUAAUUUGAAUGUCUCACUUUGAUACCCAUCAUACACGAAAACCCAUUCAUCCCAUAAAUUUGUCAAGUCUUCAAUCAACGGACUGAGAUAAACAUUGAUGUCAUUUUGUGGUUGUCUUGGGCUGAAUAUCAUCAUUGACAACAUCAUGUAUUUUCUCUUCAUGCACAACCAUGAGGGAAAGUUAUAAAUUAUCAGCAAAUAGGGCACGAACUGUGCUGAGUGCUUAAACUGCAAUAGGGAUUCAUUUCAUCAGUGGCAAGUCCAAGCCUAAAAUUUCUUGUCUUUUUCCGGAAAUCUGGAUACAAACAAUUAAUCUUCUUCCACUGGGAAGAAUCAGUCGGAUGGUGAAGCAUUUCAUCACAAUUUCUCCCAUUUGCAUGUCAUGUCAGGUCUUUUGUGUCAUUUUCAUUGACAAACAUACGCUUGAACAAUAGAAUGAUUGGAAGAUACCAUAACACCUUCGAUAAGGGGCCUUUUUUGGUGCUUUCAUCACGGCUACACUCAUUAGCAUCCUUCACUUUGUAUCGUGAUACCCCACACCAGGGGAAUUUAUGCAUUUCUUCAUACUCAUGUUUGUACAGUAUACUGAUAAGUGUUUUGCAUACGUAAAUAGUAUACUAAAAUCGCAUAGCAAUUAUCUAUCUUUUCUCUAUUUUUACUACUUAUUUAGCGUAAAACAAUAGGAACUUAGCUUCUCUUGAAUUUCAUCCAGAAGAUGCUAAAAUUAAGUAAAUAACACUAAUUUUGGUUGUAUUUUUGUUGUAUAGAGUAACAAAGAAAUGGAAGAGCUUCUAAAGAACUGAUAGCCUUGCUCAGCGAGUUGGAGUCACUUAGCACAAAAGAAGCCGCUUAGCGCAAGGAAGCUUCAUUGGAAGACAAUUGUCAUAGGCAAGCCUGCAAAUUCAUGACUUAGUGCAGAUCCACUUGCAAUCCAGUUGGACUAGUGCGAGCAUCGCGCUAAGCGCGUUCAGCAUGAGCAUCACGCUAAGCAUGUUCAGCAUGAGCAUCACGCUAAGCGCGUUCAGCAUGAGCAUCACGCUAAGCGCAUUGAUGCGCUCUAAUUGGUUAGCAAUCACAAUCCCUAUAUAAGAAAGAAACUUGAGAAGUAGGAGGAGCAUUUGACAUCAAAGAAUAUUGAGAAUAGAAGCAAGUCGUCCACUACCGAUGUAAGGAAAUCCAUUUUCGGAGCUCUGGCUAGUUGAUUUCACUCCAUUCUUCUUCCAUUAAAUCCCUUAUAUCUUAUCCACCUAUUUGUAAGCCUCUCAUAACAAUGAGAGGCUAAAACUCCACCGUGUUGGGUGCUUUGUAUUCCUAAACUCCAUGAUGUAACGAUUCUAAACUAUUUUUUAAUAUAAUGUUGUUAUUAUUAUUCAUCCCUGUGCUUAUUCACAUAUUUAUGGUUUGAUCAUUCAUCUUUAUGUACUGUUUUAGUAUAUGAAUAUUGGGAAAUGUUUGUAUGCUAAGAACUCGGGAAGGGUAUCUAAAGUGAGUCACAUCUAGGAAUAAAAUGGUCUUUUUUAGCCUGUUCAUGCAUCUCUUUUCUUAAUGCAAGUCAUUUAGUAAUCAAUCGCUAAGAGAUUGUGAGCUAUAUUAAGUGAGUUCUUUCACUUGAGGGAUAUUGGUUAGAAUAAACUAGUAGAUGCAGGUGAUAAUCAUAUUAAUGUUAAAAGAGAAAAAUCGAUAAAAGAUUACAUCAAGAGAAGUUAUAGAAGUAGAGUGCCCAACACGUCCACAUUCAUCAUCAACCUCACCUUCCAAGUGUUUGUCUUCUCUCCUUGUAUACUUUGUUAUUAAGUCUCACAUUUAUUUCUAUUAAAUAUUGUUUCUAAUGCACAAAACCCUUUUUUCCAGUCUUUAAUUACUUAUUAUUAGUUCUACACAUAACUGCAAAAUAUAAGCACAAUCUUCGUGGAAUUGGAUACUCGAUCUUUGCAUUUUAUACCACUUGUGAAACUUGGUACGCUUGCCAAGGAGACAACAAGUUUUUGACACUGUUACUGGGGACUGUGUUCCUUGAACUUGAUAGUUUAUUAUAUUAUGUUUUUAAGCAAUUGUUCUUUGAUUCUUUGUAUUUAAUUUGUUAAUACAUAUUAGAUUCUUUAACUUCAUAACCUGUUCUCGAGUUGUUUUUGCCUUCUUGUAUGUGAGGUAAGGCUUCUGAGGUGAACCUUGUUCCACUAAACUCAAAAAUCAAGGCAGCCUGUAGGAAGAACAAAACCUUAAGACGGAGGAAAGAACAACUAGAAAAGCAGGCAAAUCAAGGAGAUAGAAGAAUCUCAUCCACUACAACAUCCUUGCCAUUUCCACUUGAACUUGGGAAGAGGUUGUGGAGAAAUUCUUGAAGAAAUACUUUCUAGAAUCAAAGACAGCACAAGGCAAGGGAGAGAUUUCUUUAUUUCAUCAAUUUCUAGACGAAUCACUCAGCGAAGCUCUAGAUUGCUUCCAUGAUUUAGUUUUCCGGACUCCAACGCAAGGAUUCAGUGAGCCAAUACAACUAAAUAUCUUUAUUGAUGGCUUACGACCUCACUCAACGCAACAUCUAGAUGUUUUCACUGGAGGUAAGAUAAAGUUAAAGACACCUGAUAAAGCUAUGAAGCAAAUUGACAAUGUGGCAGCUAGUGACCAUGCAAUUCUUUGGGAUACAGUAUGCAUUACUGGCUUAGAACAAUUGGAGACCUUGACUAAAACCCUAAGCAAACUUCCCCAACACGUUCCUUAACUCACCACAACACCAUCUCACAACAUGGAUCUUUUUGGCCUAUUCUUGAUGUCACUUACAAAUUAUGAUGUUAACAUUAAUUAAUGUAAAUUAUGGUUAUUUUAUCCUAAGUAAUUGCUUAAAGUCAUAAUGCAUUUACUAUUUUGCUAAUUUUAGAGUCUUAGGUUAAAUAAUUAUAUGAUUAUGUUUUAUUAGAUUGAAUGGAUCAUAAAUUAGUUGAAAUACGAUGAACUAACUCAAGAAUCACUUCACUGUAAUUAAAAUAUUUCCACUAGAUUAAAAUUUCCUUAUGUUUUGAGAUUUAAAAUUAUCAGGAUAUACAAAAGUAAAUUAACUUUUAAAACACCUACCUCCUCUUGUGGAUCAAACAAGAAAAUGACUACUUUUCCUCCUCUCAAGCAUGCAUAACUCUUUAAUAAUACAUUUUUUUUUUAAAAAAAACUCUCUUUCUUUUCCUUCUCCUCCUCUAUUAAAACUUCUCUCUCUUUUUUUAUUUGAGCCAAAAUGAUCCCAAUUGUUUGGUAGAAAGGAAAUUGGAAGGAGAAAAAGAUGUUGGACAAGUGGCCUCAAUAACUUAAGAGGGGGCGGGUGAAUUAAGUCUUACAAAAUUUCCCACUAACAUAUUUUAACCCCCUUUUAAAUGAUAUAUGAUAGGCUCAGAAUGUAGAAGAAGAAGAAACAAUCAAUUUGAUAAUGUUCUUUUAAAUGCGUAAGACAAAGUAAACAGCAAUAAAAUAACUGAAAUAAGGGAAGAAAGAAAUGCAAACUCAAUUUAUACUAGUUCGGCCACUUCCCGUGCCUAAGUCGAGUCCUCAAGCAACCCACUUAAGAUUUUCUACUAUCUUUGUAAAUCCUUUACAAACAUUGAACACAACUUAGGAUUUCUCACCCUUGUGUUCAAGAUUCUCCAAGAGACAACCAAUCUCUUGAUUACAAUUCUCAUAAUCCAAGAGACAACCAGUCUCUUGAUUACAACUAAGUGUCUGAGAUGAACAAAAAGAUUUCUCUCCUUUAGAGUAGAUGAUACAAAUUCAAGAUCCUAGAGGAAUUUCUCUCUUUUAGAGAUGAUAUUACACAUUGAAGUUCCUAGAUAAAUUCUCAAUAGAUUUGCAAGUGUUUGUCCAAUAGUUGUUAAGAGAGCAUUUAGCAAUUAAGUUCUCUCAAAACAUCUAUCUCUUGCUUUUCAAAGUCAGACACACAUAUAUAUAGGCCCAUUAUGCCUUUCCAAAAUGGUUUGAAGAGAUGUGUCUUUUCAAAAAGCUUUUCUAAAAUUUUCUCAUUGGUAAUCGAUUACAGGUUUCUGGUAAUCAAUUACAUAGUUAUAUUUUGAAGGGUAAUGAAUUUUCAAUUUGAAUUUUAGGAGUUCCGUUACUAUUAAUCGUUUGCAAACAUAUGGUAAUCGAUUACAAGAUUCAAAAUUCAAAUUUCAAAACCCUUUUUAAAAGCUGAUUACAAACUUGUCUUCUGGUAAUUGAUUACCAGAGCCCUUGAUCUCUUGGAAACAAUUUGUUUUAAGGAAAAAACCAAUCAACCAGUGAGAUUAUUUGAGGCCUUAUCUUUUUCUUGAUCUUGUUUGCUUGACCUUGAAUUAAUAUUGAAACAAUGCUUAACCUUUGAAUGUUUGUUGAAGUAACCUUGUAAGCAACCUUGUUUGAUUCUACUUUGGCAUCAUCAAAACCCUGUAUUCAUGUAUUCACAUUUUCCCCCUUUUUGAUGAUGACAAUCAUUAUCAAGCAAAUUCUUUUUAGCAUCAUCAAAACCUGCAUGUUUCACAAAAGAGAUGAAAAUUAUUUGAUUGUUGGGUUGGAAAAAUCUAGAGUGAAAAUUAUUUUAUUUCUUAAAUAUUUUUUUAAAGUUAAAUUUUUACAUAAUAGUCUAAUACGCUCUACAUGUAUAUAACUACUAUUUAUUUUUAGUAGGAAACUGGAAGGUGGUUUCUCAUCAUUUGAUGGUUUUGGGGAUGUGAUGCAAUUAGAAUGGCUCAUAGGUCAUACCCUAACUAAUAUUGGAGGGAGCAACCUCAUGCUACCUUGUAUGCUUCCCUGCUUGGUGAUGGCAUGGGGUAGUCUGUUCUUUUUGUUUCUUAUUUUUCCACCGAAGCAAAAAAAAAAACAUGCACACAAUGGUUUCCUUAACUAAAAUAUUAAGUGUUUAGUUUUCCAUUUACAUUCUCAAUGGAUAGAUCUUGUGUCAUUGAGUAAAUGACCAUUUGAAACUUCUUAACGGGAAAUUAAACUCAACUUUAGCAUUAAUUAAUCACUUCAUCGAUUUAUUGAUUAAUUUAAUUUUAAAACAUCACAUAAGUUACUCUGGAUACCAAACAGAUAUGCAUCACAACUUCAAACUCUACAAAAUCUCAACCACAAUAUAUAUCCACAUAUUUAUUUAUCUUUGCAAAACAUAGAACGGUGAAACGUGUAACAUCAAAGUACAACUAUCCUAAAUUCUUCAACCAACCAUCUACCCAAGUUUAUCAAAUCCAUUACAUUCAAUUCUAACCAUUAACUACUUUGUGGUCCAUACAAAAUCAAUUGCUUCAUAAGAUAUUCUACAAUGAGCACUUACACAUACAUACUGUCAUCCACAUUCACAUACACAUUUUGUCAAACAUGUUGUAAACACAAUAUGUAAGAGUUACUAGGCAAGAUAAAUUGGAUAGAUGCUUUAGCUUGUUUAUAUUGCGUCCUGUGAAAUUGAAAUGAAGGAUGAGGAGAAAGGAAACGAUUCAGGUUAGGGACUUUAAAUGGAAAUGAGAGAAGGAGAACAAAGUAGAGAAAGAAGAAGAUGGACGAUAACCUUUCAUGACCAGUAGUGAGGUUGCAAUGCUAGUGCCGAGGGAGUUUUAACACCUCGAGAGGUUGCAAAUGAGAGUGAGAAAGCGUUUGAGUGAAAGUGAGUCAAUAAGGUUUCAAAGUGAGGGAGCUCGAGGGUUUUUUGGCACUAGAGAAUCAUUAUAUAAGAUCUUACCACAUCAGUUUUUAAAUAAAAAUGAUGUUAACAAAGUAACGCAACAUCAAAUUUUGGAAAAACCGAUGUUGAGUUUUCUCUAUGUUUUUCCAGUAAAAUCAUUUUUUCAAAAUCAUUGUUACCAUGAGUUCAUUAACAUCGGUUUUUAAAUGAAAAUCAAUAUUAAUAAACUCGUGUCGACAUCGGUUUUUUCAAAAAUCGAUGUUAACAAACUUGUGUUGACAUCGGUUUUUCAAAAAAAAAAAAUGAUGUUAACAAACUUGUGUUAUUUAGGAGUAUGCCACCAUAUUUUUGUUAACAUCGGUUUUAUUAAAAACUGAUACUAACAUAGCGAUGUUAAAACCAUCAUUUGUAGUAGUGACUGUCCCUUUUAAAUUUUUUGGCACUAUUUAUUUUAGCUACCAAAAUUUAGCAAGUUUAUGCAUCUAAUCUUUUUUACAUGAACAACUGAUAAAGCAUCAUGUGUGAGACACAUUUAUUGGAUUCAAUUUCGUGUUAUAUUCCUUUUUAUUUCAUUUAAUGUUUUUUGUAAUUUACAUGUAACAAAUACAUUUAUAUAAAAAACUAAAAACUACAAAAAAAUAUUAGAAUAAAGAAAAAAAUUGAAAUAACAUCAAUUUAUAUGCGCAUUACAUUUCAAAACACAUGAAAUUAGGCUUUUAUCAUUGAAUUGUCAAUACUAAGAUAGCAUUGACCAAACAAAAUGAUAUGUCAAUUUAAAUAUUGUAUGUUUAAGUUAAAAUAUAACCUGUUGUAAAUGAAGUUACUUGAACUUCUUACAAUGCAUAAACCAUUAUGUAUGCAUGUGUUGAAAAAAUCAAGAUGUUUGAUAUUGUUCGUUGCCACUUAAAAUAAGCCGUUUCAAUCGGCUAACUGCUAUAACACAAUUCCAAAAUAUAAUGUCAAGCGAUUGAUACUGAGAAGGGAAAUAUGCAAUCAAUAAUGGGUUCCCAAGCUACAAAAAAAAAAAAACACUUAGUGUAAGAGUGAAGAAAAAAAAAUAAGAAGAUAGGAUUUUUCAUGAAAGAUAAAGAUUGAAUUAAAGUAAAGCUUUAAAUGAAUAAUGUAAAGAAAAUAGAUAAAAUAAGAAGUUAGUGUCGGUUUUGAUGAAAGCCAAUUUUACAAAAUGCAUGAUGGUAUUUGUGUAAAUAAGAUGUCAUCAUUAUUGGUUUUGAAAAAAAAAUCAAUAUUUUGUGUGCUCAAUCAAUGUUGGCUUUAUUUGAAACUGAUGUUGUUAGGUAUACCUUAACAAUGGUUUUUAAAAACCUCCGUUGAUGUUUUGAUAAUAAUUCCAAAUCAUCUUACUCUUGCAUGCCUCGAGCUCACUUGAAACCCUCUCUUUCUUGAAGCCCUUUACUCAUAUGUGUUGCCACUAUCUCGUCCAGUACAUUGCCGCCUGUUUGCCACUGCGGUUCCCUUCUUCUGCAAUGGCGCUUCUCAUGACUUUUUCAUUUUUUCUAGUUUGUUUUCCUCAUGUAUUCCAAAUGUUUGGGUGGUAGCACCUGUGUCUCUCUGGUUGAUGGUAGCACUUGUGUCUCUUUGGUUCGCAAAAUCACUUAUGUCUCUCUAAGUAGCAAAAGCUAGUGCGCAAAAAUUUGGUGAUUGGGGCUGCUUAGGGAAUCUGAGGUUACCAUUGCUAUUGGAGCAGAUUUUUCGCCUCAGGUAUUUUUCAAAUUUGGUGAUUCUGCUUAGGGGAAUUUUAGAGUUAUUCUAGUGCCCAGUCUUUCUUUCCCAAUUGUAAGCUUACUUUCCAAUUUGUCUCUCUUUGCUUUCCAUGCUUCCCUUUUGCACCUUUUAAAAAUGAUUUUAUUAGUGGUUGUUGAUGAAGCAUAAAGAGGAACUGGUGUACAGUGUUGGAAUCAUUAUAUAAAUUUUGCAUAUAAGUCUCAAAUCUUAAGAUAAAAUUCAUAAAAAAAUUCUAAUUAAUCACACAACAGUUAUGGCCUCUAAGCAAAAGGCUACAACAAGAUCAAUGAUGGGAAGUGCCAUUUAUAAAGACAAAGGUGAAGGAUAGCAUCAACAACAAGCAACUGCUCACCCUUUAAAGCCUUUUCUUCAUCAUAUAUAAACUUUGGCAAUAGAAAAUACUGAUCUGUGGAAGAAUAUUCAAGCAAUAGAAAAUACUGAUCUGAAUCAUAUAAAUUUUACAAAAGAAAUUAAAAUGCACAUCCUACCAUCUUUAAAAUUUUAAAGAUAUGUAAAGCCAUUGCACUACUUGUAAUUAUGCUACAUACAUUGGUGACUACAUAAAUAAAAGGGGUUAACCAAUUUAAUUUCAGUAUACAAUUAAAUAAUUGGUGACUUGAAGAGCAAGACAAACAUCUAAAUGUAACCUAUUGAACACCAACAUCUAGUACUUGAAAAAGUAUAUUUUAGUAACAAAUACUAGCUGAGAUGCAUACAAGCAAUCAAGAGUGCCAACUAUUAAUACUCCCAAGAGAACCACCCAACAAAUACACUAGCAUUGUCGGUCCCUUGACGACUUAGAUUGAGAGACAAGUUUUAUGGUUUAAUCUUGACCAAAGAGUGGUCCACUUUGUUUAUGGAGGAUGCUAGCAAAUUUUUUUGCAAUAGUAGAUGCUCGAUUAGGAAAAAACAUACACAAAUGAUAGAUAAGUGUAAUUGUUAGAUCCUGUAGCUUAUUUUUUCCCAUUUGGUAAGCUAGUUUUUUGUUCAGGUUUUCUGCUAACUACUGUUCUAAGCUUACUACAAAAUUUGACAAUGAAAAUGUCUUCCGAAAUGCAUGGUAGUAUUAAGGGUAAAAAAAUAGGGUAUUGGAUACUACUUUAGACCAAAGUUGCUCAACAUUACUGAAAUCCAUCCUAGCUUAGAGGUUGGUUAAAGGAAAAUCCAUAGGAAUACCAUGCCUUGAAACAAAAAGUGAAAGAUAAAUUAAAAGUAUGUCAUUUCCUCACAAAAUCUUUCAAAAUUGUGUUUUUUUGGUUAAUUUUUUUUAUUAGCUAACUAGCUAGCUCUUUGUAAGUUGUGUUGCUUUGUGAUAUUUUAAGCCUUCCCAGUAGUUGUUUCUUUAAAAUUAUAAGCUUUUUUUCUUCAUUGGGUAUCUUAGUAUUGAAUUUUGAGGUGAUCAAGUUAGGAAGCUCCAUGGAGUAGUAGAACUAGCUAGUGACAAUUUUCAUCAAAUUUGUGGGUGAAGUGGUGAUAGCAACAACUAUAAGUGGAAAUAGUGGUAAUUUUAUCUGUUUUAGAUUGUGUAUAUAUUAUAAUAAUAUCAUAAAUGUGAAAGAUCAGUAUGCAAGUUGUGAAUAUUAUUAUUAUGCUUUAGCUUAUCAGUCCCAGUGAUUAUUGCCAUUCUAGUUAUGCCAAUCAAACCAUGUUUGCUUUUGCAGCUGCUGCAAUCCUUGUUUUCUUUUGGUAGUUUUUCAAAUAAAUUAUACUUAAAGAUUACUCUUCUUUUUCAGAAAACAUGGGUUAUUUUUGUUGGAGCAUGCACUAUGCACCAGCCAUUUAAAUAUCAGAAAAUUAUCUUAUAUUUAUCAAAGUAAAUAUGAAUUAAUUUAGCUAAUUUUUUUAUUUUUCAUGUCAAUCAAAUUUUGUUAAAUCAACAAACCAGGUAAGCAGUCGAUUGAUUGAAAGUUAAUUUUAGUUGAUUAUGAGCAAAUUCAUCAUGAUUCAAAGCCAAGCCUACCAAAUGGCCAAUCUUCAAUUAACAUAUGAGUCAACUUACCAAAAUUGCAAAAUUUGGUUACCAACAUAUUCUUAAUUCUAACUUUAAUAUGUUUGAUAAUGGUUUUCAAUGAAGGCCAAUUUGGUUUUCAAUCAAUUUUGCAUAUAUACUAUUAAGAAUUUAUGUAUGCAAUGUUCUAUGUUUGUUGAUUGUGUUAAUUAUUUGGAGCAAGUUGUUAUGCAUAAGAUAUGUGGAUGCCUUAAGUGGAAUGUAUGUGGACGAAUCUGUCACUCUUAAUGGAAGAAAUGCAAGUUGUGUAGGUCUUCUUAGAAACUACUUUGGGGGUUGGAUGAAUAGGUAGUUUAUGCAUAAUAUUGGAGUCGUAGAUAUUUUGAAUAUGUUUGAAUUGUGGGGCAAUUUUUCAUCUUUUGACAUUUAUUGGAAGGUUGGCCACACAAAUCACAAAUGUAGUUAUUGAAAGUGAGUACUUUGAGUGAUUUCUAAGGGUUGUCCUCACAAUAUUGGAAAAAGGUCAAUUAACAAUGAUUGUUUUACACAUUCAAAGACACUUUGAACCAUCUUUGAAACUAACAUCAUAGAAAGUCAAGACUUUCCACGACGGUUCCUAAAAAGUUGUCUUACCAAAGCUAUCAUUCUAAAACAGUUUUUAGACAAAUAAUCGUCUUAGAAUGACAAUUUUCCUAAGGCGGAUUUGACUUCAAAAUCAUCUUAGAAUGUAUUUUUAAAAAAAAAUUAAAAAAUUGAGGAUUUUAAGACGAUUUUUCAUAAAAUCAUUUUCGAAGGUAGACUUUCUAAAACGGUUUUUCAGAGAACUGUUUUAUAAUGUAUUUUUUAAUCUUUUUUAAGAAUUGAGGAUUCGUAGGGGAGAACCUUCUUAGAAUGUAUUUUUUUGAAAAAUUAAAAAAUUAUAUAGAUAUAAUUAAAAUAUUAUUUUCUUUAUAUUUUUAAACAAGAAAUAAAAUAAAAAUAGAUGAUAUUUUCUUGAAACUUCUAUCUUAAGUCUAGUGGCAUAUUGUUGGUAGCAAGGACAAAGCCUAAAAAAUACUAUGGGGGCCCAAACGAAACUUAUAAAUUAUAAGGAUUAAAAUCAUAAUUGAGGUAAAAUAUAGGGAUAAAAAAAUAUGUCAACCUUUAAAAUAUAAUAUUUUUACAAUAUUGGUUUCAUCUAUAUAUAAUUGUUCCUACUUUCCAUAAAAAAAUAAAAAAAAAAAUACAAAAUGAAAGGGAAACAUAAGCAGAUUAAAAAUACACAAAAAGCAUGAUGUAGGUGCAUCAAGAGCAUAAAAGCCAAUUUUUAAUCAUCUUUUCUUUUAUCAACUUGCUAAUAGAUGCUAAGUUGCCAACAUAGAUCUUUGAUGCACUAAACUUUUACCAAUUAUCGUUUCUUCUAACAAGUACCUUUAUAAGAAUUGUGCUUGUGCAACUCCAGAGAAUUGUCUACACAACAAUUUUAGACUUGAGGGAGUCUACAAGGAAAAGGAUACCUUCAAAUUCAAAAAAGUCAUUCUAGGGGGUGCGUGAGAUCUAGGUAAAGAAUAUCAUUAGACAACCUAGCCACAUAACAUUAAAACACAAUUCAAUAGCCUUCAAACUAAAAUUAAACAAUACAUGCCUUUAUUGACACUACGACCAAGAUUGUUGUUUUCCUUCAAUGGAUCAAUGAUGUUAAGAUGUUUCUAGGGAAAUGCACAAAUUUAAAUCAGCCCCCCUUAAUGGUGGUGAGAAUGACUCCACACAACUUCUAAUGAAUUCUUUAGUCAGUAGAGUAUUCCCUCCAUUUUCAUGCACCUCAACUUCACAUAGAAAAAAAACAAAUAAUAAUAAAAAAGAACAUAAAGCUACUUAAUGAUACGAAAAAAAUUGCCUACCUACUAUAUCAGGCAGAGAAGAUUUGCCGACUGGUCCUUCAAACUAACACAAUAAUUAUCCCAAUCAAAUUUGUAGAAGUAGUCCAAAAAUCUAUUGAAAACCUAGAAAAAGGGUAGAGUGCACAAAAAUCUUAUUGAAAUUAUGCAUCACUAUCAUCAUGUGAUGCAAAUUUUCUUUUCCAUCUUUUGAAGAAAAAGUGUGAUCCAUGAGAUUUGAUGGAGAACUUGCUGCAAGAGGACCAUCUAAGGAUACAUGAAACUAAUGGAAAAUAUACAGAACCAGUGUUCCCAAAGCUUAUGUUGAAAUCAGACCAUGAUGGGCGCCCAGUACACAACUCUCAUAGUAGCACCAAGCUUUAAUAAGGAUAAUACUAUGUUUGAAGAGAUGAUCCUUGACAUCAAGUCGAUCAACCUAUAAAUUAUAAGAGUGGAACUUACUUAGUAUUAGAUACAACAAGACAUAAUCAAUAUAUAAUAAUAUAUAAAAAAACAAAGAGUCAAACUAGAGUAGUGCACAAUAUUCCAAACUAUGAUGAGUUGCAUAUGAUGUUGUGACACAUAAUACUUGUUUCUAUAGUGUUGAUACUUAAUAAAAUAAAGAAAAUUAAAUAAAAAAAUCAUUCUAGUUUCUCAGGUGUUACGUGAAAAUUAAGUACAAACAUUGCAAUACAAAUAUUAUUGCGGCCUCAAGAGGCCACUUUCAAUAAUACCUUCUCAAGAAAACAUAAUGUACUGAGUCCUCCUAAAUGAUUGAAAGAGAUGUCUACAACAAGAUCUUGUACAAUGCAUUUACGAAGCUUAACCUGUAGAAAAAGAACCCAAACAUAUGAAAAAUAAAUAUAUCAAACAUAAAAUCAAAAAAGAAAAUUAAUUCACAAAUAUUGCACCAAAGACACAAAUUAAGCAUCUUUAAUAAAUAAAAUAUUUAAAUAUAGAGAAAAUAAUUCAAGUCAACAGUAAACUAACUAGCAGAAUCAGCCUAGCAUGUUUGCAAAGUCCACAAUCAACAUAGAGUUAGACGCCACAUUUUGGUUGUCAACAUGUGAUAUAAGAAAAUACAAAGAUUUAAAAUCAACAAGAUUUCCAGGAGUUGCGCUAGAUUUAGUCAAAGCUACCAAAAUAAAGUAAACUACUUUUACAUAGGCUAAAGCAACAAGUUGGGGAGGGGAAAAGACAUUCCAUAACUUAUUGAGCGAAAAGCACCAACAAAACAUUCUUAGCACUGCCAGCUUCAGAAAAGAGAAAUAAAGAGUAAGGGAAGAGGCAAUUAUCUGAAUGUUUGAAAACACCUCAAUUUCAACAGAGAGAGAAAAAUGCUUGGACCCGCAAAUGCAGAUUCAACAUUUUUCAGGUUCAUAAUAAAGUUAGCAGAUCUUUAUUUUAGCAGAUCUUUAUUUCUAAUUUACUUUGGCAAUUAGUAUAAAAUAUUUUCACACUAAAUUGCAUUCAAUUUCUAAUAAGGCAUCAAUUGAGUGGAAAGAACCUUUGGAUCCUUUACUUCAUAUUCAACAGCUUCAUUAACUUCCUCUCCAUGAAGAACAACAUGUACAUCGGAUACCAGGCCAUCCUCAAUGUUUUGACAACUUAGUGCAAUCAAAUCAAUAUCUCCAUCUGGAAGUAAAAAAUAAAUUUCAUAUUUCAUAACAUUAGGCCAUCCUCAAGCUUAAUUUACUUACACUAAUAUUCAAAUAUUAAACAGGGAAUAACCAUAAUUAUCCUAGAUUUAACUUCAAUUAACCUAAACAUAGUCGAAAUGAAAAAACACAAAGAUUCUUACCUAAAACCUACAACGGAAAAAAAAUCCAAAUAGGUUAAAGCAAAAAAUGAGCUCAUUUGAACACUAUAAAUUAUAUUAAACAAAGAUAUUUUUUCUAACAAUGUUUCAAACCUUUAUCCAACAUAUUGUUAUUGGAUACUUGGGAAAAUGGCAAUAAAGGAGAGAAAUAAAACAUAAAGAAAUUGAAUUAAAUGAGAGAGAAGAAAAUGUAUGUAUCUAACAUGCAACAACAGUUAGUUAAGAUGAAGAGUAUGCAUACAAAUCAAUGGAAGCUCAUAGAGAAUCCAGAGGACAUGGGCGUUUCAAACUUCGGCACUAACCCGAACCCUAUGGUGAAAUACUUCGUGAAGUUCAUGUGGUAAUACUCCGGUGUGUCGAUGGCGCAUGAGUCCAAACUUGUGCUUCAUAAUUUCGGGUGUGGAUUCAUCUAGGGUUUCAAGGUCGAUGUCAGAGACGAGGAAAUGGAAGAUUUUCUCAAGACAAAGGGACUUGUGGAGGAUGGAGUGCAUGACGACGAUGGAACCAUGGAGGUAGUUGACAUCAAGGGUUAUAGCCAUGUGGACCAAGGAAGGUCGCAGACAGUGGUGGUUUCACUGCAAAUUGAACCGCACUCGGUGGCUUUUUCGAACAGAGGAGCUUUCCAGAAGGAAAAUUGAUGGGAGGAUUGAAUGGUUUCGGAUUGAAAGUAGUGGGGAGGAUAACCCCGAGAAACUUGUUAUCCCCAAUAGUUUUUUUAGUUUUUUUGCCCUGCGCUUCCAUUAGGGUUUUGGAAUGGUGGUUUUUUUGGUGCAUUUUGAGUGUGAAUCAAAGUAGGGAUGCAAUAGGGGCAAAGCAAGUUGGGGGAGAAAAAUCCAUGGGGUUCUCUCUUCCAUCAUUGGAUAUGCGCAUAGGGGACAAGGUCAACUAGUAGGGAAAGGUUAUUGUGGUGACAAUUUGGUAAAUUUAGUGAAUAGAAACUAAGACAAUUUUACAAAAAAGAACGUUUUCGUUUUGAGGUUUCAAAGACGGUUUCACCAAAAUCGUCUUUGAAAUGUUGACAAUAUUUACAAAAAUGUCAUCACUACCUAAGCGACGACUUUUGACAACUAACUUUAAAUAGACAUUGUAAAAAGUACUUUUCUUAGUAGUGUCAUAACCAUCCUUUAUUGUAGUGUUGUACGUACUAUACUAAGUCUGUUGGUGAAGAAUUAACAAGUAAAUUAAAGAUUUAUCAUGUUUUUAGGGAAGGGAGUAGCCUGGCUAAGUUUCUAGAUGUGAUAGCUUAUUUCCUAGCCUUUAGGCAUUUUGCAAGAUUUAUAGCUUAAUUAAUUAGUAUACCUUCUUUUCUCUUCUUUUUUAUAUUUUUUAUUAUGUACAAAAAUAUCCUUAACAUAAAAAAAUAAUAUAAACGUACCAUAUUUUUACCCCUUCAAAUUCUUCAUGCUUUAAAUUCUAUUAUCCCAUCUUUAUCAUGACUCUUUAAACUCAAUUACUACCCCAUCCUUAUCAAUCUUUAAUCCUUGUGUUUACAUCUCAUCUUUGUUAUUCUUUAAACCCAAACAUUUUAACUCCUAUUAGAACCUUUAAGAGGGGGUAGGCGAUAACAAGACAAAGGAAACUAUUUUGGAAAAAGAAUAAAUUAUAUAGGACAUUUAAGAAAAUUCAUUAAGAAAAACAAUAAGAAUAUAGGUAUAUUUUAUUAAUUAAAGGAGGUGUGUUAUCAUUUUCCUAAGAGAUUUGGUUAUUGGCCUAGUUUUACAUAGAAUCAGGCGUGUGUAGUUUAGGCUUCAACCCUACUUUGUGAUACCCACUAAUAAGAAGAGGAAUUUUUUUUAUCAGCAAAUUAAGUAUGUAAGCAAGACAAGAAAUGUCAAAAGUAUCAAGCUACAACCUUGUAUAGGUCAGAUAUACAAAUCCUAAAGAUCACACUUACAAAAACUAGCAAACUUAAUCUUUCCCAAUUGCCAACUGCAUAUAGGAAGAUACACUAUUAAAUAUGUGACCAUUACCCUCCAAACAUGAGCUUUUUGGUUUCCCCACCUGAUAGUAUUCCUGACCCAAAGACAACCUUUACACCCAAGCCCAAGAGAACCAUUAACCGUCUUACCGGAUGGGCUAAUUUCAUCCAUUGAUUCAUUAGAAGCUUCUAUUAGAUUCUUUGAGAAAGUCUUAGAUUUAGCAAUGAGUUGUCACCCAAUGAUUGGGUUUUUUAUUUCAAUUAUGCUAUUUCCUUUCUAUUAAAAUGAGUUAUGUAAGAUGAGUAUAUAUGAUCUGUUGAGAAUGAAUAAAAAGGCAUUGAAAUAUUUUCUCAAAAAUUCCUUAUUCACUUUGAUUUUCUAGAGGUAUCCCUUGGCCUCGAAUUCAGGAAGAAUAUCAUUAACUCUUUCCAUUUUAUCACCUAUAAACUUAGGUGCUUUCAUUGAUCCUCCCCAUGGCUAACAACCCUCAUGCUCAGACUUAGGAAAAAGAGGUUGCUUGCCUCGAGGAUGUGCUUGCCAAUCUCACAAACACAAUUACCUCUGACCAAUAACCAGAGCUCCCUCCAUUCCAAACUCAAUGAUGUCCUUAAUCGUUUGAAAACCAUGGAACCUUUCCAUCAUAACUCCGACAUGAAAACUAUCCCAAAAUCCUCUCCAUCUAAGAGUUAUCGCUCUCACAUGAAGCUUGAGGUUCCCUACUUCAACAACAUCAACAUUAUCGAUUGGAUCAUUAAGAUCUCCCAAUUUUUUAACUACCAUAGCACGUAGGAGGAGGAACGUCUCCAUAUCGCAUCUAUUUACAUGGAUGGCCCUGCCUUGGGGUGGACCAAUUAGGGACGUUGACGGUUAAGAAGUGGCAUCAAUUAGGGGUGUACACGGGUCAAUUUGGUUAUAAUAUAGGAGAAAAUAAAAUCUGAACCAAUUCAUUUUAAUUGGUCUGAUUUGGUUCGAAUUUUAGAAUUGUUUUUGCCUAACCCGAACCAAACCAACCUAAUAAUGAAUGGAUUGGUUCACGUCAGGUCAUCAGAUAUCCAAUAAAAAAAAUAAAAAUAACAAAUAUUUUUUAAAAAUAGAAAGAUAACAUGAUUUUGUCCAAAUUUUGAAAAACAAUGUUGCAAUAAAAUAAUCUAGGCAGUAUAUUCAAUUGUAAUUUUACUUAUACUGACUAAAUAAUAGCAUAAAUUAUAAAAAAAAUAACAAGAUUGAUUGAUUAAAUCAUGAAACUCCAUCUAUAUAUAAUAAUAAAAAGGACUUAAACCAAAUUAUCUAACACAAACCUUGGUUUUAAAGACAAACUAAAGUGAAACAGAAUGAAAAGAUUCAAAAGACACACAAUAUUACGUAAGUUAAGCAUUAAAAAAUAAUAUAAAUAAUAUAUAUAUAUAUAUAUAUAUAUAUAUAUAUAUAUAUAUAUAUAUAUAUAUAUAUAUAUAGUUUGUUUGGUUCGGAUUUGGAAAGUUUGAAUCUAAUAAUUAAACCAAUCAAUAUUAGAUAUUUCAAUUGGUUUGGUUCAUGUCCAACCCAAACAAUAAAAAAAUUUGAAUGAUUCGGUUUUGAUUGUCGGAUUCAUUGGAUUGAUCUGAACUAAUAAACACUCCUAGUGUCAAUACCUGCCUGGACACUCCUUUGUUUUCCUUACAGAUUAUCGCAGCUUGAAGGAAUUGAUGUCUCACGCUAUGUAGACCCCCAAACAGUAUGUCUUCCUGGCCAAGCUCCUUGUCAUUGAUUACAUCAUCCAAUACAAACUAGGAAAGAUCAACAAUGUAGUUGAUGCCUUGUCACGUUCUCACAUUCCUCAUUUCUUCAUCAGGAGUUGUGUAGUUCUCCUAAUUUUCAGAGUUUGACCCAGUCUGUGGAGCAACAUCCCCAAGAUUAUGCUCACUAUAAAUUUUCCAAUGACAUUCUCUUCUUUAAGGGUCGUAUUUGGAUUAAUAAGGGUAAUUCUUUUUAUUCCUCUUCUCUUGGAUGAGUUUCACAAGUCACCAAUUGGGGGCCAUAUGAGUGUUGUGAAAACCUAUUGUCGCAUCAAGGGGAGCUUUUUCUGUCAGGCAUGAAACACGAUAUCUCUUAGUAUAUGCAGAAGUGUACUGACUAUCAACACGCCAAAUACCUCACUUAGAAGCCCCCUAGGUUAUUGCAGCCCAUUUCCCCACCUACUAAACUUUGGGAGGAUUUGUCCCUAGAUUUUGUAACUAGGUUACCUCCUUACCAUGGAUCUUUAGUUAUUCUGGUUGUGGUCGAUCACUUCUCCAAAGGCUCUCAUUUGGGCAUGAUUUCCACCUGCUUUACAGCUUCUAAGGUAGCACAACUCUUCAUUGACCUUGUUUGCAAUCUACAUGGGUUCCCUCAUAGUCUCAUUUCAGAUCAAGACCCAAUAUUUAUGAGUCACUUUUGGCAAGAGCUAUAUAAGCUAAGUGGUACUAAGCUUUGGAUGAGUACCUCUUACCAUCCCCAAAGUAAUAGCCAAAUUGAGGUGCUGAACAGAGUUUUGGAACAGUAUUUUGAUACAAACCCUUUUUGAGUAAGGGAGAACUCUAGGAAAUUAGGAAGAGGAAGAAAAAUAGAAAACUCAAUUCAUUUUAACUAACUUUCCAACAGUACUAUGGUUGCGUAUAUAUAGCAGCAUACUACACACUUAGCUGCUAUACACACACACUAACAACAAGCCAGUGCAUAUUCCUAACAAUCCUAACAAAAUUACUCUACAUAUUUUUCCUAUUAUUAUUUCCUAUAUUUAAUUACAGACUAAUAACAACUCUUUUGGGCCUGCCAAUAAAAAUUGGGUCGUAACAUUACUCCACCCUUUCACAACAACCUUGUUCUCAAGGUUUUGUGAUCUUGGCAAUCCUUGAAAGAAAGCAUAGCUGCAACAAUAAGAUUAAUAUGGUCCAUGUAUAUGGAAAGUGGCUACCAGACUUGUUGGAUUUGGAUCCUAAUCUUUCAUCAAAGUAGGCAUAUAUUGGUCUGUGGUUUAUUGAAAGCAUCCAAGUACAAAAUUCUAAUCAAUUUUCUCCUCAUUGUAAAUGGUAACCUCAAUGAUUUUACCAGCAAUCUAAGAAAAAUUCAAAGGCAUAUAAUGGCUUAAAUUCACUGCAAUCAACAUGAUCUCCCAAGUUCAACACUUCCCUUGAAUAAUAACAAUCCAUGCAGGCAACUAACAGAAUCUCUGUGGCAUCAACUAUUUCAACUAAUUUGUCACUUGCAGCAAUCAGUGGAGAUGGAUUUGAACAAUGAGAGCUAACACUUUGAGCUACACUUGGUGUUCUAAUUUCUUCAUGAAACAAAUCAAGGCCUUUAUUAUCUACUGUAUGCAAGCUAAUGUCUUUUUUACAGUCUUUUGUCAUUCUUAGAAGGUAGAAUGAUUGAAGCAUUACUUCUUAACAACAAAUUCUCAAAGUAACCAAAGAUAUUGAAAGAUGGUAUAAGUGUGGCAUACCUAGAAUCUGAAGCAUAUGGUGCAUAAGUGAUCAAGAACUCAAUGUUGAUUCUUUGAAAGUCUUAACUACUUCACUAUUUCGAAAGGUAUUUUCCAUGUGUUUUUUAGUUUCUAUAAAUAAGCUCCUGAGGUGUAUCUCUUGAAAAUCUACCUUUGACUUCAAAACCAUCAUUUUCACAUCUCCUUCGAAGAUUGUUCAUAGUGAGAUUUGCCAAUUGAGAUACAAGUUGAAAAGGAUUUUCUCAUGAUCUCAUCAACUCCCGAGCUCUUAUAAUUGUAUCUAAAGUGUUAGUUUCAAAGCUAGAUUUAGUAAAUCAAGCAACUCAACAUAAAAAUGAUCCCAAACAGCUUGUAAGCUAAAGAAAUGAUGAUUUGUUUACCAAGAAAACUCAUCUGAUUGUGGAUCAUUUCUGCAUCCCUAACAAAACCACAAGAUUGUGCAACAAUGAACUGCAAUUAAUCUAAAUCUAUGCUUAUCCUUGGGUGUGGCUACCAGACAAGGCACAAUGUAUAAAGUUGGAACAUCUGUAUUCAGAGAGAUUGCAUGAUUGGAUAAUGAAGGUAUACACAUACAAAUAUUUUGAAUAUAUCUUUUCUCAACUACAUCUGAUGGAGAGAAGAGUUCAACGUCAGUCAAUCCCAGAGAUUUGCAAUUAUGCAUAAAUGAAUCAACAUUAGAAUGAAUAAGUCUUGUAGCUCGUGAUGUUCUUCUUAGAAGAAAAAGGCUGGAUUGGUAUAGUUUUAUAUGCGCUAACUCCACGUGCUUUACCGACAACAGUUUUCACACCACUUUUGAUACUUGAAACACCUUGAGACCUUUGGGAAUCAUGACAUAGUUUCAUCAUAAAACUCUUCCUCUACAAGCAUAGAAGUUUUGCCUUUGGUUCCAGAAGGUUCUUAAAGAUAUUGCUUCGAUCAUUAUGGUGAGUGGAGAAACAAGAGGCAUCAUUGUUGUAGCCUUAUUCUAAAUAGUAAUAAAACCCUUGAGGCUAUGGUGGUGAUGGGAAUGGAAAUCUUCAUAAAGAAGGGUGUACUUACCAAAAUCCAGAACUGGCAUCGUGUCGUACUGGUUGGGGAACUUCUCGCCCUCGCGAAUGGGUGCAACCUUCUACUGCUUCUGGGGAGCCUAUCCCAGUUAUUGUGAUCCUCCCCUCUUCUGCUUCUUGGGGUGUGAGGAAAGGUAGUGGCGGUGAAGAUGUUAGGGCGUAUCCUCGAGUGUGAUGUAGCCAUAGCACUAGGUCGCCAUGGUAAGGGACAACGUUUUGAAAUACAAGUCCUCUCUCACCUCGAUUGCGAGUGUGACUACUCUUCAACGCCAGGUGAAACUGGCGAGCCUUGAAUACUCAUGCAAGUUAGCCAUUCAGGCUUGUAAGAGUAAUGACUUCCUUUUUUUUAAGGCAGCGUCGAGUAAUCCGCCCUUCUAUUUUAAGUAUAGGUAUUUGUUUGAGGUCUUGGGUCUUACUCUCCCCUUGAUCGCCUUCCAAUGUACUCUACUUGAGUACUUGAAUAUGGCUUCUUCUCAGCUGCACCAAACAAUUGGGCAAUGGUGAGAGCUUUUGAAAUUUUGUUCCAUUUCUUUAACAUCCGGCCUAGUGUGUUGAUCAUCUUGUUUUUCUUUCAAAUGAAGCUAACUGGUAGGAUAGGUUGGGUCUCCUUUAACAACGUGUCUAAGAAGUGAUUUGAAUUUGACUCAAACAUCUUUCACCAUUUUAAGGAUCGACUCUUUAAGGUCCUGUCUACUGAUGUCGUGACUGAUGGUUUGUCAUUGAUGUUCAAUAGGGACGGGGAGCCCCACUUCCUGUUUUACUGGUAGUUUGACCCUGCCAGGUUCAAGUUCUUUGACGAGGAUUUGUUGACACUUGUGGAGAGGGUUGACAAGGCUAUUUUGGAGUAGCUCCUAGCCUCACUGGACACACGGGCCAUUUUGUUUUGUAAGUAUUAUGGGUAACUUUUCCUGGAGGCCACUCGUGAAGUAGGUCAAACCUGCGAGUGGGAUUCCACCAUCAUUUAUUGCUGCUGCUACUAUUGGAGAAGAGGGUCAACCUAUUGGUGAGGUUGGCCUUAUUGCUAUUGUUGCCAAGGUCACCCUCAGUGCUCCUUCCUCCGUUUUGGCAAAGAUGAAACGGGAUGAUGGUGUUGGGUCGUCUGGUCGUAAGAAGGAAACGGCUCCUAUGAGUCCUCAUGCCUUAAGGUAGGCUGCAGAGUUGACACCCAAUACGAGUCGCCCUUCGAUCAUGUAGGAUGUAUCUCUGGCUUCACUAAUCGUCGAGGCUCCUAUUGUUGAUGCUUCCACUCCUGCUCCUUCACCUCCUUUUGAAGGUUUUGUUUAGGAGGCCACUCAUACUAUUGUUGAAGUUAGUGUGCUAACUACUUUGGCUGGUUCUAUUUUGGCGUCGUCGUCCACCGUUGUUGCACCUUUGUUGACUAUCAGUGUGGCAACCACUAGUGCUCUUACAGUGUUGCCUCCUUCCUCUUAAGCUCAAAUGGUCUAUACCUCUGCUGUUUUAGCAAUGGCAUUGCCUUCUUCGUCUUUUCACCCUUGGGUUGUAGAAGCAAAGCUUUAUGGCGAAUCAAAGGUGAUUCAAAGGAUCAACUGUGUGUGUGUUUUGAUGAUAACAAUGAUGAUAACAAAAGAUGAUGACAAAGGUGAUGACAAAAAGCUCAAAGAUCAAUCAAAGAACAACUCAAGUGAUCAAGAUAGAAUCAAGAACAAUUCAAGAGUUCAAGAUAGAAUCAAGAAGAAUUCAAGACUCAAGAGGAAAGUUAAGAGUCAAGAAUCAUGAUUCAAGGUUCAAGAUUUCAAGAAUCAAGAUCAAGAUUCAAGAAUCAAGAGAAGGCUUAAUCAAGAUAAGUAUGAAAAGUUUUUCUCAAAAAUUGAGUUGCACAUGAUUUUUCAUAAAACAUGUUUACCAAAGAGUUUUUACUCUCUGGUAAUCGAUUAACAGAUUAUUGUAAUCGAUUACCAGUAGCAAAAUUGUUUUGAAAAAGUUUUCAAAUUGAAUUUACAACGUUCCAAUUAAUUUCAAAAAGUUGUAAUCGAUUACAAUGUUUUGGUAAUCGAUUACCAGUGCCUUUGAACGUUGAAAUUCAAAUUCAAAAGUGAAGAGUCACAUCUUUUCACGUAAAAGCUUUGUGUAAUUGAUUGCACUGAUUUGGUAAUCGAUUACCAGUGAUUGUUUCUGAAUAAAAUCAAAAGUUGUAACUCUUCAAACAAUUUUUGACUUUUUCAAAUGGAUUUUUAAGUUUUUCUAAAAGUCAUAACUCUUCUAAUGGUUGUCUUGACCAGACAUGAAGAGUCUAUAAAAGCAAGGCUUUGUUUUGCAUUUAAAAAUCUUGAAUACUUUUCCAAUCAAUCUUAUACAAUCCUUUACAAGCCUUGAAUCUCUUUGAACUUCUUCUUCUUCUUUGUACCAAAAGCUUUCCAAAGUUUUCUGGUUUUCUAAACCUUGAAAACUUGUGCUAUUCAUUCUUUUCUUCUCUUCUCCCUUUGCCAAAAAGAAUUCGCCAAGGACUAACCGCCUGAAUUCUUUUUGUGUCUCUCUUCUCCCUUUUCCAAAAGAAAAAAGGACUAACCGCCUAAAUUCUUUUGUGUCUCCCUUCUCCCUUGUCAAAGAAUUCAAAACGACACUGUCUGAGAAUUCUUUUGAUUCUUCCCUUUCCCUAAUACAAAAGUGUUCAAAGGACUAACCGCCUGAGAAUUCUUUUGUAUCCCCAUUCACAAAGUAUCAAAGGUUUAAUAGUCUGAGAUCUUUGUCUUAACACAUUGGAGGGUACAUCCUUUGUGGUACAAGUAGAGGGUACAUCUACUUGGGUUUGACUGAGAACAAGAGAGGGUAAAUCUCUUGUGGAUCAGUUCUAGUGGAGGGUACAUCCACUAUGUUCAAAGAGAACAAGGGAGGGUACAUCCCUUGUGGAUCUUUGCUUGUAAAAGGAUUUUUACAAGGUUGAAAAAAAUCUCAAGGACCGCUGGUCGCUUGGGGACUGGAUGUAGGCACGGGUUGUUGCCGAACCAUUAUAAAAACUCUUGUUUGUUUGUCUCCUUCUUCCCUACUCUUUUAAUUUCCGCUGUGCAUUUAAUUUCCGCUUUUACUUUCUGUUAAGUUUCUCUUCUACUCCUCAUUCUCUUAACAAUUUAGUAAAAGCCUUAGAAGAGUAAUUUUUAAUUAGUAAAGGUUUAGGAAUAAUUAAUUCCACCCCCCUUCUUAAUUAUUUUGAGGCCACUUGAUCCAACAUGGGUCUCCUUGGAUCAUUUGUAUACCUCUAGUGAUAUUGAUUCACUAUGGGGUGAAACUUACAAGCCGAAGCAGAAGACCCAGGUUAACUUUGGGUCAACCUUUGAUAAGAACUUUAUUAGGUGAAUUGGGGUGCAGCACACUACAAAUUCUGUCAAAGUCUUUCUCAAGAGAAGUUUGGUGAUUCAGGAAGAGAAUGGACAGUGGCACCAAGAGGCUUUGCACAAGGUGGUGUCCAUGGAGGCAGAGGUCGCCAAAUGGAGGGCUACUACUCACACUGUUUAGAGAAUGGAGUGCUCUAAGGUGGCAAAUGCAACCAUCAUCUUUGCUUUGGCCAUAGGCCGAACCAACUGUCUUCCAAAGUUGGUGGUGUGUUGGCCAAGUUGCUGCGUACCAGGUUGGAUGGUGAUGAAUUGUUCAAAUGCUACAAAGACUUGCAGAUGGAGAGAAAGGACUUGGUUGGCAAGGUGGAGAGCACUGCGGAGUCCAAGUUGUGAGCUACCAAGGAGAGGAAGGCCAGCAAGGAGCUUGAGGAGGAGCUUCUUGUUUACAAGAAGAAGGUCAUGGAGCAACAUGGCAAAGGAUUCAACAAGACCAUCAGGUAAGCUGGGUUCUUUGCCAAGGACCUUGACUUGAGUCUCUUUUACCCUUUCAAGGAUGUGAAGGAUGGUGCUCUUCUUGGCAAGGAGUACAUUACUAUAGAGGAGGAGGCUGUUGAUGAGGAGCAGGGUGCUGCGGAGCAAGGCGAUGAUGCCUAUGUCUAGGCUGCUUUCUAUUUAUCUUCUUUCUUCAUUGUUUGAAUUUUGACUGUACAGGCCUUGUAACUAUGGAAAUUUUCUUCAAUGCAUAGGUUUUCCUUUGAUGACAAAUUUGUUAUUGUGUAUGUAUGUCUUGUGUGUAUGGCUUUGUUUAUGCAAUGCUCUAUGGUAGUAGGAAUAGGUCGUCAUGAUGAUAAGUGUGGAAUCUUUGACGGUGUAGGAAACAAGACCUUGUCGAUGUAGAGGUAGGACUGUGGUGGUCUUAUAAAAGAAGAUGACAUAAAUUAUCCCAGGUUUGAUUUCAACCUAGUUAUAAGUCUUGUCACCCAUCCGGUGGGGCUCUCUUUUGGUUUGUGGAGUUUUUCCCCUGAUGCUUACGAGGAGUGUGUUUGACUUGCCCUUGGUUGAAGGUCUUGCCAACCAAUAUGGGGGGUAAGUCGCUUGACCUAUGAAGUUUUUCCUCUGAUGGUUAUGAGGAGUAAGUAUGACUUUCACCUGAUUGUAGGUCUUGCCACCUAGUCUAGUGGCAACUCGUUUGUUGAACAUAGACCUUUGGAAGUUGUCGUCCUAGUUGCUACGAGUGAGCAGACCAAGGGGGAGCCUUGGUUUUUAUAGGAGUGCAUACCAAGGGUGGACCUUGGGUUUUGGAGGAGUUCAUACCAAGGGUCAACCUUGGGUUUUUGAUAUACUUGUAUUCUUGCACAAAUAAAAAUUAAGUACUAAUGAGGAUUACCAAGGGUGAACCUUAGGUUUGUCUAGUCUUGGACUGGGGACAUGUUUUCCCUAGGCUUUGUCAAGCUCGUGGAGCUGCAUCGAGGAUUACCAAGGAUGAGCCUUGGAUUUUGUGAAACUUUGAGGAUUACCAAGCAUGAAUCUUAUGUUUGUCGAGUCUUAUAUGUAGCGCAAGUGUUGUGCUCUUGCAUACAUGGCAUUCACGUGGAUGCAUGAACUGAAGACGUAAUAGCAUGCUCUUAUGUACGUGUCACUUAUGAAGUGGCACGUACUGGAGACAUAGUGGUGUUAAUCAGUAGAACUCACCAAAGGUAGACCUUGGGUUUUGUGAGCCCUUUGGGUGUCGUGCUCUUGCAUACAUGCCACUCAUCGUGUGUGGCACACACUAGAGACAUGGUGGUAUGCUCUUGCAUACAUGUCACUCACCACGGGUGAUGUAUAUUGGAGUUAGGGUGGUGUGCUCUUGCAUAUAUGUCACCUGUCGUGGGUGGCAUAUACUAGAGUCAUGGUGGUGUGCUCUUGCAUAUAUGUCACUCGCCGUGGGUGGCAUAUAUUGGAGUCAUAGUGGUGUGCUCUUGCAUAUGUCACUCAUCAUGGGUGACAUAUACUAGACUCAUAGCAGUGUGCUCAUGCAUACAUGUCACUUGUCGUGGGUAACACGUACCAGAGUCAUAGUAGUGUGCUCAUGUGUACAUGUCACUCACCUACAUGUAAUGGAGACUUAGUAGUAUGCUUGUGCAUACACGUCACUCGCGGUGGGUGACACAUACUAGAGUCGUAGUAGUAUGCUUGUGCAUACAUGUCACUCAACAUAGGCGACACAUACUAAAGAUAUGAUAGUGUGCUCAUGUGUAAAUGUCACUUGCUGUGGGUGGCACAUAAUGGAGACUCAGUAGUGUGCUCAUGCAUACAUGUCACUCGCCGAGGGUGACACGUACUAGAGUCUUAGUGCUAGAAUGAGGGCUUACCAUUGGUGGUGCUUGGGUUUUAAGAGCCUUACAGCCACAACUAUGGAUGCACUUGUCUUGAUAAGACAAAUGUGAGACUUGAGUCUCUGGAAUGUUUUCCAAUAUAGGUUAUCAGUUGAUGCAAUCCUACCUCGUAAGGGCAUUGGAUAGAAGACUCCAAGUAAAUUGGGCUAGAGAUCCAAGGGAAGGCCCUAGGGUUCUCAUGAGCCUUAGGGUAGAUUUCGAGCCCAUGGGCUAAGUAUGAGCCCGCUUAUCUGUAAAUAUUAGAAUAGGUUUUUCCUUCUUUUGGGCCUUGCAUUUUGGCCAUUCUUGUAGUAUAGGGUUUUAGCCUUGUAUUUGAGGGCAUUUUGGGUAGUCUUUGUAGUAGGGACUUUUUUUUGUAUUUUCAUGUAUUUUGUCAAGGAGGUGAGCUUAGUUUUUAGAUGGGUGUGUGUAGCUAAGCUCUAGCUUCUCAAGGAAGUUUUCUCAAAGAAGCUUCUCAAGGAAGUUUUCUUAAGAAAGCUUCUCAAGGAAGCUACCUAGUCUAUAAAUAGAAGCAUGUGUAACACUUGUUGUAACUUUGAUGAAUGAGAGUGUUGUGAGACACAACUCAAAGUUCAACUUCUCUCCCUUUUUCUUCCUUCAAUUUCGUGUUCCCCCUUCUCUCUUUCUCUCCCUCUUUCUUUUCCUCCAUUGAAGCAUCCUCUCCAAGCUUCUUAUCCAAGGCUCAUCUUGGUGGUGAAGCUCCUUCUUCCAUGGCUUAUUCCCUAGUGGAUGGCGCCUCCUCUCACCUCUUCUCCUUUGUCUUCCACUGCAUCUCCAUGGUGGAAAAUCACCAUUAAAGGACCUCAUUGAAGCUCAAAGAUCCAGCCUCCAUAGAAGCCCCACAAGCAAGCUUCCAACUGGCUUGGUCGAUGAGGACCUUGGAAACCAUGAAGUUUGCAAUGAUGAUGGAGACAACCACGGGGUCAUCUUGGUUGACGAGGUUGAUACCCUUGAAGUCCCUACCCAUGAAAUUGAUAGGAGGGACACUUUGUUGUGAUGAUGCAUUAACAAAAUUGAUGUUAAUGUCUCAAAUGGCAUGAACAUGAUGUUUUUGAGACUGCCUAGACUAUCCUCCAUAAGAAAAUCUGCCUGCAAUGGUGUUGAUUACACCUCUAAUCUGUUGGGCGGGUUCCUAUUCUUGUGGAGGUUGUCGCUCACACCAUUGUUGUUGGUGUCUCUAUCUUCCUCGAUCUUCUACUUUGUCUCUUAUUUUGUCUGCUUCAUGAUUCCUACAUUGCUCCUCUUGGUGUCCUCCAGGUCUUGCUUCUACUUGGUGGUUGUCUAGCCUUUUGACAAACUGGGCUAGGUACCUAGCUUGUAUAAGCUCCCUAUCUUGUCCUUUAGGACCUAGCAGUCUUCUGUGUUAUGACCAAUAGCACAAUGAUACCUAUAGUAUUUCAUUACAUCUAGCCCUGACCUAGGAGGUUUCCUCGGGGGUGGUCUACUGAGUUCCUCCAAGUCGAAGCUUCCUCUAGAAUUGUAGUGUGAUUGGUUGUUAAGGAUUUGUAACGCUCAUACCUAGGCCUUUUUGGGAGAGGUUGGCACUUGUCUGGGUUGUGCCUCUUGUCCAACUUGUGUAAGUUAGUCUUGGUGGCUUCCUUCUCACUUAUUGCAUUUUUGUCCAGGUUAUCUGACUUCAUUCCUGAAUCUGGACAUUUCUUUCAUCUGGAUGUAGCCCUUGGCUCAUUCACACAACUCAUCCAUUCUACCAGGGGGUUUUUUGCACAAAUUUUCUGUGCCGUAGGGUGAGGAGCAUGGAAUGCAAUGUUACCUUGGCAAGUAUAUUCUUAAAUAUUGCUCGAGUGAGCGAUAGAGAGAUGUGCAUAGGAAAUGAGACUUAAGAAUCAAGGAAGUCAUCACUUAGUCCAUUAUGUAAGCCACCAAGGGAAUCAAGGAGCUAGAAAGAAAUAUAUGAAGAAGCAUGAUAAAGGCAAAGGGCCAUUAAAGAUCAAUGAGGCAUCAAUGCAAAUCUAGAAGAAAGCAUCAAAGAGAAAUAAUUGUCACUUUUGUGGGAAAGCUGAACAUUUUUAGAUGGAUUGCCCAAAACACAAGGCUUGGUUUGAAAAGAAAUGGAUUUCUUACAAUCCAAAUCAUAAGCCCAAAUGAGAAGUUUGUCUUUAUGAAAAAUAGAGUGAUAGCUCUAGUGGAAGCAGUUGAGACUUAUUGUUUAAUCCUUGACACUAAACAUCAUUUAGAAUUAUUGGAAACUCUUUAUGCACCUAGAUUAUCUAUGAAUUUGGUUUUAUUAUCUAAACUCAAUGUUAUUGGAUACUCUUUUAAUUUUGGAAAUGAAUGUUUCAAUUUGUUUAAGCAUAAUGAUCUCAUUGGUACUAGUAUUCUUUGUCAUGGUUUAUAUAAGUUGAAUUUAAAUGGUUUUAUAUGUUGAAACGAUUUUGACUCUACAUCAUAUUAUACACUAAACACAAUUUAGUGAAUGAAUGUUGCGCUUUUUAUGGCAUAAACCUUUAGGUCACAUUUCUAGAUAAAGAAUGGAAAAAUCAAUAAUUUGAAAAUCUAGAUUUUACAAAUAUGAAUAUUUAUGUGGAUUGUAUUAAAGGAAAACAAAAAAAAAACACACAAAGAAAGGUGCUACAAGAAACACUCUACUUCUUGAAAUUAUGCACACUGACAUUUGUGAACCCUAUUAUGUUAGUUCUUUCCGAAAAGAAAGGUAUUUUAUCACACUAUUGUGUUGGACAAGUGACCUCAAUAACUUAAGAUGGGGGUGAAUUAAGUUUCAAAAUUUUCCACUAACAAACUUUUAACCCCCUUCUAAAUGAUAGGCUCAGAAUGCACAAAAAGAAGGAGCAAUCAAUUUAAUAAUGUUCUUUAAACAUGCAAGCUAAAUUGAUUGCAAUAACAUAAAUGAGAUAAGGGAAGAGAGAAAUACAAACUUGAUUUAUAUUGGUUCGGCCACUUCCUAUGCCUAUGUCCAGUCCUCAAGCAACCUACUUGAGAUUUUCCACUAUCUCUGUAAAUCCUUUAUAGACUUUGAACACACCUUGGAUCCCUCACCCUUAUGUUCAAAGAUUCUCCAAGAGACAACCUGUCUCUUGAUGACAACUGACUUUCUGAGAUGAAUAGAAAGAUUUCUCUCCUUUAGAGUGGAUGAUACAAAUUGAAGUUCCUAGAGGAAUUUCUCUCUUUUAGAGAAGAUAAUACAAUUUGAAAUUCCAGGAUGAAUUCUCAAUAUAUUUGCAAGUGUUUGCCCAAGAGUUGUUGAGAGUGCAUUUGGCAAUUAAGUUAUCUUAGAAUAUCUCUCUCUGACUUUUUGAAGUCAGGCACACAUAUAUUUAGGCCCUUCGUGCCUUUUCAAAAUGGUUUGAAGAGAUGUAUCUUUUCAAAAAAAAAAUUUCUGAAAUUCUUCACUGAUAAUCAAUUACAGGUUUUUGGUAAUCGAUUACAUAGUUAUAUUUUGAAGGGUCAUGACUUUUCAAAGUGUUAUAUGAAGUUUCCUUGCUGGUAAUCAAUUACAAACAUCUGGUAAUCGAUUACAUGAUUCAAAAUUCAAAUUCAAAACCCUUUUAAAAACAUGAUUUUCAAAAUUGUCUUCUGGUAAUCUAUUACCAGAGCCUUGGAUGUUGGAAACAAUGCGUUUUAGGAAAAAGCUUGAUCUACCAAUUGUUGGACCUUGUGGCCUCAAUAAUCUUAAGAGGGAUAGGCUUAGAAUACAGAAGAAGCAACAACAAUCAAUUUAACAAUGUUCUUUAAACAUGCAAGACACAAUUGAUUGCAACAAAAUAAAUAAGAUAAGGGAAGAGAGAAUGCAAACACAGUUUUAUACUGGUUCGGCCACAACCCGUGCCUACGUCUAGUACUCAAGCAACCCACUUGAGAUUUCCACUAUCUUUGUAAAAUCCUUUACAAAGUCUGAACCACACAGGGACAACCCAUCCCUUGUGUUCAGAUGCUUUACAACAAGAGACUCAUAGUCUCUUAACCAAUCUCUUUGAAUAAGAAGAACAGAAGAAGAAUUCUCUCUUCAAGAGAAGAAUAUUACAAUGAAGAUCAUGUAAGAAUCCUUAUAGAUUUUGCAAGUGUUUGGUCAAGGAUUUCUUUUGAGAGAGCAUUUGACAAUGAAGUUCUUUUGGAAUCUCUCUCAUUGUCUUUUGAGAGGAUAAGACAUUUUGGACCAAAAAUACUCUCUGCAUAAAAUUCGUGCCCAAGUCACCUAUUUAUAGGCCUUUGAUGGCCAUUCACAAAUCUAAUGAAAAGAUGUGACUGUUGGCAGAUUUUCUGAAAACUUUCCACUGGUAAUCGAUUACAAUGUUUGUGUAAUCGAUUACACAGUUAUAAUUUGAAGGGUUAUGACUUUUGAAUUUGAAUUUCCAAAGUUUCGUUGCUGGUAAUCGAUUACAGACAUAUGGUAAUCGAUUACAUGUUGAAAAUUCAAAUUCAAAACAUUUUUCAACAGCUAUUUCUCAACCCUGUCUUCUGGUAAUCGAUUACUAGAGCCUUGAAUGUCUUGAAAACACUUUGUUUUAAGGCAAGGCUUGGUCUUUAAUGAAUCUUGAAACAUGGCUUUGCUUGUUGAAGCACUCUUGAAUUAUUCUUGAAGCAAAUGCUUUAUCAUUUGAAGCAGCCUUGUUUGAUUCUUCUUUGACAUCAUCAAAAUCAUGUAUACAUACAUUCACAUUCUCCCCCUUUUUGAUGAUGACAAACAUGUGAUUUCUUCUCGACACCAUCAAAGCUUGCAUGAUUUACAUCUCCCUCUUUCUCAAGCAAAUUCUUCUUGAUAUCAUCAAAAUCUUCAUGAUUUACAUUCUCCCCCUUUUUGAUGAUGACAACCACCUGUAGGUUAGGAGCAACAACAAAGAAAAUAUCUAUUUGCAUAUAGUUUACUCCCCCUUGGUUUUACAAUGAUUGCUUAUAUGAGACAAUUGAAGAUUUCAUAUUUUUCAUAUAUAAAAAGUAGUCUCAUAAAACAAUAGAUAAUUUUUCUUACUAUUUUAUCUUUUAUCUUUCUCUCCCCCUUUGUCAACAUAAAAAACAAAUCAUGAAUAGAAAGGAGAAAGAUGUUACCACUUGUUGCAAUGUAUGAGAAUAAGUGAUACCAAAAGGCAUUAAAACAAUCAUUCAAUAUUAAUCAAGCAAAAACAAGUACAAUAACACAUCAAUCAAACACAAUCAAUCAUCAAAUAUUUCAAAUCAAAUUAAUUAAAUUAACAAUCAACUAACUAUACACAAUAAUUUCUAUUAUUAAAAAAAAAUUCAAAAUUCAAAAUUCAAAUUUCAAAUUUCAAAUUUCAAAUUUUUAAAAUUUUAAAUUUAAAUUUUAAAUUUUAAAUUCCAACUUCCAAUUUCAACUUUUAGUAACUUCCCCUUCCAACUUCCAACCUCCAUUUUCAACUUUCAACUUUCAAUAACUUUCAUUUCCAACUUCCAACUUCCAGUAACUUCCACUUCCAACUUCCAACUUCCAUUUUUAACUUUCAACUUCCAAUAACUACUUCCAACUUCCAACUUUCAAAUUUCAAAUUUUUAUUUUCAAUUUUCAAAUUUAACUUUUCAAAUUUCAAAUUUCAAUUUCAAAAUUUCCUUUUCUAAAUUAAAUAGUUUUCUUAAAACAUGAAACUAAUUUGAAAAGUUUAAUAGAUUCUUUAAAAACAAUCAAAAACUCAAUCAGGAACAAACAUCAAAGACAAUCAAACACACAAUAAAAAAAUACAAUCAAUCAAUCAUCAAACACAGUCAAUCAAAUUCAAUCACAAUCAUCAAGGACAAUCUAAACUCAAGUAGAAAACAAGCAUCAAAAGUAAUCAAUCAAAGACAAGUGACCUGUUGGUAUCAUUUGAUAUUACUUGUUGGGGUUGUUGAUCAAGUGGCCUUUGUUUGUUGUCUCCAUAAAUCGCAUAUUCACUUUUCUUGGGGAGAAAUGUGGCAUUCGUUUGUUGUCUCCAUAAAUCACAUAUUCAUUUAUCUUGGGGAGAAAUAUGAAUAAACUUUGAUGCAUGCCAUGUGUUUGGAGAAAUUGCUAUCAAUGUAUCGACUUUGUUCUUCUCCAUUUUCAUAGUCUUUCAUCAUGAUACCCAAACUUAUGAUUUUCUUCUCUGAAUCACUUGAAUAAUUUAUGGCAUUAUCUUCCCAAGUGAUAUAUCCUUUCUUUUCUUUCUUCUCUUUGAAAUUCAUCUUGUCGGAUUUUUCCAUUCUUCUUUUAAACACAGGACAAUUGAAUCUCAUGUGCCCAAGUUGAUCGCACUUAGCAUUUUGGGGCUAAAGAGGAAUCUUCUUCUUUCUUCUUUCAUCAUCAUCUUUUUUCUUCUCUAGUUUUUUUUUAUAUAUAUAGUUGCAUUUCUCUCUACCAUUGUAGGAAUAAAGGAAUCAAAUUCAAUGGCUUCCCAUAUCUUUAGAUCUAUGGCUUCUAUAAAGAUAUGCAUUCGGGUUAUCCAAUAAUGAUAACCUUCACCAUUGAACAUAAGAGCCUAUUGAUAGAAUUUCCCUCAGGAAAUGGAAAUUUGGAUGAGGCCAUAUCUAUUCUUGAAGUUUUUAAACUUUAUACUAGAAUCCCGCUCUGAUACCACUUGUUGGACCUUGUGGCCUCAAUAAUCUUAAGAGGGAUAGACUUAGAAUACAGAAGAAGCAACAACAAUCAAUUUAACAAUGUUCUUUAAACAUGCAAGACACAAUUGAUUGCAACAAAAUAAAUAAGAUAAGGGAAGAGAGAAUGCAAACACAGUUUUAUACUGGUUCGGCCACAACCCGUGCCUACGUCCAGUACUCAAGCAACCCACUUGAGAUUUCCACUAUCUUUGUAAAAUCCUUUACAAAGUCUGAACCACACAGGGACAACCCAUCCCUUGUGUUCAGAUGCUUUACAACAAGAGACUCACAGUCUCUUAACCAAUCUCAUGGAAUAAGAAGAAUAGAAGAAGAAUUCUCUCUUCAAGAGAAGAAUAUUACAAUGAAGAUCAUGUAAGAAUCCUUAUAGAUUUUGCAAGUGUUUGGUCAAGGAUUUCUUUUGAGAGAGCAUUUGACAAUGAAGUUCUUUUGGAAUCUCUCUCAUUGUCUUUUGAGAGGAUAAGACAUUUUGGACCAAAAAUACUCUCUGCAUAAAAUUCGUGCCCAAGUCACCUAUUUAUAGGCCUUUGAUGGCCAUUCACAAAUCUAAUGAAAAGAUGUGACUGUUGGCAGAUUUUCUGAAAACUUUCCACUGGUAAUCGAUUACAAUGUUUGUGUAAUCGAUUACACAGUUAUAAUUUGAAGGGUUAUGACUUUUGAAUUUGAAUUUCCAAAGUUUCGUUGCUGGUAAUCGAUUACAGACAUAUGGUAAUCGAUUACAUGUUGAAAAUUCAAAUUCAAAACAUUUUUCAACAGCUAUUUCUCAACCCUGUCUUCUGGUAAUCGAUUACACUUCCUGGUAAUCGAUUACUAGAGCCUUGAAUGUCUUGAAAACACUUUGUUUUAAGGCAAGGCUUGGUCUUUAAUGAAUCUUGAAACAUGGCUUUGCUUGUUGAAGCACUCUUGAAUUAUUCUUGAAGCAAAUGCUUUAUCAUUUGAAGCAGCCUUGUUUGAUUCUUCUUUGACAUCAUCAAAAUCAUGUAUACAUACAUUCACACCAAUGAGAUUAUUUGAGGCCUUAUCUUUUUUCUUGAUCUUGUUUGUUUGACCUUGAAUUAAUCUUGAAGCGCUUAACCUUUGAAUGUUUGUUGAAGUAACCUUAUAAGCAACCUUGUUUGAUUCUACUUUGGCAUCAUCAAAACCCUGCAUUCAUACAUUCACACACUGAUGAUUAUUCAUGUUGUGGUUAUGUCUACUUAUUGCAUGAGAAAUCUCAAGUAGUAUAUGCUUAUUUGAAUGAAAUAGAAAGACAAUUAGACAGAAAAGUGAAAGUUGUUAGGUUGGAUAGAGGCGAUAAGUACUACAAAGGUAUGAUGAAACUGGGCAACACCUAGGUCCAUUUGCUAAACUCCUUUAGAAACAUGGUAUUCCUGCGUAAUAUACAAUGUCAGGUACACCACAACAAAAUGGUGUAUUAGAAAAGUGUAACAAAGCAGUAAUGGUUAUGGUUAGGAGUAUGUUAAGUAAAUCCAAUUGACCAAUAUUUUUAUGGAUGUAUGCAUUCAAAAUUGUCAUGUUUUUGUUGCAUAGCAUUCCUAGUAAGGCUAUUCCGAAGGCACCUUUUGAACUAUGGACUAAUAAGACAAUAAGGAUUUAUAAUCCGCAAGAAAAGAAACUAGAUGCAAGAAAAAUCAAUGGAUAUUUUGUUAGUUAUCCAAAAAAAAUCAAAAGGGUAUAAGGUUUAUAAUAUGAGAAUCGUUGAAACUAGAAAUGCAUGGUUCAUUGAAAAUGGUCAAAUAAGUGGGAGUACAGUUCCAUGAAAUGUGGAAAUUAAAGAAGUUAACGUGAAAGUUCCUUUAACUUGUGAAUCUAGCAAUAAACUGAGUGUUUUUCUAGAUGUUGUUCCAAACAACAAUGAAGAAGAAGAACACAAUAAUGAGCCUAUAAUUCAAAAUGAACCUAUUGUAGAAGAACCAUAAGAAGUAGCACUAAGGAGGUCUUAAAGAGAAAGAAUGCCAGCUAUUUCAAAAGAUUAUGUGGUAUAUCUACAUGAAUUUGAAAUUGAAUUAGGCAUUAUAUAUUGAUGAUGAUCCAAUUUUGUUUUCACAACCUGUAAGUUGUGAUAAUUUUGAUAAGUCAUUGGAAGCCAUGAAAAAAGAGUUAAGAUCCAUGAAAUAGAACGGUGUUUGGGAUCUUGUAGAAUUGCCAGAAGAUUGCAAGUGAGUUGGUUGUAAGUGGGUCUUUAAGACUAAACGUGACUCUCAUGACAACCUUGAAGAUUACAAGGAUAGACUUGUUGCCAAGGGUUUUACUCAGAUAGAUGGUGUUGACUAUAAAGAGAUAUUCUCAAUAGUCUCACGAAAGGAUUCUUUAGGAUUAUCAUGGUACUGGUAGCCCAUUAUGACUUGGAGUUACAACAAAUGGAUGUGAAAAUUGUCUUUCUUAGUGAAGAUUUAGAGGAGAAUAUUUACAUGGAACAACCAAUGGGGUUCUUAGUUAAAGGAAAAGAACACAUAGUGUGCAAAUUAAAGAAAUCAAUAUAUGAACUUAAGCAAACUUCCAGUCAAUGGUAUUUGAAGUUUAAUGAUAUUAUUGUUUCCUUUAGAUUUAAGGAAAACAUUGUUGAUCAAUGUAUAUAACUGAAGGUCAGUGGGAGUAAGGCUAUAUUUCUAAUUUUGUGUGUUGAGGAUAUCUUGCUUGCAACUAAUGAUCUUGGUCUUCUUCAUGAGACUAAGAAGUUUCUCUCUAGUAAUUUUGAAAUGAAGGAUAUGGGUAAGGCAAGCUAUAUAGUAGGAAUAAAAAUGUUCUAAAACAAAUCACAAGGGUUGUUAGGCUUGUCCCAUAAAGCAUAUAUCAAUAAAGUACUAGAGAGGUUCAAGAUGGAAAAUUAUUCAACAUCAUCCGUUCCAAUUCAGAAAGGAGACAAGUUUAGUCUUAAACAAUAUCCUAAGAAUAUAUGAUUUGGAAUGGAAAAAAACGGAAGCAGUUUCAUAUGCAUUUGUUGUUGGAAUUAUUAUGUAUGCUCAGAUUCGUAGUUGACCAAACAUAAGCUUUGCAGCUAGAAUGUUAGGACGGUAUCAAAGUAAUCUAGGAAUGGAACAUUCGAAAACUACAAAGAAGGUUCUAAGAUACUUACAAGGAACAAAAAGUUUGAUGCUUACAUAUAGGAGGUUUGAUCACCUUCAGGUGAUUGGGUAUUUAGACUCGAACUUUGCUCAAUGUGCAGAUACAAGGAAAUCCACCCUUGGUUAUGUACUUCUUUUAGCCAAAGGAGUAAUAUCAUGGAAGAGUGCAAAGAAACCUAUUGUUGCUACAUUCAUUAUGGAAGCUGAAUUUGUAGCAUGUUUUGAGACUACAAUUCAAGCUAAUUGGCAACAAUAUUGUCAAGCCGCUAAAAAUAUAUUGUAAUAACUCCAUAACAGUAUUUUUCUCUAAGAAUGACAAGUACUCUAAAGGUGCUAAAUAUAUGGAAUUAAAGUAAUUUGUCCUGAAAGAAGUACAGAAACAAAAAAUGUCAAUAGAAAUUAGCACAAAUCUCAUGAUAGCUGACCCUUUGACAAAUAGAUUAUCGUCCAAGACAUUUAUUGAACAUAUUAAAAAUAUAGGCAUUAUUGUUAUUAAGGAUUGUUGAGUGUAAUGUUUACUUUUGUUCUGAAUUGUUGACAUUUUGAACUCAUUUAUGAUAUGUUUCUGAUUACCUGCUAUCUACAUUUGCAUGCAUGUUUGUAUUAGAGUAACGUAAAUAGGUACCAUCUUAAAUAAAAUCAUUAUGUUGGACCAUUAUGUGCUUCUAACUAUUUUCAUAUUAAGGAUAAGUCUAAUUUGUGAUACAUGGAAGGAAUUAUGUCGAUUAAGUAAUGUAAAACUGUCAUGACUCGAAUUAGUACGUAUUUUUAAUUAUGAAAUUAUGAUGUGUCCAAUCUAUGAAACGAUUUAGUCAUUUCAAUGCACAUUACGUAAGUUUAGUUUAUUUAUUUAUUCGUCCAUGAUGUUAGGUAAUGUCACAAGAGUCAAGUGAGAGAAUGAAAGAUUUAAAUUCUCAUGUGAGAGACAUGUGACUUAUUAAGGACUAAUAAACAAAUAAUUAAUUAUUAUGGACUAAGUACUAAAUGGACCAUAAGCUUAAGUGGAACAUUUUUUAGAGAUAACUAUUAUUUUAUGGGAAUAGUAGUUGUAAAAGGAUGAAUAUUCAUUAAUUUAAAAUUAGGUUCCCUUCCUUACUUUAGAGUAUUCUCUCAAUCCUAACGACCAUCAAGAAAGAUAGAGAUAGUAGAAGGAAAAACCAAAGGAAGUAAAAUUUUAUUUAUUUCUUCUUUCAAGGAAUCAAAGCGUACACUAGGGAGAAAGAUAUACAUUAUUUAUCUAUUAUUUGUGAGAAUCAUAUAUUUUAAAAUCUUGUUUUGAUUUCUAUUGUGAUCCUUAGAAAAAUCACUAAGUUUUUCACACAAUUCCUCAAAAUAAAACACAUCUAUUUAUAAGACACUUAAGUAAGAAACAUGUUAACUUUUGAACUUGUACGUACGGUAGUAAGAGCCAUAUUUAUUAAUAUAAAUUUCUGGCCUUUCAAAUAAAAAAUAAACCUAUAAUCAAAAGCCAGGGAAAUUAAAAAAUUUAAAAUUAAAUCAAUGACAAUUCCUUAAAUUCCUCUAGAAUCACCUUAUCUUACCAAAUUCACGAGGGUGAUCAUUGCUCUAUACUAUUAAUUCUCCAAACAUCCACAAAUUAAGAAAAGAAACAUGCAUCCAAUUUGUGAGGCCCAUUUAAUGGAUUAUCCAUGCAUUAUCACAGCAACAAUAACGGUGUUAAACACUAGAUUGACCUCUCUAAACACACGUCAAAGUUCUAACCACCCAUAAUAAUAACCCCUAAUUAAACCAAAUCUAAAUCUCCAAGUAAAUUCACAAAAGUUAAUUAGUGGCCGAUAGGCCACAAUAAUGUACAGUUAGUCCCAUGCUAGGUAUUAUAAAUAGUGCGAGUAUGGAACAAGAGUAUCUCAAGCCUUGAUACAUUUCCCUUCUUAGCUUUCAUUGCCAAACCCUAGUGUGGCCUAGCUGUUUUCUCAAUAUGAGAAAGGCUUCCACUCUGCAAUGCUCACUUUGGCGCUUCGGUGUUUCGCUAUUGCUGGUUGCCAGCUUCAUUUGUGCUUCUUCUGUUAUGGCAACAUCUGAAGUUUCAGGUUUGUGGCUCAUUCUAACACUCAUACAUAGAUUGUUACGUUUUUCGUUUAGGAAAUACGAUUCUUUUUAGUCUCUAGCUAAUUAAAUUUUAUCUGUUUCAAUCCUUAUAUGCUUUUACUAAAAUAAUACGAAGCAUGAUUUUUCUUGAAACAUUUAAGCACUAAUUUAAAAUUUAAAUAUGGGUUUGUUUCAACCAGCAUGCACAAGGCCAACUAGCCAAGAUAUAUAUAAUUUAUUUCGUUAUUGAAUAUGUUUAAAACAUAUAUGUACACAUAUACACGUAACUAUAUAUACUGUACCUAUACACAAAUCUGAUUGGAAACGUUAGGUCCAACUUGAUAAGCAUACAAUUAAGACAUUCUGGCAUGUUGAAAAUAAUAAGAUACAUGAAUUGUAUAUAGAUCACGGUAGCCCAACUUUUAAGGAAAGAGACCCACGCAUUAUAUAUACGCUAGAAUCAUCAGUUACUUUGCGAGUUAAUUAGUCUUUGAUGGAUAUUACUGUCAUCCCUUUUAUGGUAUUUAAAUAUUUUUACUACCAUGAAAAUAUCAUGUAGUGUUUACCUUGUGUUAUUUUUAAUUCCUUAUGUAGGGAAUGAAGUGGAUACCGAUGGGAAGCUUGUAAAUGAAGAGCCAGCAAAAACAAGCCUUCAAGGAUAUGAUGAAGAAGAAAAAUUUAAAGGGCUUUUUCCAAAAUCUAUUCCUAUAGUUAAGCCUAUCCCAAAGUUAGUUAAACCUAUUCCUAUUCCCGUGUAUAAGCCUAUACCAAAACCAAUUCCCUUGGUGAAGCCUAUUUCAAAGCCAAUUCCAAUUAUAAAGUCAAUUUCUAAUGAAGAAGAAAAAUUUAAAGGACUUCCAAAACCUAUUCCAGUAAUUAAGCCGAUUCCAAAACUAAUUCCUGUUGUAAAACCUAUUCCUGUUCCAAUAUAUAAACCUACACCAAAAUUAAUUCCCAUCAUUAAACCAAUUCCAAUUGUUAAACCUGUACCAAAACCUUUUACAGUGCAAAAACCCAUCCCCGCUAUUGACCCAGAGUCUUUUCUAAAGCCGAAGCCUUUCUUUGAGAAACCUAUUCCUAAAUUGCCACUUGACCCUAAAUUCAAGAAACCACUUCUGCCACCUUUCCCAAUUCAAAAGCCAAUUUCAAGUCCAUAAGAUGAUAAGACUUUACCACCUCUCACUAAAAAAUAUCUUGCUUAGACGAUCUAUUUCUAACUCCUAUUUAUGUGCUCUAUAUCUCAAAAUUAUUAGUUGCACUUGAUAAUCCUAGGGUAUCUCUCUUUAUGUUGGAAUACCUAUAUAGUUAAUGUUAUCUCCUCAAUAAAGUUCUCAAUAUUUGCGGUUGUUAAUCAAUUUUAUAUUAAUACAAUUACAAAGAGUGGGUUGAUUUUCCCUUUUUAAAAUAACAUUUUUUAAUUUUAUUAUAUUUUUGUGAGAUUAUAUUUUGAGCAAGGAUACUCGUAAAUCGUAAUAAACUAAAUAAUCACGAGAAAAAAAUAUGCCUGUGUUAUAAGCUAAAACAAAUGCAUACUCAUUUGUUUCUUAAAAGCAACAUAAUAUAUUGCAAACUAAGUAUAACUUUAAGUUUGGUCAAAUAUUAAAAAAGUAUAACUUGCUAAUAUAUUCAUUCUCGAAUGAGAGUAUAUUAACAGUUUUAAAUACUAUGUAGGGAUUAUAUUCUGACACUAGGUACUUUAACAAAUGACAUUGUUUUAAGCAUUUAACAUUUUAGUGACAUAAAAAAUGUCACCAAAAGAUUUUAGGAACAUUUUUAAAGGUAUGUGUAGUAGUGUAACUACAUGUAUAUUAAUUAAGAAAGGGUGGGAUACACUACAUUAUUUUAGCAUUUAACAAAGUUUUACUCUUGUUAUUAUAAAAAAUAAAAAUAAAAAUAAAAAUAAAAACGUUCUCAUUGAGAACAAUGAUCUCCACGCGGUAAUUUGAAAGUAGGAAUCAGUAACUUGCAAAUAAAAUGACCCCCGAAAGGACACAUUGCUGGCAGAAGGCCAACUCAGUUUUAAAGAGUGUUGUUAUGAAAAAAUAUUGUUGCUGAGAGUGAUGAUCCCGACAUGGUACUUAGAAAGGAGGGAUAGGUAACAUGCACACAAAUACUACCAAUUACAAAUUACAAAUUACGUACUGCACAUUAAACUUGUACCAAAACACUAGAAAUUUCAUAAUAACGACCAAUUCAAUUUUAAGGAGUGUCAUUAUUAUGAAAAAUGUUGUCAUUGAGAGUGGUGGGUUCAGCGCACUACUUAAGAAGGAGGGAUCACUAGCUUGAACAAGAAAGGAUAUUAGAAAUUUCAUAGUACUGGCUGUUAGAUGACCAACUCAAUUUUAAUUAUUGUUGUUAUUUUAAGGGGAGUUCAAAUGGCAGACACAAGAAAAAUAAUAUAUUUAAAUCUCUUUAAUUUAAUAGUUAUUUAAUUUUUAGAAAAUUUCUUUCAAAUAAAAUAUUUAAUGAUGAAAAAAUAAAUACCUCUUAUAUUUUAAUAUAUCGAAUUUAAAAAAUUUUACUAACCAAAAGUAUCCUUAAAAAGAAAUGUGAAUGGACAUGUUUGCAGAAGACACAUUUCAAAUGUUAAAAAAGUAGAAAAAUACAUGGAAAUAGAAUAAAUUUAGAUGUCUUUUACUUAAUAAUUAUUUAAUUUUUACAAAAUUUGUUUCAAAUAAAAUAUUUAAUGAUGAAAAUCGUAAAUAACUUUCAUAUUUUAAUAUAUUAAAUUAAAUCAUUUUAUUUUCCGAAAUUCCUAUUAAAGUAUCAAGAAAAUGCAUUACAGAUGGACAUGUUUAUGUUUGAAGACACCUUUCAAACCUUAAAAAUAAUAUGGAAAUACUAAGUACAUUCAAGUUAAUAAUUUUUUUACAACACAAAGGUCUUGAACAUAAAAUACCUGUUUAGCUUGUUCUGUCAUGAUGAAAGGGUCAUUCUGGUAAGCUAGUUUCUUUAGGUCUAUCAACGUAAAUCCUACAUCAUCGAUCCGCACACCGGUGUUUACAGAUGGACAUGUUUAUGUUUGAAGACACCUUUCAAACUUUAAAAAUAAUAUGGAAAUACUAAGUACAUUCAAGUUAAUAAUUUUUUUACAACACAAAGGUCUUGAACAUAAAAUACCUGUUUAGCUUGUUCUGUCAUGAUGAAAGGGUUAUUCUGGUAAGCUAGUUUCUUUAGGUCUAUCAACGUAAAUCCUACAUCAUCGAUCCGCACACCGGUGUUGCUGUCAAUCCAUUUAGAUUUGAAAACACAAACAAUAAAUUUGACAUAGUUAAGCUCCCAAAUUUCAUCAAUGAACCCAAAAUAAGGGAUGGAAGCUACACAGGGAUUAUCAUCAUGUACACUAGCAAAGUGUUGAGAUUCAACCCUUAGGGUGACCCCACUGUUUUGCAUUGUACUUUUCUCAUCUUGUGCUUUUGUAUAAAAGGAAUACUUGUUUAUGUCGUAUCCUUGCCAAGUUAUAACAUUUCUUUUAGGCCCAUGUGCUAGCUUUCUUAAUGUUUCAGAAGCAUUUUCAUCAGCAAAGAUUGUAUCUUUAAACCAAUCAAAGAAAGUCUUGUUAUGCUUUUUCAAGACCCAAUUCUUUGACAUUUUUGGAUUACUUUGUUUGACUAAACCUUCAUGCUGAAGUAUGUAUGGCAAAACUUCAUUACUGUUAUUCAAGACAUACAAGUGAGCUUGUAACAAAUCUUCUACACUUGGAGUGAUAACAUGCAGUCCUCUUGAAUCCUUACUGCCCACUCUGUCAUCAUGCCGAGACUCGGGAAGCCCAACAAGUUUAGCCUUUUCAAUGUACUCUGAACAAAAUUCAAUGGCUUCUUCUGCAAUGUACCUUUCAACAAUAGAUGCUUCGGGACGAUGUAGAUUCUUCAUAUACCCUUUUAAGAUCUUCAUGUAUCGCUCAACCGAGUACAUCCACCGCAAAUAAAUAGGACCACAACAUUUGAUUUCUCUAAUCAGAUGAACAAUUAAGUGAACCAUGAUGUCAAAGAAAGCAGGAGGAAAAUACAUCCAACUAGCAUAGUAUAAUUGUAGCCUCAUUUUCCAGGUCAUCAAACUUGACAUGAUCAAGGACUUUGCUACAUAUGGCAUUGAAAAAAAAAGCACAGGCAAGUUAUGACUAACCUGACUUUGUUAGGCAAAAUUUCUUGUAUGGCCACGGCUAACAAUUGUUGCAUCAAGACGUGACAAUCGUGAGACUUUAACCCUACCAGCUUAAGCUCCUUCAACUGCACAAGGCUCUUCAUAUUUGAAGAGUAUCCUUGUGGGACUUUGACCCGCCACAGACACUGAUAAAAACUUAUCUUCUCCUUUUUCAACAAAGUAUGACAAGCUGGAGGCAAGUAUAAUUUUUUCCCAUCAGACCUUGGAUGCAACUGCGAUCGUAUGCCCAACUCAGCUAGAUCUUGACGGGUAUUCAAGCCAUCUUUCGUCUUGCCUUGAAUGUUAAAGAGCGUCCCAAUGACACUAUCACAUACAUUUUUCUUCAUAUGCAUAACAUCAAUACAAUGUCUAAUGUCAAGGUCAGACCAGUAUGGAAGAUCAAAGAAAUAGACCUCUUCUUCCAUAUGCAAGUCUUACUUUUUUCCUUCUUUUGGGUCUUUCCAAAUAUAGUAUUCAAGUGUUGAAUCCGCUAGAAGUCCUGCUCACCAGUCAACGGUAUCAGCACAGUUUCGUGUUCUUGACUUCCAUUAAAUGCUUUUUUCAAUCGCCUGUAAGGAUGAUGAGGUUUUAAAAAAUGUUGAUGCCUAGUGUACACUAUUUUUUUUACCAUGUUUCAGUUAUAUGUAGCUUGUGUCUUCUUCACAGAUGGGGCAUGCAUGAUGACCCUUAACACUGUAACCACUUAUAUUUCCAUAUGCUUGAAAGUCAUUAAUGUUACAAAAAAGCAUUGCACGCAUUUGAAAAGUCUCAUUUUGAAACCCAUCAAACACUAAACCCCCCUCAUCCCACAACUUUGUCAGGUCUUCAAUCAAUGGACUUAGAUAAACAUCAAUGUCAUUUCUUGGCUGUCUUGGGCCCGAUAUCAUCAUAGACAACAUCAUGUAUUUUUGCUUCAUGCACAACCAAGGAGGAAAAUUAUAAAUUACUAGUAGAAUUGGCCAUGAACUGUGUUGAGUGCUUAAAUUACCAUAUGGAUUCAUUCCAUCACUGCCUAGUCUAAGCCUAAGAUUUCUUGCCUCUUGCCGAAAUCCAAAAACAAAUGAUCUAUCUUCUUCCACUGCGAGCAAUCAGCCGGAUGACGGACCAUUCCAUCGCAUUUUCUCCCUAUUGCAUGUCAUGUAAGGUCUUUAGCGUCGUCUCCAUUAGCAAAAAGAUGCUUAAACCUUAGAACAAUCGGCAGAUACCACAACACCUUCAUUGGGGGGCCCUUCUUUGAGUUUUCAUCACUACUACACUUCUCAUCAUUCUUCACUUUGUACCAUCAUAACCCACACCUAGGGCAUUUGGACAUUUCUUCAAAUUUAUGUUUGUACAGUAUGCAAUCAUUCGGGCAAGCAUGAAUCUUCUAAUACUCCAUACCCAUAGGACACAGUACCUUUUUUGCCUGAUAGUAACUUUUAGGCUACGUGUUUUCCUCUGGAAGCAUAUCGUGCACUACUUGAACCAGUGAAAUAAAGCUUUUGUCACUCCACCCAUAUCUGGACUUGACAUUAACUAGACUUAACACCGUAGACAAUAGUGUCAACGAAUUCUUGCACCCCGGAUACAAAGGCUUCUUUGAAUCAGUUUGCAAUGUAUCAUACAUAGGGGCAUGUGUUUGUUAAAAAGACUCUUGUCCAAGGUCACGAAUCAUAUCCUCCAAGCCAUCUCCCAUUUCUACAUCAAACGGUUCAGAUUGGGGCCCACUUUAGUUGUCUGUCAUUCCACCAUGCCAUAUCCACGUUGUAUAAUUCCUCUUGAUUCCAUUACACAACAGAUGGUCUCGUAUGUCAUCAACUUUUUGCCAUCUCCCGUUCAAACAAUUUAUGCAUGGACAAAAAAACUUGUCAUUUUCAUCUAGUCGACUUCUUUCUGAAGCAAAUUGCAGGAACUGUUCAACGCCUUCCUCAUAUGCAGAGCUCAAUCGGCUUUCAUUCAUCCAACUUCGAUCCAUCUAAAUAAUAACUGAUUCAUACUCUGAAACUCAUUCAAUGCAUGAUAUCUCACUUUUUCAUUUAAGGUGUGGCCCUAUCCCAUUCAGGAAGACACAUUUUUAUGGUAGAUUCAGGCGUUAAGAUUAAUCUUAUUUUGUUAAAUUUGAUAAAAUUUUGACAGCAUUUCACAUUGGUCUCCAAGUACACGAUACAAAAUCGGUGACAUUAAUUUGUCGAUAAUCAUGUAUGCACUUAGAGAACAACUAGAGAUGCAUUGUACCAUAAUUUCAUCAAAUUAAACAAAAUAAUGUUAACCUUAACACAUGAAUCAACCAUAAAAAUGGGAGUCUCCCCAAACUGUCCAAACGGACAAUUUAAGAUUGAAUACAAUGAUUAAUGCACACUUUCUGCAAGAAUCAUUGUAUUCAAUCUCAAAUGGGAAUCUAAGGCUAACUCAUUAUGAAAAAAAGUUUAAUCUAAAGCAAAGCACAUUAAUGACAUACAAUUUAAAUACAGUGACAUCUAACACAACACAAUAGAUCGGUAAGAACCCUAACCAAACAAGAAAGCAAUGGACGCUAAGUUAGAGCAACAGACGGUGGAGGUAUCCACUCUCGUCACACGUGCCGCUCAUGAUAAGUCCUCUGAUUCGUUAGCAUCGCUAACGAAACCAACGAGUUAUCAUGAGCAACGGGUGUGACGAGAGUGGAUACCUCCACCGUCUGUUGCCCUAACUCGGCAGCCAUUACUUUCUUAUUUGGUUAUGGUUCUUACCGAUCUAUUGUGUUGUCUUAUAUCUGAAAAGAGAAACUAGCUAACUAAUCGAAACCAGCGGUAUAUAUAUAUAUAUAUAUAUAUAUAUAUAUAUACAUACAUACAAGUCCGUACGUACGUACCUAGAAUUGCUAUAAUCAAAGACCUUCCAGAGCAACACGAAUUACCAGUAGCAAAUGAUAACCUGGCAAAAUGUGAAACAAAAUUUAAUGAUUUAUAUUACAAAUUGCCAAGUAGUUAGUUAUUUACCAAGUACAUUACAUCUAGUAGCUUCUAUUUCUAUUCUUUGGUAAUUUACUCUCCUUGCCAAUUUUCCUUCUAUUUACUAAACUUAAUAUUUAUUAGUUUAUUCCUUCUUAAUCUAGUUUUUUUUCAUCGGCCAGUUGACUCACUAAGUAACCCACUAUUUGGUUCAUUGUCACCUAACUAACUAACAGACCUAUGAAACAGCCUCUUAAGUUGCAGCGCCGGGGGCAAUGCUACUAUUUCAUUGCCAGGGGCAUCAAUUGAGUGAUUUGGGUGGUAGGGAGUGAUGUAGCUCCGUUGGAGCUUGUAGGCCUUGGAUCUUCUUCAUCAAUGAAGUCCUUUGCUUCUUAAAUUUUAAUGGCAGCGGAAUGGAGAAGAAGAGGAGUUGAGAGGAGACACCACUUAAAGGAGAAUAUGAGUCAAGAAGAAGCUCACCACCAUAGGAAGCCAUGAAUAAGAGCUUGGAGGUAGGAGAAGAAGAAUGGAGGGAGAAGAAGAGAGAGAUCACGAAAUUUGUGCCUCAAAAGAGGUCUGAACUUUGAAGUGUAAUUCUCAAAUGAUCAAAGUUAAAAAAUGCACACACAUGGCCUCUAUUUAUAACCUAAGUGUCACAUAAAAUUGGAGGGAAAUUUGAAUUUCUAUUUAAAUUUUACUUGAAUUUGAAAUUGAAUUUGUGGAGCCAAAAUUUCACUAAUUAUGAUUAGUAAAUUUUAGUCUUGGUUCAGCCCACUAAUCCAAGAUCAAGUCCAAGAUUCUCCACUAAGUGUGCUUAGGUGUCAUGAGACAUGUAAAGCAUGAAGGACAUGCACAAGUGUGACUAUACGAUGUGGAAAUGAGGUGUAGCAAGUAAAUGUUCACCUCCCCCUCUAAAAUUUAAUUGGAUUAGGCUUCUCCCAAUUCAAUUAAAUUUAUUUACCAACACACACAUCAAAUAUUCACUCAAUGCAUGUGAAAUUACAAAACUACUCCUAAUACAAAAACUAGUCUAGCUGCCCUAAAAUACAAGGGCUGAAAAAUCCUACAUUUCAAGGGUACCCUACCUACAUUAUGGAGCCCUAAAUACAAGGUCCAAAAAUAAUGAAACCUUAAUCUAAUAUGUACAAAGAUAAGUGGGCUCAUACUUAGCCCAUGGGCCCGAAAUCUAUCCUAAGGCUCAUGAGAAUCCUAGGGUCUUCUCUUGCAUCUCUGGCCCAAUCUACUAGGAGUCUUCUAUCCAAUGCCUUUGCGGGGUAGGAUUGCAUCAGGGAGGUUGCAGCCCCAGGGACAGUGCUACUGAUUCUUGUCAAACCAUAAGGGGCAUGAUUAUGCUUGGUUUUUGCUUGUUGGGUAUAUCUAAAUAAAAUAAUAUAUAACAAAAUUCUCAUCAAGCCAUGUAGUAAUUGCUACUGAAUUGUAGAAUUGAGCAGCUCAAAACAGUGUUGAUUCUUCUUCCCCAACCUUGGAGGAUAAUGAAAUCUUUCAUUCUGAUAAGCAAUAUCAUGUAGAAGAAGAAUCAAUGGCAGAAGGUUCAAAAGAUCAAGUUUUAUUGAGUAGCAAUUCAUAUUGUUUUGGUGGGUCAGAUAAUGGUAUGAAAGGCAAUGUUCUAAAAAAUGAAACAUUGAAGAAUAUGAGGUCUGUAAGAGAGCAAUAGAAAAUGAAGUGAACCUCCUGAAUUUAGAGAGCACCGAUUUAGAUAAAGGGUCCUAUGAGCAGAGACCAUCAUCAUUUGCCCCCAAAGCCUAUGAGAUGGAAGGCUCUUGCAGCUCUAAGAUUAACAACACCAAAAACGACAGCAACUUGAUGUCCAAUUGUUCCAACAAAGACAUGCUCCUAGACAGCUACACCACUAGUUGGCAACCCUGAGAUUUGAUGUGAAAUUACCCUCUUAAUAUCAAAAACAGAAUGAAGAGAAAGAAUAGAAAAGUGUUGUGUGCUGUAAGGGAGAGGAAAGGUAUUGCAAAUUUGUCAACUGAGUGGGAGAAGAAAGGUGUCUCUUGAAGAUAAGAGAAGGCAAAAAAAACCUCAUGAAAUGAAGGUUUUCUAUGCACUGGAUAAUGCAAUAGAACCCACAAAAUUGCGAGCCUUCAACUUUCAGAAAAAUGACAAUCUCACAAGCAAGCUAGUUUGUUCUUCAACCCUCUGGUAUAAUCCCACUCUGCAGCAAUCCUACACUGAUACUACCUAAUGUACAAUUGUAAAUGCUCGAGCUAGUUAGUAAAAAUACUAAUAGCAUCAUAGCAACACAUAAAUACCACUAUCCUUGUUACGGGUGAAAAGAUUUUAAAAUUUUCAUCAUAAUAUCAAAUACACGUGUAUGGAUUGCUUUAGUACAGAUAUUUGAACUUACAAAAUUAUAAAUUGAUUCCUACAUUUUUCUUGGUAAACCAGACUCAGGCCAAUUGAGAUAUUCUGGGAAUUGAAGUUGCUUAAUCAAGGUCUGGAAUUACUAUUUCCCAAUAAACUAUGCUCUUGGUAUUCUUGAAGAAAAUGGAAUGGUGAAUUGUAAACCAUUAGAUAAUCCCACAUAUCAAGAUAUUGGAGUUUGGCAGAAAGCUAAACUAAUCCAAGUAGAUAUUGGAGUUUGGCAGAAAGCUAAACUAAUCCAAUUGUAACAAGACCAACCAUCUUUUGUUGUAAGUGUGGUCAUUAGAAUGCAAAUGUCAUAAUUCUGAUAUUUCUUAGAGGAUCACUAGUAAAAGGAUUUAUUAGUGUUUUUGAACAGAGGGCAUAAGGAGAUUAUUACCUAUACUUAGUAGGAGAUCUACCUAUGGAUAUUGUGUUCUAUUUGGAGUGAAUCUCUUUCAUGGAAAACCUUAAGAAGCAAAAUAUGGUUGCAAGGUCCAGAGCUGAAGCAAAAUAUCAAGCUAUGACUCUCACUACUUAUGAACUAAUAUGUCUAAAAACAAAUAAAUGACUCAUUAAAGAGCUAAAAUUUUGUGAGGUUGGAAUUGAGACACAUUUGUGAUAAUCAAGCAGCCCUUCAUAUUACAUCUAACCCAGUUUUUUAUGAGCAUACCAAACAUAUAGAGAUCGAUUACCUUUUAUAUUUCUGAGAAGAUAGACUCCAGAUAAAUUAGGACAUAUUUUGUUAACUUCAAAUAAUCAAUUGGUUGAUCUGCUCACUAAUGCUCUUUAUGGACAAGGGAUUUCUUAUUUCUAGCCAAAACAAUAAAAUUAAAGGCAAGAAAAAAUUACCUCAAGACAAGGGAAAGAGGUUUUAAUGUCACUCACACCGGUCCAUGUUCAUAGCAUAUAGGAUCCUGCAUGUAAAACAAAUAAUUCUCUAAAAUGAAGUUAAGUAAACAACCACUUAAUUGAAAAGAUAUAUCCUGAAGGUAACUGUAACAGCUAGUGUUUGGUAUAUUGAGUUCAAUCAAGAAAUAUGCAAACCCCUAGUAGUGGAAUACCUGUUGGAGUAGUGAUCAAUGCCGGGAAAUUGAUGACGUCUAUCCCUUGGUCAUCGAACUUGUACUAGAGAUGGUAGUUGUCUGCAAAUAUCAAAAAGACUCGAUGUCAUGCUACAGAGGGAAAAUGGUGGAAGGUAUUAUACCAAUUUAUAGGGCAUAUGUCAACAAUUAUUGUUUGUCAAUAGAAAAUGAUGCUAAGGUUGACAAGAAUAUGAAAUAUACGGUGCAGAGUUUGGAGAACAAGAUUAGGUCUCUAUUUUAGCCGAAGCAGAGGAAAGGUAGUAGCAUUAAAUAGGCACACUUGAUUAGUAAAAUAAAAGAAGUCAGUCAUCAAUUUCGCUUGACUCUAGCUUCUCUAUAAUGCUUUUCCUUGUACUUGCAAUUACAGACUUGACUGUAGCUACUCUAUAAUGCUUUUCGCUUGACUCUAGUUGCUCUAUAAUGUUUGGAGAACAACUACUACUACUAACAAUUACAGACCUGACUCUAUUGAAUCUGUAUUGAUGACUUUGCCUUCAAUUUCAUCAAGUAUAGUCAGUGCCUGAAUGAAGAAACAGGUAGUUCUAUCUAGCUCUGUACUUGGUCUUAAGAUUCCAAAGCUAAGUAAACAUUAAUUCUUGUGCAAAACUAAACAAUAUCCAGUCAGUCAAAUGGGAUGUUUCCCUUAGUACUAUGGCAAAGGGUUUGUUGUGUCCAGUGUUUUAUGCCAAACCCUUUGUAAAGUAAAUAUGAGGUUAAUUGCAUAAAAAAGUGAAAUAAAGCUCAGAGUAGGCAAUCCUAUCUUAAAUCUUACCCUUUCCUUGAUGUCACCCAAAGUCGGCAAGUACAGCUUAUAGAAUUCCUCUCUGAAUGCAACCACAAACCUAAAUAAACUUUAGAAACCACCAAGAAUAAGACAAUUAGGAUUCGUUUGAUUUGUAUAAAUUUAAGGGACAACACAACAAAAUAUUACAUAUGCAUACAUUCAAACUUUAUUGACUCACUAAUCUUAUAUUUCCUCAAUGUGGGUGUUAGACAGAAACCAAACUAGGAUACAUCUACUAUUUUUUUCUUUUAUAUAUGUGAGGGAUUCGAAGAGUGUCAAGAUACCUAUACUACAUUAUAGUAUUUUCACUUUUAAAGGACUAAAGACGAGUAAUUGACCAUUAUCAUGUAUAGGGAUAACAACAUUUUAGGCCUUCACUGUGUUUUGUUCGAAAUCCUGGGGUCUAUAAAAACCCUCAACUAAUUAUAGGAAAAAAAACUAUUCAUAUGGAACUAAUUUAUUUUCAAAGUUUUGGACUAUACAAAUUUGACACAAACAUUCGAAGAAUCGAUAAGUUGUCAUGAUUGAGAGUGAAUGGAAACCAUAUUCCUUAUGCACACAAUGUUGUUGUAGUGACGUACCUCAAUCACGACAGAGACAAACUCGUUUAUGGUAGUUGUGGCUUCAACGACAGUCACAGGGUCAGGAAGAAGGAGAAAGGAGAAAGGAGAAAAGGGUUUGAGCGCGCGGGGGCCAAAAUGAAUUUGUGUUUUAAUUUAUGAAAAGAACAACAUCAAUUUUUUUAACAUAACUAAUGUUAACAUGAAGUACUUAAGAUCGGUUUUUUAAAACCCGAUGUUAACCUCAAGUACUUAACAUCGACUUUAUAAUGAUCGAUGUUAACCUCAUAUAGUUAACAUCGAGUUUUAAAAAACCGAUGUUAAUUAUAUGAGAUUAACAUCGGUUUUUGUCAAAACCGAUGUUAACUACUUGAUAUUAACAUCGGUUAUUUAAAUUUAAAUAAUCGAUGUUAAUCUCAAGUAGUUAACAUUGAUUUUGACAAAACCGAUAUUAACUAACUCGAUUUAUUUACGAAAAUAUCACCGUACUUUUCUUAACAUCGAGUUUCUAAAAAAUCAAUGUUAAUCGUGCGAUGUUAAAUCUAUAUUUUAUAAUAGUAAUAAUAUAUAUAUAUAUAUAUAUAUAUAUAUAUAUAUAUAUACGAGUAUUACACUCUUAAUCAAUCAAUUUUUGCGAUCCUCACACAAUAAAAGUUCUCUCUUCCACACUUUCUCCCUCUAUCGCUUGCACCUAUUGCUCAGAUACCUUUAUCGAAUAUGCAUGCAUGUAGUUAACCUUUCAUUGUAAAUCUUUACGUUACUUACACAUUUUCACUCCAUGAUAUAUACUACAAUGGCGUGUCAUGCUAUAUUAUUUGAAGAUUACCAACCAUAAAAGAAAAGAAACACCUAAAAUGGAAGGCUCAUUCAAUGGCAGGGAGCCAUGAAUAAUCUCAGCAACUAUAACGGUGUUAAACGCGAUCUCUAAACACACCUCCAACCACUAAUAAUAAUCACUGACCAAAUCUGAAAUCUCGGAGUGCAUUUCAAAAAAGAAAGUAAUGACCAAUAGAGCCAUGAAUGUACAAUUAGUCCCAAGCUAGGUAUUAUAAAUAAUGAGAGUAUGUGACAAGACUAACUCAGGCCUCCAAAUAUUUUCCUUUUUAGCUUUGAUUAGAGUGGCCUAGUUGUUGUUUUUCUCAAUGAGAAGGGCUUCCACUAUGCAUUGCGCACUUUGGCGCUUCUGUGUUCCCUUGUUGCUACUUGCUAGCUUCAGUUAUGCACCUUUUGUUUUGGCGACAACUGAAAUUUCAGGUCUGUGGCUCAUCCUAUUACUCACACAUUCAUUUUGUUAUACAUUAGUUUAUGAAAUAUGAUGUUUCUUUGUGUUAGUCCUUAAUAAAAAAAAAUUAUUCAUUUUAAUAUUUACAUUUAACAAAACAGUAUAAUCUCUAAUCUAAGGACUAAAAAAGAUUAAAUUUAAAUAUGGGUUAAUUUUAAAAAAAGUGUGGUAAUACCAAAAAGUAUAUAUAAGUGGCCGUAGUAGUUAGUACCUAUAUAUGAUCAGGUGUAGAAGAUUAGAUCCAUAUACUUGUCAUGCAUAUAAUUAGAAAUGAAAAUUUGUAUUAUUCAUGAAGUACUGUACGAAUUUCGCUGGCCUUCGUUUCAAGUAAAAAUUAAGAUCGACCCUUCAUACACAAGAUUCAGCCAAUGAAGGGUGCUAUUAAUUACUCUGACAGAUUUUAUUGUCUUCUGAAUUCAAUUCAAUCAUUUAUCUUGGCAUGCAGUAUAUGCGUGUGGAAUUAACUUGUGGUCUUCAGCGUGGCUCCCAUACAUAGACCAUGCAUAGUCCCCACAAAAAUAUUUUUGAAAAGAACUAUGGGGAUCCAGUACCUACCUGGUAGCUAGUUUUGGUCAUUAUAUAGCUAUUAUGAUUGGCGAUGAAUUUUUCAUUUUAUUUUUAUAUAUUUUUCUCUAUCAACACUUGAAAAAUAUCAAAUUUACUGGGUAUUACAAAAAUAUUUACUGUGUUUAACUUAUAUUUUCUUGUUUCUUAUUAUGUAGGGAAUGAAGUGAGCACUGAUGGAAAGGUUUUAAAUGAAGAGUUAGCAAAACCUAAUCUACAAGGACAUGAUGAAGAAGCAAAGUUUAAAGGAUUUAUUCCAAAGCCAAUUCCCAUAGUGAAGCCUAUUCCAAAACCAUUUCCCAUCAUUAAGCCUAUUCCAAAGAUAAUUCCUAUUGCUAAACCUAUUCCUAUUCCGAUUUAUAAGCCUAUAUCAAAAUCAAUUCCCAUUAUUAAGCCUGUUCCAAAGAUAAUCCCCAUUAUUAAACCAAUUCCAAUUAUUAAACCUGUACCAAAACCAAUUCCCAUUAUUAAGCCUGUCCCAAAACCAUUUAUAGUGAAAAAGCCUAUCCCUGUUGAGUCGGAGGAAUUUCUAAAACCAAAGCCUUUCUUCAAAAAGCCUAUUCCUAAACUACCACUUCACCCUAAAUUCAAGAAACCAAUUCUACCACCAUUGCCAAUUCACAAGCCAAUUCCAACUCCAUAAGAGGAUAAUACUCUAUAUCUCGAGCUAUAUAGUUAUCCGUUCCAUUUCUAAUGCCUUUAUAAGUAAAGCUGCAUCGUAUCUCAAUUAAAUUUCGUACUCUUCUCGUAUACUGUAAUGGAAAAUAAGUAGUUGAUGCUCUCUGUUCAAUGAAGUUCUCGGUGUUAUCAUGUGUAGAUCGAUUAUAUUAAUGCAAGAGAUUGUAUAUGCAGUUAUUACUUAUUAUUUAAAUAAUGUUUUUUAAUAGUUUUUCAGUUUUAUAUUUUAUGAAUAUAUACUUAAUUGUGAGAGAGAGUGGGGCUCAUCGAUAAAUGUAGCAAUUUCUGCGAGAGAUAUAUCUUAACAAUUACAUUUAUCAUGAAUAAUAUUACGACAAGUAAAUCACUAAAUUAGUUCUUAAAAUUUUAUAGUUCAAAUCAAACAUUUCAUUUAGUAAGAUUUUAAAAGCCCUCUGUUAGUCCUUCAGUUUAUAAUAAAAGCAAAAGAAAAUUCCUCUUCUGUAAUAUUUUAUCAUUAUAUCAUUUUGCACUAAAAAGAACUAAAGUGAAAAAAAUUUGCAAGAAAAUAAAAUCAGUAAAAUUUUUUUUUGUCAAAUUAGGGGAUUGACAAAAUUAAUUAAUUUAUAAGAUCAAAUAAAACUUACACAAAUAUUACUAAAAAGAAAAAAAAACAUCAAUUCAUAGUUUCCUGACAAUAAAUAUAUGUGUAUUUGUUUAUUUUGUACUCUUUUGUUUGUUAAAAGAAUUUAAUAGUAAAGUCUAAUUCAAACUUAUAAAACUAGGUUAAAUAUUUAUUAAUUCAUUAAACUUUAAAUUAAAUUUAAAACAAAACCGUCAACCACGUACAUGAGAUAAACUCUUAGGUAUCAUCUGUCGAAAUAAAUGGUGAUGUUUGAUAAUCUUUUUCAUUGUGCCUUUAAUGGCCCUAUCUAUUUUAGCUACAGUAGUUUAUCAAAUUUUCACCUCAUCAUUUUCGGCAUCUUUAGAGAUAAUUAUAAAAUUUUGCUUCUAAACAUUUGACAUUAAGUCAUUAAUUAUAACAAUUGAUAAAGCGUCAUAUGUACCACUCAUGUAUUCCUAUUCAGUUUGUUGUUUUUCACGUCAAAUGCUAUCAACUAUCAAGUAUGAUCUAGUCAACAUUAUGGGAUGAGACAAUCACUUCAAGCUGUCUUUGUCUUGAAUUGGGUUGCUUAAUUUGGGCCAUGUCAUUUUCUUGUUUGGUUCUUGAAAGGGAAUUACUUUGGGCACCCUACAGUUUUGCUGGGACACCCAGCACCCUAGGUGAAAGGGCCAAAAUGCCCUUCACCCUAUUAAUAUAAAUAGGGCUACAUUAAUUCUUUCGUCCUGUGCUUCUUCGUGCUACAGUAAUUCUGCCGUUCCGCCACAAUGCUUCUUCCUUCGUGCUGCGCUUCUUUCUCCUCGUGGUGGUCUCCUUCAUUCUCCUUCUACUUCUUCAUGUUGCGGUUCUUCUUCUUCAUGGUUGUGGUUCUUCUUUUUCCUCUUUCUCCACUUCCCGUGCGGCUAUGGUUUUUCUUCUUUCCUUCUUCUUCCUCCACUUCCCGCGCCCCUGUUCUUCUUCUUCCUCUCCAACAAAAAAAUGACAUUUUUCUAGGAAAACCCCAUAUGGAUAUGGUUCAUAUAGAUUGCUAAUUUGUAUGAGUUUUUUUUUUUUUUUUGUUGAAUAAUUUUGUUUCAAUUUUUCUUCUUCUAAAUUUGUUUUUUUUUAAUUUUUGAUUUUUGAAUUAUUAUUUAAAUUAUUUCGUAGUAUAAUGUUAUUUUGUAAUGUUAGUGAAAUUUUAUAAUUUUUUCUGAUUUAUAUGUUAAGUACUGAUUUUAUUUAUAAAAAAUAUAUUAGUUAUUACUAAGAUUAGAUUAGAUUGCUAAAAUUAAGAUUAGAUUGGUGAAACAAUUAAUUUUUAAUAUUGUUAUAUUAUAUUUGUCUAACUUUUAAAAAAAAUAAAACAAAUAUUUAAAAGAUAUUGAAUUUGUUACUUAUGAAAAAUAUUGAAAUCAUAAUUAAAAAUAAUUUAAAUUUUUUAGUUACAACAAACAUUUAAACAAAUUUUUUAAUAAUUUAAAUUUGUUAUAAAAAUAUUGAAACAUAAUUUUUAAUUGUACAAUAAAUCUGUUAGUUAUAAAAAUUAUGAAACCAAAAUUUAAAAUAUGAUAAGAUUUUUAGUUUAAGAUAAUGAUUGAAAUCAAAUAUGAAAAAAUAUUUGAUUUAGUAGUUAUAAAAAAUAUUGAAACCAAAAUUUAAAAUAUGAUAAGAUUGUUAGUUUAAGAUAAUGAUUGAAAUCAAAUUUAAAAAUAUAUUUGAUUUAGUAGUUAUAAAAAAUAUUGAAACCAAAAUUUAAAAUAUGAUGAGAUUGUUAGUUUAAGAUAAUGAUUGAAAUCAAAUUUAAAAAUAUAUUAAAUUUGUUAGUUAUAAGAAAUAUGAAAACCAAAAUUUAAAAUAUAAUAAGAUUGUUAGUUUAAGGUAAAAUUAAAUUUAAAAUAAUAUUUGAUUUUGUAGUUAUAAAAAAUAUUGAAAUUAAAAGUUAAAAUGUGAAAUAUGAUAAGAUUGAUAGUUUAAGAUAAUGAUUGAAAUCAAAUUUAAAAAUAUAUUAAAUUUGUUAGUGAUAAGAAAUAUGUAAACCAAAAUUUAAGAUAUGAUAAGAUUGUUAGUUUAAGGUAAUGAUUAAAAUUAAAUUUAAAAAUAUAUUUGAUUUUGUAGUUAUAAAAAAUAUUGAAACCAAAAUUUAAAAUAUGAUAAUAUUGUUAGUAUAAGAUAAUGAUUGAAAUCAAAUUUAAAAAUAUAUUAAAUUUGGUAGUUAUAAAAAAUAUUGAAACCAAAAUUUAAGAUUUAAAAUUUAUUUAUUAAUCCCUAUUAUUUAAUUUUUUCAAAAUUAUUUUUGUAGAAAUUUUUUAUUCAUUUAUUUUAUUUACAAAAUUUGAUAAUUAAAAAAAUCUGAUAUUUAAUUGAAUGAUGUAUUUAGAUUUUUAUUAUAAUGAUUAAAAAUUAAAUAAAUAUGAUAUUUAAUUGAAUGAUGUAUUUAGAUGUUUUUUUAUAGCAAUUGAUAAUGAAAUAAAUUUGAUAUUUUUUACAUCUGUAAAUACUUAUUAAACCUAUCAUUUUUAUUUAUAAUUUAUAUAUGUAAAAAAAUUAAUUAUUAUAUAAAAAUAAUCAUUACAAAAUUUAUUAUGUAAAUUUAAAUAUACAUUAAAUAUAAAUUAAAAAUUUUAGUAUUAUAUAUAACGACACUAUUUACUUAUAGCAUAAUAUGUCUAUUAGUUCAGUUGGUUUGAUUGUUAUAUUGAACCCUCUCUAUCAUACCUUUGGGAAAGUUAUUCUACUUACAAAAUGGAUCGUCAAUUCUAGAAGAAAGCAUAAAUACCUCCUCUCUAAUAUUUACCAACUUGAUCAUUAAGAACAAAGGCUCAAGACUCUUCAAUGUACUCUAAGCUUCUUUUUUUCUUUUUUUGCUAUGUAAAGACAACUUAUAUCAAUUACAAAAGUUAACUAGUAAUGAGCUAAAAAAAAAACAAAACUCUUCCCAACGUUGUAUUUUGUAAACGAAGAAAAUAAAUUAAAAUAUGCCAUGAUAAAGAAAAAGUUGCUGUCAAUAAUAUAAUAGAAGAUAGGAUAUCAUCAUCGUAAUUAUUGUAAAGUAGUGGUAUUUCUAAUGUUAUUUCUUAGUAUAUAAAGCUCAUCCAUUCAUGAAACCAUUUAUGUAUUUCAAGUAAUAUUUUCAAAUUCAGAUAAACAAUUAACUAAACUUUCUCCAAACUUACUCACCAAAUUAGUAUCAUUGUGUAUUGUUAAAUUUAUUAUACUACAUAAAUUUUUCAUCAUAUCCAAAUUAAUUUUUUAAUUGUUAUUAAAGAACUUUCUAAUUAUUAAAAACUAUGUAAGGACACAUUUUUGUAACAGAUCUACUUAGCAUUUUUUGAAGUUGUUUGAUUAUGUUAUUACUUCACCCUUAAUUUUCGAUUCUUUGGUUUUCAUGAAGGUAUGCAUUGCAGAAUGGAGGUGCAGUGGAAUUUUCACUUGAAUUUUUUUUACUGAAAAUGUUCACACAAUCGAAGACCCAUAAUUGCAUUUUUUAUUAUUUAAAUUCUCGAUCUCUCUUUAGCUUUAAAUUAAGGGUAAAUUUUCAUUAGUUAAAUAUAAUGUCAAAUAAGGAUAUCUAAACUUUUAUUUGCAAUGAGUUUCUUCAAUUUUACGUGAUGGGAUUGUUUGCAUUUAUUUUAAUUGUUAUGUUUUGUCUAUUUUGAAGUUCUUUAUUGGCAAUGUAGGACAAAUCUUUUCUUAUGUCUUGGAUUAUGUGUUAGACAGUAAGCAAAAUCUCAUCAUCAUCUCCAUUUAUUGCAAGUAUAUAUGCUUGCAAUAGCAUUAUGCUAUGUUAGAUGAUUAAAAGAGAUGUAUUCUAUAUAUCAAUUUUUAAAUCACUAAUAUAAAUAUGUUCAGAAGAGAUAUUUUUAUUUUAAAUAUAAGAAUAUUUUUGGAUUUAUUUUUUGGGGUCUUCAAAUGUGUGAUGUUACAUUUGGCCAUAGGAGAUAUAUAUGGAUUGAUGUGCUCCAAAUGGAUGAAGUCAUACAAGAAACACCUUUCUCUAAUCAUUCUCUUUAGAUCAUCUAUCAAAAUUAUUCGUUCCACUUUGAUUUUAACUUAGAGAUGUUGCUCCAAGUCAGCAUUUUCCUUUUCUCUUCAGAAUUAGCUCCGAAUCAAGUUCUUGUUGCAAGACUAUUUUUCAUCAAUUAAAACUAAAUAUUCCCAGCCUGCCAAGAAUGCCUUCAAGCUAUAUGUUAGAAAUUAGAAGUGUUAUUUCUCAUCUAAUUAAUACAACACAUCUCACAUAGUUUUAUGAACUUUUAGAAUGUUGGGAUUCAAUCAAUCAAUCUAAUUUGAUUCUAACAGGCAAUCAUCAAACUUAAUCACAUGUUUUCUCUUCAUGUAAAGAGAAAUUACUGUAUAAAGAUGAAUAGAACCCCUCUGUGUUCUCAUACUCAAAAUCUUGAUGAAAACUAAGCUGUGGAAGUGUACCUGGAUUAACCAUAGUGGAAUGAUGAUGAAAAGUUGAUCAGAAGAUUGAUUUUAUGACCUUCCAAAUGUAGAGAGUCUUUUUUUUUUUUUUUUCUUCUUCUCUUAAAGUUUUAUCUUUAUGAAGUGUACAUGUUGGUUUGACUUAAGUUGCUUUCUACAAAUGGGGACCAUAACCCCUUAAGCCCCUUAUCAAAUUAACAAUAUCACUAGUAUCUACACAAUUAACCUUUCAUGAUAUCCCCUAGCCAUAUUUUUAUAUUGAUUAGACCAUUUUAAUAUUUUGGCUAAUUAUAUAAUGACCCUAACUCAUCAAAUUAUGUGAUAUAAACCCAAAAUUGCUACUAUAAAAAACUUCUAAUUUUUAAUUUAAAGCAUAAAAGUCUGAAAUAUUUACGUUGUCACCUAAGACAAAAAAUUCAUAGACUACGUUUUGGCCUAACUUAUUUAGAAGAUGAUCAAAAGUACAAAAUGAAAAUUAUUACACUGUCAAGUAUUUCAGUCUUAUAAAGUUACUUUUAUGUUUGAUAUAAAUACUUUCUUGUGACAAAAAUAAUAUUUGUUUUAAUAAUCAUGUCGUGAGUUUGCUUCUGUUUUGUAGAUUAUAUUCCCUUUUAAAAGUACUGAAACAAGAUUGAGCAAAGGUGUUCCCACUGAAAGUUGCCCUACAUUUUAUCAUAUAAGCAGUCUUUCAGAGGUGGAAACUUUUUGUUUGUAAAAACAUUUGAUAUUUGAAUACAGACUCAGACUCAUAGGUACAAGAUUAUUCUAAUUAUGCAAUUAUGUAUAUAUAUAUAUAUAUAUAUAUAUAUAUAUAUAUAUAUAUAUAUAUAUAUAUAUAUAUAUAUAUAUAUAUAUUACCAAAAGAAAUCUCUCUCUCUUGGUUAUUUAAAGAUAUCCAUAAAUUUUAAAAUGUUGUUGAUAAACUAAGAGGGUCAAUAAUUGAGUGCCUACAAGAAGAACAUAAAGACAUUUUUAUUUAACUUGAGGUCCAAUUCCUAUUAUUUUCAUGAAGAAAUAAUUCUUCACCUACAGAUCAAAUUCAUGAUUUGACAGAGGGAUCUCAAGAUGACAAAGCCUUCUCCAGCCUUGUUCUUUUGUUGGUGCAAUUGUCUUUUAUUGGACAAACUGUCAUCCCAAAAACCAUCAAGGAGAAGAUCCUUAGCUAUCUAAUAUAUUACUUUAAAUUAAUUUUUUCUAUUUGUUAUUUACUUUAAAUUUUAUUUGCAAAUUGUGGUAUAUUUUAGUCAAAAGGUGAUUAUUUCCUUUAAAUUCACAGAAAAAGUCAUACAAAUUUUGUAUAUUUUAUGAGUAUUAUAUUUUGUUUUGAAAGAAAAACUUAAUAUAUCCUGUAGAUUUUUAACAAAAAUAAUUUACAAAUAGGUUCUCUAACAUUUUGUAUUCACCGAAAGUAUAAAAGUCAUAAAAAAACCAUGAAAAGUCUUAUUAAUAAAGUGGAAAAAUCUAUUAUAAUAUCAUAAAAAGGUAAUUAAUAAAAUAAUAAUUAACAUUUAAAUUAUAUAAUUAAGAGUUUAAUGCACAUUCGCAUAUAUACUGUCAAUUUAACAUUUGUGUUAUUAUUGCUAUGGUGAUUUGUUAUUAAAUCAUUAUAUAAAAUACGUUACACUUGUAAUGUAUAACUUAUUUUCUUUUUAAUUAAAUAUUGAAAAUUAUGCAUAAAAAUGAUACCAUUAAAACUAGUAUAUUUAAUUUAUAUCUUAUAAUUUUAAAUAUUUUGGCAAGCUAUGCUAUUGGUGGUUAGUGUUUAUUUAUGGUUAAUUCGAUAACUUCUUCAUCGGUGACCCCAAUAAUAUAUAUAUAUAUAUAUAUAUAUAUAUAUAUAUAUAUAUAUAUAUAUAUAUAUCAGUCAUUAUUGAUUAUACCAUCAGUAUAACACUCUUAAUCAAUCAAUUUCUGCGAUCCUCACACAGUAAAAGUUCUCUCUCGCUUGCACCUAUUGCUCAGAUACCUUUAUCGAAUAUGCAUGCAUAUAGUUAACCUUUCAUUGUAAAUCUUUACGUUACUUACACAGUUACACUCCAUGAUAUAUACUACAAUGGCGUGUCAUGCUAUAUUAUUUGAAGAUUACCAACCAUAAAAGAAAAGAAACACCUAAAAUAGAAGGCUCAUUCAAUGGAAGGGAGCCAUGAAUAAUCUCAGCAACUAUAACGGUGUUAAACGCGAUCUCUCUAAACACACCUCCAACCACUCCCAAUAAUAAUAAUCACUGACCAAAUCUGAAAUCUCGGAGUGCAUUUCAAAAAGAAAGUAAUGACCAGUAGAGCCAUGAACGUACAAUUAGUUCCAAGCUAGGUAUUAUAAAUAAUGAGAGUAUGUGACAAGAGUAAUUCAAGCCUUCAAAUAUUUUCCUUUUUAGCUUUGAUUAGAGUGGCCUAGUUGUUGUUUUUCUCAAUGAGAAGGGUUUCCACUAUGCAUUGCGCACUUUGGCGCUUCUGUGUUCCCUUGUUGCUACUUGCUAGCUUCAGUUAUGCUCCUUUUGUUUUGGCCACUGAAAUUUCAGGUUUGUCGCUCAUCCUAUUACUCACACAUAUUCAUUUUGUUAUACAUUAUUUUAUGAAAUAUGAUGUUUCUUUGUGUUAGUCCUUAAUAAAAUAAAUUAUUCAUUUUAAUAUUUACAUUUGCCAAAACAGUAUAAUUUCUAAUCUAAGGACUUAAAAAGAUUAAAUUUAAAUAUGGGUUAAUUUUAAAAAAAAGUGUGGUAAUAUAUACCAAAAAGUAUAUACAAGUGGCCGUAGUAGUUAGUACCUAGAUAUGAUCAGGUGUAGAAGAUUAGAAUGAAAAUUUGUAUUAUUCAUGAAGUACUGUACGAAUGUCGCUGGCCUACGUUUCAAGUAAAAAUUAAGAUCUACCCUUCAUACACAAGAUUCAGCCAACGAAGGGUGCUUUUAAUUACUCUGACAGAUUUUAUUGCAUGUCUUCCGAAUUCAAUUCAAUCAUUUAUCUUGGCAUGCAGUAUAUGCGUGUGGAAUUAACUUGUGGUCUAUUGUUGAGCGUGGCUCCCAUACAUAGACCAUGCAUACUCCCCACAAAAAUAUGUUGAAAAGAACUAUGGGGAUCCAUGCCAGUACCUACCUGGUACCUAGUUUUCUUCAUUAUAUAGCUAUUAUGAUUGGCGAUGAAUUUUUCAAUAUAUUUAAUUUUGUAUUUAUAUAUUUUUUUCUCUAUCAACACUUGAAAAAUAUCAAAUUUACUGGGUAUUACAAAAGUAUUUACCGUGUUUAACUUAUAUUUUCUUGUUUCUUAUUAUGUAGGGAAUGAAGUGAGCACUGAUGGAAAGGUUUUAAAUGAAGAGUUAGCAAAACCUAAUCUACAAGGACAUGAUGAAGAAGCAAAGUUUAAAGGAUUUAUUCCAAAGCCAAUUCCCAUAGUGAAGCCUAUUCCAAAACCAUUUCCCAUCAUUAAGCCUAUUCCAAAGAUAAUUCCUAUCGCCAAACCUAUUCCUAUUCCGAUUUAUAAGCCUAUAUCAAAAUCAAUUCCCAUUAUUAAGCCUGUUCCAAAGAUAAUUCCCAUUAUUAAACCAAUUCCAAUUAUUAAACCUGUACCAAAACCAAUUCCCAUUAUUAAGCCUGUCCCAAAACCAUUUAUAGUGAAAAAGCCUAUCCCUGUUGAGUCGGAGGAAUUUCUAAAACCAAAGCCUUUCUUCAAAAAGCCUAUUCCUAAACUACCACUUCACCCUAAAUUCAAGAAACCAAUUCUACCAUCAUUGCCAAUUCACAAGCCAAUUCCA
rnacentral:lncRNA from 1 species